rnacentral:lncRNA from 1 species
AACAAAAAAGGUCAACAAAUGAUUCGUAUGAAAGUUUAAACUGAAAUACACUAAUGCUAACUCAGUUAGUGUCCAACGUUACUAACUGUUCGAAUAAACUUCAUAAACACUCAUAUGGAAAGAAAAUAAGAAGGUAAAACGAAUUGAGUUUCUCCAAUAAGUUAAAAUCAAUUUAAGCACCUCACUUUCUAGAGAAGUUUGGUAAUAUAGCUGUUCCUUCCCUUAAGGUGCAUAAGUUGAUUUUAGCUUAUAGGAAAUGUUCAAUGCAUUUUACUUUCUUAUAUUUUUCAGCUGUAAGUAUCUAUGGAAAAGCUUAUUUCUUCAGACGCGAAGUAAAAGGAGCAGAUCUGUGUCAUUACAAGAAGCAAGUGAAGAUUUUAGACUCCAAAAAUUCUUAGCUUUAUCAAAUUCUAAAAAGAGAAUGAGGGUGGUGUCCCAAUUCUUUUUCUGAUAAGAUCAUAAACUCACAAUAUCUUUUUAUUAAUCAGCUAAAAUUCCCGUCGAAAUUUUACAUGGAUGCAAGGCAGCGUCAAACAGAAAGCAAGAAUCUUUAGCAGAAAUUAACAAAUAUCAAUAAACAACAGUAUUAAUAAGCCAUCAAAUAAAUAAUGCAACUAACAAAAACAAACAAAAUCAAAAUCAUAUUAAUAACGCCAAAAAAGGUACCUUUAAUGUUCCUUUGCAGUGGGAGCACCUGAAGCAAGCUUUGUGAUAAGCAGUGCCAUCUGCAGAAAGCUGAUCAACGGGAUAAACCGUUUUCUCGCAAGCCUUGCACUUUUGCUGGGUUCCGAUAAAAGACAUUGCUGUGGCUUUUAGAUCUAAUUUCACCACCAAUUCCAAAUUCACAAGGCACUGGAUCGGGUUCAAUGACUACUUUUAGUGUUAGAUUUGCCUGUGACAAUAACUUGAGCUACCCAUGUCAACCAAAAACAUUAACAACAAUGAGCACAAAAAGUUGGAGCAAACCGAAGAAGAAAAAACAAAUUUUGAAAGCUUUAAAAAAUCCUCGUAUGAAUGAAUCUGUUUGGUAUAGUUGAGAGAAAUGAAAUAGUAUAGAGUUAGCGCAGUCAAAAUGGGUAUUUCAUUUUCAGCAUACCUUGCGAAGAGAAAGUGGUGAAUGGUGGAUCGGUUGUGAUCUGAAACUUUGAACUGAAAAGCUGAAGAUAAAGAUAGAGUGAGAAAUUCUGAGGGCGACAGUGAAUAAGAACAAGAAGAUGAAGUUGAGACACAACUCAGGUUGGAACUCUGGAAAAUGAAUGUCAUUCAAUUUAUAUUGAUUGAUAACAGAUCAUAUCUUGGUCAUCAUAAUGAAAAUCCAUUGAGUAGAGAAAAUGAAUGCAUUUCUAUUGCAAAUAAUAAUAUUCUUUCCCAUUACUCUUUAUAAUUAAAAAAACAAUUAAUUCAGUUUAUAAUAAUUUUAUACUUUUUAAAUUACCUUUAUUGUCAAAAAAUAUGUGAGUUUGCCUUUUUUUCGUCAGCAAUAUCUUAGUUCAAAUAUUUAAUACAAAAAAUAUAUUGGACUAAGUUGUGUAAAAAAACGUAAUUUUCAAUAAAUAAGAUAAGAAAGAAAGAUUAAUAAAUAUUAGGAAUGAGGAUACAAAUAUCCUUGCUGUCUCCAUUGACACUUUUUUAUUCGUUUGGUAAAGUCCACUAAUGCUGUUUCUCUUCUUUUUUUUCUUUUUUUUUCUUUUUUUUUCUUUUUUUUUUCUGUCUCUGGAGUCAUGGUCCAUCAUGGCCAACAAACCAAUCAGACCAUCAAAAUUUCUCAAACUUCUUUUUAUUAAUAAUUAAUUAAUAAUGGAUUAAUCUCUUUCUUUCUUUUUUUUCCUGAUACAUUGUUUUUAAAGAAAAAAAACUGUAAGUAAAUUAAACUCGCAUGUCGAAAUUUCAAAAUAUAAACAAUAUUCAUUUUGUUAUGAAUAACAUUAAUUAAUACGCGUAUGAUCAUAAUUCAUUGACCUACAUCUUAUUUUCGUACAAAAUGAGUAUUGAACACAAAUUUCAUAUAACUUAUUGUGUAUAUAAAACAGGUGAAAUGUUAAAAAACAAGGAGAAAAUAAACCAAAAAGGUUAUUUUGUUUAAAUGGUGAAAUAAAUAAAAGAAAAUCAUUGAAGUAAAUGAAGCAACACAUACAAAGAAAUAAGCCUAAAGACCAGUUAUAGAUACUUUGUUUUAUCCUCGUUAGAUUAAAUAGAAUUUCCAAACUUAUUAUUAUUAUUAUUAUUAUUAUUAUUAUUAUUAUUAUUAUUUUUAUUAUUAUUAUUGUUGUUGUUGGUAUUAUUACAUUAACAAUAAAAAUUUUAGACACGUUGUUUAAAGAUGGGAUAGACAGAUGCAGUUCGAAUAUAAAUGCAAAAUUUAUUUUAUAAAUGUUCUGUGAUACAAAAUUAAAUUAAAAUGUAUUGCUUAAAUGAGUUAUUAAGAUCUAUUUCAGUGAUAUUUAUGGAAUUUAUAUCUCAUGUACUAUUUCGCUAUUGGAUGACUAGUUGGAAAAUCUGUUAAAUUUUUUUAUUUAAUUAUAAGAUAAACAUAAAGAAUAUAUGUAAUGUGAAACUCGUUUUAUCAGUCAAACUGGUGAAAUUAAUAUAAAAUUGAAGUCCAGUUUCUAAUAGAGAGUAAUAAUAAUAUGAUAAUAUAAUAAUAUAUAAUAUAUGACUUGAUAGUUUUGAAAUAAAAAAUAAAAUAAAUACCUUAAACGGGUAUGUAAAUACCUAGUUAUAAAAAAUUACACAUACAACUAUAACUAAAUUUUAUUCUUUCUUUCAUUUUUGUGGGUUUUUUUGGUUUAAUUUAAGGUGCUUCUUUUUUCAUUUGAUAAUGAACCGUGUUUUUAUGUGAUGGUUUUUUUUUUUAAUUGGUGUCAUUUUAUUCAAUUUUAUAUAUUAUUGUCAUUUUCAUAUAUUAUUCAAUUUUACUUUUCAUGAAUUUAUGAUAAAUUUGUUGUUGUUUUUAUUGACAAUAUUUUAAUGUAUUUCUAAAAUUAUAUCGAAGACAUUUUGGAAUUAUGUUCUAAAUUCUUAUAGAAAUAAAAUUUAAUAUAAAAUGUGAAAUUUGUUUAAAUUUUGAUAUCACAAACUUGAAAUUGUUUUACAUUUAAAAUAAUAAAAAAUAUUAUAGAGAUACAUCAAGAUAACAUUUGCUUUAUCUUAUGUAUUUAUCCGAAUUUCACCAAGGGCAAUGAUACAUAGACAACAUUUUUUUAUAACAUUUUAACAUCAUCAUACGUGUUAUUGUGUGAUUGGUCCAAAUGACACAAUGACAUCACUAUAGACCAAUCACACAAUGACACGUAUGAUGAUGUUCAAAUGUUGUCAAAAAAAUGUUGUCUAAAUAUCUUUAUCCUUCCACAAAUAAGACUUGAAUAAUAUGUUUUGGUCGAUGAAGAACGAAAUUAUAAGGUUUAUCAUACAUUUUUUUUUUUUUUGGUGUCAAACAACAAAAGCAAAACACGGAAACUUCUGGUAAAUUAUAAUCUUUGGAUGUAUGAUAAUGAAAAUGAAAAAAUAUAUUUAUGGACUUUGUAACAGGUUAAGCCGCGACAGUGUUUGGUCAUGAUGCAAUAUAAAUUAUUGUGAAUAAAUUAACAAAUGCUCAUUUUCUAAUUAUUAGCAUCAAAUUUUCCUUUGAAAUGUGCUUAUUUUUACAUAAGAGAAAUUAUUAGUCUGUAAGAUAUACUUCUAAGGAGAGACUCUUACUUCACUUUCUGAGUUUUGCAAUAGUUUAUAAAGAGUCUUAGGAACAAAAGUUAGAUUUAAUCUAACUUGUUACCUUCAAACCUAUAUGGGAAAUUUUCAAAUAUUUAGCAGUUAAAAGUUUGUGUCUUAAAAUUGAUGGAGUUUAUUUAUAACAUUUUUUAAUCCAGCAUAAGAAUGAUUCCAUAUAAGACUUUAUACAGAAGAAGAUAUAGAACUAUGUUGUAUUGGUAUGAGUAUGAAAAAUUAUUGAUUUUAAACCAAUAAAUAAUUCAACAAUCGUGUGAUAAGAUCAAGAUGACAAACAAAAAAGAUGAAAACUUCUUAAUAUAAACAAAAAAAAAAUAUUAUGAGAAAUGGAGGUCCUUAGAGUUUCAAGAAGGGGAUCAUAUUUGUAAAUGAAAUUGGUAGAACUCUCAUAAUUAAAAAACUUCACCUAAAUUCAUUAGUUCUUACCAAAUUAUGAAGUGUAUUAGCUAUGUCACCUAUAACAUUGCUUUAUAUCCUAACCUUUAAGAACUUUGUAAUAUAUAUUCACAAUACAUAAAUCAAUUCACAUUAUUAUAUAAGUAAGUUAAAAUUGAUUCUAUUUAACAAAUAUUAUAACUUAUUUGAUUAAAAUAUAUUUUAAAACUAAAAUGAAUAAUAAUAUAUUUUAAAGCUAAAAUGAAUAAUAAGUUUAAUUAUAGAAACAAAAUUCCUAAAUAAAUCUUAAUAUAACAUCAUACUUUUAAAUAACUUAUUCAUUUUAUCUUCACUUUAAAUGAAAGAAUUAUAAAGCAUUAUACUUUAGCUUCUAAGAUCUUUUGUACUAAGCUCGGAUGACCCAGUUUGAAUUUUACAUUCAAAAGAGAUUAUUAUAACUUUACUCCAAGCUCAAUAGUUAUUAACAUCUAAAACUUCGAAAAAAAUAAUAAUUAUUCUAAGGUAGUCAAACUGAUGGAAAGGAUGAGUAAUGCUAGACCAUGUUAUGUUGAUUAUUAGUCGUGGAAACAAUAAUAGGAAACAAGAGGUAAAUGAAAGAUUAAUCAUAUUUUUUUACCCUCUCGAUACCAUGUGAAAAAAAGAAAAUAAAAAAAAUAUCUAAUUUGUACGUUAAUUAAACGAAACAACAACAAAUAUAUACACGAGACAUGUUUAUAAUUAUCUUAUUAUGUUUUUAUAAUUUUGGAAUACAGUCCCCGUAAACCAUUAGCUAAUUCCUAUAUAAGUUUGUUAAUCUAACAAGGAUAAUUAUGGUAGCUUAUUAAGAAAAAUCUUGAGAUGGUAUUGAGUUUUUUCCAAAAUAAUUAUUUAUUAAGCACAAUAAAAAAUUAUAAAAUAACUCUCAUGCCAAAGUAGUAAAAUUUAGUGUUUUUUUUUCUUCAUCAAUAUAUUUUAUUUAAUUUUAACUGGUGAGGGCAGAUGAAAAAGAAAAUUAAUUGUAAUACGUGAUGGUAUUUCUCAAAAUUUUAAAUGUUGAAUAUAGCAGACAGCGAAAAUGAUCAAAUAGGCAAAUCUGUGUUAACCUAAAAAGAGAAGCUAGAAGAAGAUGAUCGGCGUCGGAAAGGCCAAGCAGUACGGUAACGUCCUCGACAAGCCCCUCGCCAAGGGCAAGCAAGAGGUCCCUUUCUCUACCCUUCUUUCUCUCUCUUCCCAUUUCAACCAAUUCGUCGAGAUCAACGAUCCAGAUCUCGCGUAAUUCAUCACUUUGAUUCCGUGCUUCCAAUUCCACUGCUAAUUUGAUGUGUUGUUGCAGGUUAGCUUGAGUGCAUUCGCGUUCUUGUUUUCAGAGCUUGUUCAGUACAACCAAACGCAGGUUGAUAAUAUUGGGGAACUCGAAAGAAGGUUAUCAUCCAUUGCGUUUUGAAUUAAUCACAAUCGCUUAUCGGUUUUGUUUUUAUUUUAUCCGUAGGUUAAAACUUGGGAGAUCGUGUGAUAAAAAGUAGGUACUUGAUUGUUAAGGAUGAUUUAUUUUGCUUUCAUAGAUCCAGGAAGUUAACACUUAGUCUGAAAUGUUAGUUACAAUUGGAUAGUGCCUUCGUAGUUUGUUUGAAACUUAAAGAAGCUUGAAGAUAUAUAAAUUCUAGAUUGAUUUGGCUUGAAAACAUCAUUUUCCUGAUGCUUUACUGUUGUACUUUAACAAUGUAUAUAUUCAAAUCGACGCGAAUUAGUUUAUUUGUUUAGCAUCUAACAAUGUAAAUCUACCAGACUGGAGGAUGCUGGAUAUGCGGUUGGGGCACGAGUUCUUGAGCUGCUUUGCCACAGAGAUAAGGUAUGGUUUCUGGCACAAAUUUCUGUAACCGUUUUCUUUGUUUAUCACAACCGGGGUUGGAAAUCAAAUUAGGUAAUCCUUGACCCUGAUAAGAGGGGAUCCUAUACUGUGCAAUCCAGCAGUUUCCUCUCUUUCAAGGAUUUCUCACUUUGGAUGACUUAAAUCUGUGCAUGGGUAUUAUAUUUCGAUCCAUGAGCCUGUGCUUGGAGUCUUGGACUUGUAAGUUGUAAGCUAUAUGAGCUAUCACUUGGGUUCGAUUCUUUUGUCAAACAAAUAAAGGAGGAGCAGAGAUAAAACACUAGUGUUCAGAUCAUCCCAAGUGAUUUCUGUGCCUGUGGCAUUUUCAUAACCAUCCCUAUUCUUUUAUUCUUCUUGAUUAGGUUAUUUGGUAAUGAUAGUUUGUUACUACGAAAGAUGAAAUCUCAUCAGUAGUUGUUCAAGCCAUCCAUUAUUAUAAUUAAUAACUCUUAAUUGCACGUAGACUAAUAGAUGUGCCAUUUCUACUCUCUGUAUUAAACAGACUGAUCCACUCAUUUGGCCUGUUAACCUUCGAUCUACAAAGUGAGAGAAUCCAUGCACAUCCUUUUUGUUGUUGUCAAUGUGAUAUCACGGUUCAAAGAAGGGCUUGUAUGUUGGUUGGUUUAUUUAGCAUUUUGAUUGUUUGUGUAUAUUGAAACUUGACCCUAACUGAUUUAAUUUUGGAAUGCAUCUGUACUUUUUCGUUAUUUUUUUUUUUUUUUUGCAUGAGGUUAGCAUGAUUGAUGUAUAGUUAUUCUUAAACUACAGGGAAACAGAAGAGAGACACGGCUGUUGGGUAUUCUUUCUUUUGUACAUAGUACAGUGUGGAAAGUACUAUUUGGAAAGGUUAGCACCUUUUAUCAAAAUUUGCUUCUGUUCCGUUCCAUCAUUAACUGAAUUAUCUUGAUGUUUGGAGAAGUGAAAUAAAUGUUGUGUUACACCAGCAUAUGAAAUAUCCUUUGAUUAGAUGCAUGAGAUUUUUUUUUUUUUUUUUGAGCCUUUGUCAUCCUGUUAUGCAUAGCCUUGGCAGACUGGCAAAAAGGUUCUGUGGAAUUCUGUCAGAGAAGAAAUAUUCAUCUGUCAGAGAAGAAAUAUUCACCUUGCACUCUUGGAAAGAAGAUUAUCGUAGCUGUGAAUCGUGCAUUACAUGACAAGAUAGACUACUUUAUUCAAAGCCAUUUUGAUUGUUCACUCUUGAAAGUUGUGAUGGUUGGCUUUAGCAAGCUUGUGUGGGUUUUCACAGUAAUCUUAAGGUUCAUCUUGAUUUGGUAUUUGGAAUAAGAACACUGCUUAGUCUAAGGCACUUUAAAUGUAGAGCAAGUAAAUAUAUUGUGGUUUUAUUUUAUAUUCUAUUGGUUACUAGGUCUUAUUCCCCUAAUCAUGGAUGUCCAUUAACUGAUCUUUGGUGCUUGGGAGCAUGCUGGGUUGGUUUGAUCAUCAUCAUGUCAUGUUUACUUGUUUAUACAAAGAAUCACCAAUCAUUGAUGAAACAUUGGUUCUUGACGAACCUGCAUAUUUUUGUCAUGUGUUCUACAUCAUGAUUUCCCAUGUGUCUUUUGGAAAUUCUUAUGUACGGUCCACUUUGCUGAUCUAGUGAGAGACCUGAAACACAGUGCGUUAGCUGUUCGAAUAGUCCAAUAUCUGCCUAGGCAAUAUAUCUUGUAGUUAUGAUGUAAGAGAUAUGACUUGAACUUGAACCCAAUGGAGAUUUGAUACCAUUUGUUUUAAUAAUCGAGCAUUAAUUAUUCUACUCUGUUUUUUCAUGUCAUAUACUCGUUUCCCCUGGAAUGCGUUAAGUAGACAACUAUCUUAAUUUUUUAGCAGCUCCUUAAGUUUCAAUGCUUUUCUUCUUAUAUUAGGUAGCUGAUUCACUGGAGAAAGGAACCGAACAUGAAGAUGAAUACAUGAUUAGUGAAAAAGAGCUUCUAGUAAACAAGUAAUUUCAGUAUCGACAUUUUAUUUGACUGUUACAUAAUAUAUUUUUGUUCAUCAAUUAGUUGUGAGCUUGUAUGGAUCUCUGCUUUAUAGAUUCAUUUCUAUCCCAAAGGACAUGGGGACGUUUAACUGUGGAGCAUUUGUUGCUGGAAUAGUACGGGUAAGUAUUUUUCCUUGCUCAGUUACUGUCAUCUGGUUAUCUAAUCCUUACUGAAAGAUCCAAUCAGUAGUUUUGUUUUGUUUCAUCUACCAAUGAAGGGCGUUUUGGAUGGUGCCGGAUUUCCGGCUGUUGUAACUGCGCAUUUUGUGCCUAUGGAAGGUCAACAACGACCACGGACGACAAUUUUGAUAAAAUUUGCUGAAGAGGUAUACUUCCAUUGCUUUUACUUGUUACGUGUACGCAUGCUGAUAGCUAAAUUAUAAACUGAUAGUUUCGUUUCGGUUUCUACCUACCAGGUGCUACAAAGAGAAGCAAGAUUAGGCUGAUAUUUUACCAAGAAUUUUUAAUUAUGAUAUCUGUAAUGCUGUACACCACCAUAGAAAGAUGUGGAACUUACACCACUGCAUGUGAAAAAGUAAUUUAGGAUUUUCACUACCCUAUUGAUUUCUAUGAACUCAGUGAUUUUUAUUCUGAUGUAUGCUAUGUUCGGAAUUAUCCUUACUGAAUUACAUUGUACAAAAAAAUCUCGGGUUCGUGUUGAUGCUAGUAUUUUCAAGUUCUCUCUAACCCCUUGUAAUAGUUGAGCAUAAAACCGAGGAAAUGAAAGCUUGAUUUGCUAGCAAAGCAUGGAAUUAAAAUCGCCUAUGGAGUCUCCGUCAUCUCCCAACGAUUGGUAAAUAAGAGCAUGAUAUAAAAAAAUAUAAAACAAAUUAUAUUUGGCAUAAGCAGUUGAAAACUUGACAAAGUAAAGAAGUUAUUGAAAAAAGAAGUUAGUAUUAAAUUUGAAGGGUUUAUUACAUUUAUUUGAUUUUUUUACAUAGACGAAAAAUAUUUUAUAAAAAAAAAUCUGUUUAGAUUCGAUAAGAUUAUUAGAAAUGAUAAAGUUUGUACAUUGAGUACUUUGUGUAUUUUUUUAACAAAUAAUUCUGCUUAAAAAUUGAAUAGGAUUAAUAUAUACUAGCGAAAAUACUUAGUGAUUAUGUGUUAGAUAUGCUUGUCUUCUAUCAUUUUGUUUUCUUUAGUUAAAAUUCAAUUAUUGUAAUAUUUUUUAUUAUUUUCUAUAUAAAUUUUAAUAUAUAAAAUAUUUUUAUAUAUAUAUAUAUAUAUUAUAUUACAUAUUACUUUCAUGAUGUAUCAGACUAAAGUAUUUACAAGAAUAAUACUAGACAUACUUUUUACAUUUAUUUGAUACAUGGUACAAGAAUAAAAUGAAAUAAAUUUUUGUUCAUUUUUUAAAUAGAAAAGUAAAAAAUAAUAGUAUAAAUGAAUUCUUACAUUUAUUUGAUACAUGAUACAAGAAUAAAAUAAAAUAAAUUUUUGUUUUCUUAAAUAAUAAAGUAAAAAAUAAUAAUAUAAAUAAAUGUAAAAUAAUUAUGUGUGUCAAAACAUCAAGUUUUAUUUAUAACCAAUAUUCGAAAAUAUUAAUUUUUACAUUUAAUUUACUCUAAAUAUUUUAAUUGAGAGAAUGUUUGCAUUUGUAAUACCUAAAUACAAUUUAAGAUUUAUUAAUUUUCUCUCAAAAUGACUAAAAGCUUAGUUUUUUAAUGUAAUAAUAUAUAUUUCUAGCUUUCUCUUAAAUCAAAUAUUUCAAUAUUUGUAUUUGUAGUGGAUGAAAUAACGUUUUUAAUAACAUUUAUCGUUGCUCGUAUAUGAAAAAAAAAUGAAUUUCAAUAAUCUUGAAAUAGAAAAAGAAUUGAUAUGCCAAUGCAUUAAUUUUUAUUUUAUAUACAUUUAUUAAACACUAAACUUUACUUUCUAUCUUUCUUCUUAUCACAUCAUAUAUUUUAUAAACUUGAUACUUUUACUUUUUAGGAGUAUCGAUGAAUUUUUGUUGUUGUAGGUAAAUAAUUUUUCCUACAAAAAUAUUAUUAGAAUAAUUAUAUAUGUUUAUGUUUAUUUGGAACAUAUUAAAAAAUAAAAUGAUUUUAAAGUUAUAUUUUUAAGAAAAAAAAAGUAAAUAAAAAAUAAUUAAAUAAAUGUAAUUUUUUUUUAAAAUUGUACGUAUCUAAAUAUCAUUUUUCAAAAUAGUAACUGUUUAUAGGAUUGAUUGGUCGGGUCCGCAGUGUGUUGAGUGUGUUAGAAAAUCAGCGGUCCAUGUUUCUGAAAUCACGGAUGCUGAAAAUCAAAUGGCAAUCCAAUUUCAAAAUUUAGAAUUUAAUAAACACAAGUGUUGAGCACAUCUCUUCCUCUCUGAUGCAAUUCACAGAAGAUGCAUCUCUUUUCUCUUCCCACCGAAUCCUUGACCAUUCAUGUGAACAUCCCUGUCACGUGAUACAUAUCAUGUUUCUUCUUAUUGGUUUUUGGCAUUUCUAUAUUCAUUAAAAUGUUCUCAUGCAAACCUGUCUCUCUUUCGCUACGUACUCGUGGACGUCAACUCCUUCAUUUCCUCAUGUGACUCCUAUUUUUGUGUCCGUGACUUCCUCCCUUUGCUACAGACAAAUUACACUUCUCCAAGAUACCCGUCUUUUAACUAGUUUUAAGUCCAAUUUCCUGGCGUAAGUUUCGCCAAUAAUAACCACAGUAACAUAACUACUAUAUCCUAAUCAAACAUGCAUUUAUUUUCAAUGUAUUCACCACAAAUUGGCUUUAUCUUCACCUCAACUGUUCAAUAAAGCAGUCACAUGUUUGGACUUUCUGCUAGCCCCGUUUGCCCCAGUUCAUCAUGUGACCUAUCCAACCCUUCUUUUUAAACCACGAAACCAAAAACAAUCUUCUGCGAGUCCAAUAUUAUCUCUCAAAAUGACAACUUUUGAAACAAUUAAUUUGGUGUUAAUUAAUCCGUAUAUACCCGAUGACUAGUUAACUAAUCUCCCAUGUCCCACGUUAUAAAUAUAAACAAACCAUCACUCCAUUCUCUGAAGCCUCUAAUUCUGUUUGUCUCAUAAGUGCACAUGCAAAAAGGGAUGGCUUCACCAACUACAUUUUCGCUAAUGUUACACUUUCUGUUGUUAAUAUUAUGUUCUUCGUUUCAUCAACCAAGCUUAGCAUUCACAUCGCAAGAGUACCAGGAGGCUCUUGAGAAAUCCAUUCUCUUCUUUGAGGGACAACGGUCUGGAAAAUUGCCUUCCAACCAGCGACUAACAUGGAGGGCAGAUUCUGGAUUGUCCGAUGGCUCUUCUUAUCAUGUAUAUACAUUUAUAUGUAAUUACAAUUUUAAACUAAACUGUCUUAUAGUUUUGCUCACUGAGAGUUUAAUCUUGAUUAAUGUUGUAAUUCAGGUAAACCUGGUAGGUGGUUAUUAUGAUGCUGGAGAUAACGUUAAAUUUGGGUUGCCGAUGGCCUUUACUACAACAUUGUUAGCAUGGAGUGUGAUUGAAUUUGGAAGCUCAAUGAUGGACCAGAUUGAAAACGCUAGAGCUGCUAUCCGCUGGAGCACAGAUUACCUUCUUAAGGCUGCCACCACCACCCCUGACACAUUAUAUGUCCAAGUGAGCAUACUUUAUCUAACAGCCACCAAAUUAAGUUCCAUGCCUAGUUUGAUGCAAAGUUUCUAAGAAAAACCAUGAAAGAAAUUGUUGAAAAUUAACAAGAGAGGUUGACUAAUGCAGGUAGGAGAUCCGAACAUGGAUCACAAGUGUUGGGAAAGGCCUGAAGAUAUGGACACUCCACGCAAUGUGUAUAAGGUAUCAGCUCAAAACCCAGGAUCAGAUGUAGCAGCAGAGACAGCAGCUGCACUGGCAGCUUCUUCAAUAGUAUUCGGAGAUUCGGAUCCAGCUUACUCCUCCAAAUUGCUUCAAGCAGCCAUCAAAGUAAUUAGCAAAUAUAGAAAACUGUUCCUCCAUUUUCAUUUCUUGCUAGCUAAGUGUUCUGUAUGUUAAUUGUCUAAUCAAUCUGAAUGUUUAUUUUCAGGUAUUCAAUUUUGCAGACCGUUACAGGGGUUCUUACAGUGAUUCUCUUGGUUCUGUUGUCUGUCCAUUCUACUGCUCUUACUCCGGAUACCAUGUAAGGCACACGUAGCUUCAAAAACUUAAUUAUAUUUGUAACAAUGAAACAUGUGGCACGAAUACAUGGGUUCUGAUUGGACUUGUUUUUGUUGUAAAUGCUAAAUAAAUAGGAUGAACUUCUGUGGGGUGCAUCAUGGAUUUAUAAAGCCUCAGGAACUAGCUCAUACAUGCAAUAUAUUCGAUCCAAUGGCCACAUUUUAGGUGCUGAUGAUGAUGGUUUCUCCUUCAGCUGGGAUGACAAGCGACCCGGAACUAAAAUCCUCCUUUCCAAGGUACCCUCUUUGUUCCCUCUUUUUACUUUCUACUCAAAUUUCCUGUAGAUAGAUUUUUUUUAUUCUUAGAGGGGAAAAAACUGAACUUUUUUCAUAAACAAAAUAAACUUGUAAAUACCUUUUAAAGAAUAGAUCAAAUAAAAGUUAAACAUAAAAAUUGAUUUUCUAAAUUCAUUUUCUGUGACCCUACAUGCCAUCAAACUUUGUAUGUAUGUGUCACUUACAAGGAUUAUUUUGGAUGGACUCGAUGUCAGGAAUUCUUGGAGAAAAAUUCAGAAGAGUUCCAAUUAUACAAGGCACAUUCAGAUAAUUACAUCUGUUCGCUAAUGUCUGGAAUACCUGGUUCUCAGGCUCAGUAUACCCGAGGUAAAAAAUCUCGAUUAUUUAAUAUUUAUCCCGAUGGUUCAUUAGAAAAAUGAUUGAGAAAGUGAAAGGAGAGUAAUAAUAUUUUCACAGACACAAAAAUUCUUUUUUUUUUACUAUUUACCUUACGACUAACAAAAUCUUUAAUUCAGAAAAGAAAAAUAUUUGUUGUCUUUAAUAAAAAGUCAUGAUUCAUUGAUGUUUGGUAGUGAAACAUUUUACUGUGAAAUUGUGCAGGGGGGCUUCUUUACAAGGGGAGCGAGAGCAAUUUACAGUAUGUGACAUCGACAAGUCUCCUUCUGUUGACAUACGCUAAGUAUCUUUCUGCAAACGGGGGCGUUGUCAGAUGUGGGACUUCGACGGUCACGGGUGAAAACCUUGUAACACUAGCCAAAACACAAGUUGAUUACAUUCUGGGCGAUAAUCCAAGAAAGAUGUCGUAUAUGGUGGGUUUUGGGGAGAAUUACCCAAAGCAUGUCCAUCACAGAGGUUCCUCUCUACCUUCGGUUCGUGCCAGGACUCAGCACAUUUCCUGCAACGAGGGGUUUCAAUAUCUCUAUGCUGGUUCUCCCAAUCCAAAUGAGCUUGUUGGAGCUAUCGUAGGUGGUCCUGAUAGCAAUGAUAACUUCUCCGAUUAUCGAAACAACUAUCAGCAGUCAGAACCAGCAACGUACAUCAAUGCACCCUUUGUAGGUGCUGUUGCCUAUUUCUCUGCUAAACCACCAACCUAUUAUUAAGAAUAGUUCUGAAAAAUAAACAAUAGUAGUUGACGCUUGUAUUUAAUUAGAAGAAUCUCAGUAUGGCGUUGGUCCCAUAUCGUUUAGGUCCGUGAUGAAUGUUUCCACAGAAGGUGACAUUGACAAGUAAGGAUUUUUCUCAAAUCUAUUAUUCUCUUCUAACUACAAAUAUAUUUUUAUGACAAGUAAGGAUUUUGACAAAUUAAUGAGACAUUGUCGUAAUAGCAAAACUUUUAACCAACAUAUUUUUCAGGACAACAAUCCUGAAAUAUACACUUACCUUAAUGUUUAAAAUAGCAUACUUAAAUAAAAUUAUCUUAUUUUCUUUAGUUUGAUUUGUGUAUUUUAAACUAUAAUAAAUCUCUCUUUUUUAAAAAAAUAAAAAUAAAACACUAAAUCAACAAGUAUUAUAUUUUAAAAAAAUAUAUUAAAAGUUAGAAAUAAGAAACUCACAUUUUAAUGAACUUUGAUAAAAUAUUGAAAAAAUUUAAAUUAUUGAAAAGGUGAAAUAUAUUUUUGAUUCCUAAAAUUUUAGAUACAUUUAUUUAUAAUAUAUAUAUAUAUAUAUAUAUAUAUAUAUAUAUAUAUAUAUAUAAAGCACAUAAUGAUAAUAUAUAAUAAUAAUAAUAAUAAAAUAUAUAAUUUAAAUAUUAAAUAAAAUUAAUUUCUAACAGUAAAAUAGUUUUGAUUAUUUUAUAUAUUUUUAAAAAAUUAUUAUAUCUAUCAAAUAACUUAUAACUAUCACAAACAUUUUUUUUUUCAUCUUCUUUCAUUUUUUAUUUUAAUUGAAAUAACCUCAUUUUUCAUUAUCUUUUCAUUUUUUUUAUUAUUUUUCACUCUCUCAACUCCACUUUUUGAAACAAAAAUGUGACUUACAAGUCAUAUAUAAUUUUCUAUUGGGUAAAAUUUGUUUUAAUUCCUUAUUAUAUUACAAAAUUCAUCUUUAGUUCUCAAUAUUUUUCUAACCAGUUUUAAUCUUUUAACAAUAUUUUCUUUAUCAAUUCCUAUAUAUAUUUGUUUACCAAUUUAGCUAGAGUUGUGAAAAAUGUACUCAAAUAUUAGACCCACAAUCAUCACAUCUAAACUAAACUUGUGAUUGGUUAAGCUGACCCACCAACCAACCUAAAGCAACAAUAAUUAGUUCAAUCAUUCUAUCUCACAUUCUUACCGUCUUAACCCAAUUUAAAGAUAUAAAGAAAUUGAUUCAUUUAAAAAUAAUAAUUUAAACUGCCAUAAAUAGGAGUUAUGAAAUUGUUCAGUUAUUAAAAUGUAUAAAUGUUUGUAAGUUGUUUUCCAUGUUUUCUCUUUUUAUUUGUCUUAUAAUCUAACAAAAGAAAUUUGUUUUGAUAACAUUUACUCACAUUAACUGACAGGAGAGACUAAAACUAACAAAAUACAAACUUAAAGGUCAAGAACUAGUCAAAAUUUGUUUGAGAAACUAAAACUAUUAAGUAAAAUGAUGAAGAUUAAAUGUGAAAUUUCUGAAAAGAUACGAAUAAAGGACUGAAUUUAUCAAAAAAAUUACACAUCACCACUACAUCAAUUAAACUAAAUUACUUACAUAAAUAAUCAUUUUCAUUAGUUUGAUUUAUCAAUCUUAAAUUCUAUUUAGUGAUAGCUACGAUUCAAACCUACUUUUAAGAUAAACCUUGUCGGUUGAGCUUAAGAAAAUAUAUAAUAAUUAUUAAGAUUAGAUGUAAUUAGAAUAAGAUUCAUUACUUAAGAUUAAUUAAAAAUAUAAUAAUACAAAUAUCAACAAAUAAAUGACAACAAGACCGAGUGAUUUAAGUGAUAAUCUUUCUAGACUAAACGCCCUUUCCAUUGUGAGUUGAAACUAAAUAAAUAAAUAACUGACUAUACUCUUCGGUAUACCGUACGUAAUGAGAUCUUGCAUGACAGAGUUAAUGUCCUCUGCGAAUAUUUGCUACCUAUUUGAUGAAAAUUUGCAUGAUAGUGUUUCUUCUCGAAUUUGUAUGAUUGUUGAAUUCCUCUUUACAAAUAGAUUAAAAAAUAAAAUUAUUUUUGUGGUUUAUGAGUUUGUAUAGUAAGAUUUUUCGAACCGAUUGUUCUGGAAGAUACAAAUGAAAGAUCCAAUUAUUUCAACUCGUGUCUUACUAGCAGCAGCAUUACAUGAUGGGGUGGUUUUACUUUCACGUGAUUUGCUUACAUUUGGCAGGAAUGAAUGUGUGACCAGCCAUUUGCUUAAUCAUUCUUUAUCAUGCUUAACAAUGAUAUUGUAUAUUUUUGUUUUUCUGUAAGAAAGAAAUCCAAAGGUAUCUAAGGAAUCGUGUUCUCGUUUGGAGCAAUCAGCUCCUUUUUUACCUAUGCCAUUUGAGGUCAUAGUCUCUGUAACUGCUUGUAGAAUGCACCAAUGGCCUUGAUAACCAUUACUUUAUAGGAAAAGCUAUGUUUCAGAUAUAAUAAAUCUUUGAUCGGCUGUUUUAACUAUUUAGAUUGUAUAGUCUCUUGGUAUGAUAAUAUGAACAAGCUUUUAGGCUGUAAGAGACACUUCCUGAGCAAAGUUUGUUUUUCAUGUAGUUUUUUAGUUUUCUUGAUCUAAUCAGUGAUACCAGCAUAAAAUUAACUUUAUAGUGAUAAACAGGAAAUAUGUGACUAAAUUGCAGGUAGUUGUCUGAAGAUAGCAUAUAUAUUUUUGUAGAAGCAGAUAAAAUUGACAAUGAAUUGUUGGUCUAACAGAUUAAGCAGCUGCUCCAACCGCUACACCACUCUUGAGCCUGGACUCACCGUAUAGUGUUUCUUCAAACCGGAUGAUCUCAUUCUUGGAUCCAUAAGCAACUUGAGUUCUCUCAUCAAUGUUACUGAUCACUUUGUCCAGCACAGACUGAUGACCAUCACUGCUGUAACCUCCAGCGUUUUCAAUCAAGAGCCCUAAGGGAGCUACCUCAAACAAAAGUCUCAGCUUGGCUUUGGCAGAUGGUGAUGCCACGUUAGUGAAGAUGCCUUUUUCUUUUACAAUAAUCUGCAGACAGAUGAAAUUUUUAAAGCAUAUGGAUUGUUAUACUAGGUUGACAGAACAUCCAUGUCUCAGAAUAUGAAAAGCUGCUCCGCCUUAAAACAUUAUGCAUGAUUAUGUUAAGAAAAGAACCUGGUUGACAUCCGGCACCAUUCCUCCAGUGUAUCUCAAUGUGUAUUUUUCAUUCACGUAGUAGUUGAUCAACUGUCGAUGAAAAAGAAAGCUGUAAGUAAUAUUAAACAUCAGUAUAACACUAAAAUCUUCCUUUACUGGUAUCAGAAUACAGUUACAUUAGCAUAAUUGAGGUUGUCAGAUGUGGCUCUCAAAUUUCCUGGAGAAAACAGUUUUCCUUCACCAAUUUCUGUGGUCUCUUUGACAUGCUGCCAUUUUCCUGAUAUAUGAAAUAUACAUUAGAUAUUUUUGUCAUGUGAUGAAGUUUUUCUAAAAUGAUCAAGCCGAGAUGUAUAAGUGAAAGUUCAGUGUGAUGAUCUUAACCCACUAAAACUUAAUGUAUGAACUACUUGCUUACUGGAUUUUAAUAAAUCUUAUCUUACCUUCAUCAAGAAGAAGAAAUUCAUGGGUGCCUGGGAAGCCUUUUAUAGCAAUCACAUAUGUGGUUCUAGGACCCAUAACCCCCAUGGCUGCUGCAACUUGAUCUCUUCCGGUGACCCCAGUCAACUUAUCUCCCGGCCACACACCAAAAAUGGUGCCGACUGUGAAGUUUGUGUCCACAAUGCUGGAACCAUCAAGAGGAUCAAAUGCAACACUAAAUCCACCUGUUUGUUGCAUAUUCACACAAAUGCAUCACCUCAAAAGUUACAUUUUGUAAUAGAGGCAGACCUCAAUUCAAUUGCCAGUUUAACAUAAUUAUUAUGGCAGACCUUCAACUGGACCUCCCAUGUCCUGGAGCUCCGGUACUUCUUCAGAGCAAGCAUACUUGCAGAAAUGGGAGUAAUUCAAGGCCUUUACAAUACAACAUUGAAGAUGUCACUUUCAUUGCACAUUGAAAAUAAGACAUCCAUUUAUGAUAGAUUUAUUAUCGGAUUUUAUGUUAACUGUAUUAAAAAGUAUACUAAUAAUGACUUUUGAUUGAUUGUCAAUGCAUAUAAUUGAGAAAAAACUCCAAGAGCUCAGUUCUUUGUAAGAUAGAAGUUCAUGACCUAUCCUGGUCACAUCAUAACAGAGUCUCCCUAAGAAAUCAUUUGAACUGGUAUUCAUAAAUGAACUUCGGAGAAAUAAAAUUGUCGAUGAAAAGUUUUCGAACAAGAGAUCCCACCAUGAUAACCAAAGUACUCUUUCUACUACUAAUAAUACUACUACUAUUCAUGAUAAAUUAUUCUUGCAUAUUACUAUAUCAUUUCAUAAUCUUGCACCAAUCAAGAUUGCAUGAAUUGGGUUAGUUAUUAGUUAAAUUAUAACUGAUGUUGAUUGUUUAGUUGGGUAGAAGCUUAUUGCAAAAGUACUGGUCUAACCUCAAAAAGGAGCUGGUUAGCCAGCAUAUCCACUGCAAGCUGCUCGUCCCCAAAAGAAUUAACGCACUGCGUUCCGCCACAAGAAGCCGUCUUCACUUUGAAGGAAAUUGUUCUUAAUGCCUCUCCCAUGGACACCAACAACCUGAUCAACCCCUUAUCUGGUGUUGCUUUUGUAAGGAAUUCUUCCUAUACAACACACACACACCAACAUCAGUUUAUUUCACGUGCAUGUGAACCAAAAUACCAAAAGUUUGAGACUUUGACACAACGCAUUCAGCAAGUGCUUAGCUAUAUAGACUAGGAUAUGGACUCACCAGACUGUCACCAAUUUCGCAUCUGGUUACGAGUGAAGUAGACUUUGUCUUUGAAACCUUCAGUGUCGAUUUGGAUGCCACCCUUAGCGAUUCUCCAAAUAAAGAGCUUGAUUUCAGACUCUAUCAUUGCAAACAAGUUCAUUUUAAACAUAUAUUCUCUUUCCUUGAAUGCGGUGUCUUGAUAGAAAGAAAGAAAAAGCUGCAUGGUUGGUAUAUAACACUUUGAAAGUAUAAUUUAAAAGAUUCAAUCUGCAUACCCUGAAGCCAAAAGAUGGAGAGAUGGAGGGUGGAGAGUGCUUGGAAGAAACAGUAGGUAAGAAAGGCCCGCGGGUGUAGCAUGCUAUACCAGUUUCCAUGGCUGCAAGAGGAUGAUGUCCAAAGGUUGAAGAUGAUGUUGUGUUAUUUGAUGUUAUUGCAUUGAUUGAUAGAUAGAUAGAUAGAGAGACUAAGAGGGAGAGGAGGGGAUAGCAAUUUUAGAUAUGUGGCUAACUAUUUGUGUAGUGCCACGUGGCAGGUGCAGAGUAGAUAGGCUAAUGAAACUGCAUUUUGGUAUGAAUAUUUAGCAUCGCAUGUAUUUAUGUGGUUGUGCUAUGGUCCUUUAUAAACGAGAUAUGGUGGGGGAGAUGCUAGUCACCACUGUUAGUAAGUAUCUCACUUGUGUUCAACUAUGUCUUCUGCAAUCAAAAUAUAGUUUAGAUUAAAGAAUAACAAUUUAUUGAGAUUAGGAUAUAGGAAUAUGAGGUAAAUUUAAUCUAAAAAAAUAUUCAUGUUAACAAAAGUAUAUCUAUACAAAAUCUGAAUUAAUUCUAUUAUAUUUUUCGAUUAAUCAGAAUUAGUACACGGGUAAAUGUUGAAAAAUCAUUAAAAUACAUUGAAUGAGAAAAACUUAUUUUGAGAAUCCAUAAUUGAUUACCUACCUACAUUAUGGAAGUUAGAAUCGAUUACAUAUGAAGUUUAUGAAGCGUAAGUUCUUUACUUAAAGUUGUUAAAAGUUGCAGUUAUUAUUGGAGUGAUUUGAAUGAUUUGACAUAUAAGAAACUACUAUGGAUUUUAAUUUCCUCUUGAUUUUAGUACAAAACAAGCAAAAUUAAAGAACUGGUUAGAUUAGAUUGACCAAUAAUAAUUCCAAAAAGACCAUAUAUACAACAUUGUUUCAUAUUUAAUGGUUCUUAAAUUUGUUAACGUAAAUACUAGACAGGGUAAGAUUUCCAUUUUUAAGGAAAUUAUUUAGAUGAUGGUAAAUACAGAUGGAGUUAUUCCAUGUUUUCUUGAUAUGGCUGUGUGGUGCUGGUUCAUCUAUAUAUUGGUUAGAAUAUAACUUAUCGAUUGUCAAGCUUUUUCUAAUUAGGGAUAAUGCCUUGGACUCUCAAGAAUAGAUGGUCUCCAUGUUAAUAUAUUUGCUAUAAAAUUCAAUUUAAAGUUUCAUAUAUUUUUCGUAAAGAAGAAGAUCGUGUAGAUAAAUUUAAUCAUUAUAAUUUAACACUUAUUUUUUAUAUGAAUAAAAAAAUAAAGACAUGCAACUUCACCCUUUCGACGAGUACACACAUUCAUCAACCAUAGUCAAGGUAAAAACAAAACAAAAACAAAGGAAAGACAGCAAAAAUAAAAGGAAGCUUCCUUUCUCGUCCUUUAACUUCCGGAUUCUUAUAUUAAAAUGUUAAAAAAAUAGAAACUAAAAAAGUUGAAGUGGUUGGAUUCUGAAUGAUGAAUCCUCCAAUCAUAGUACGACGACUAACAGAGAAGCGGCGAAAUAUCCUUGCACUCAUGUCUAUGGCAACGCCUUUGUUUUCUUUUAGCAUUUUUAACGAAAAUAUACAAACUCUUUUUGGCAAGAUUAUUGCUUUGGCUUAGCGAUGUCUUUCUCAGGUGCUUUUCUCAUAUAGCCUCAUCUCCGUCUGAAAGUUUGAAAAUAUUUUUCAGAAGUUUGUUUUUUUUUUUUAAAGAAAACAACAAAGUGCAAAGCUCGGAUCUUUUUGAUUUGAUAUCAUGAAUGAUAAAUUUGGUAUCAUGAACGAUGAGCAAAUGAAUUCUUGUUAAAUUAUAGGUAAACCCUUUGGCCCUUGGAAGCAAAGUGCAAAGAGGAGGUGCUUCUUGAACUGUACCAUAGGUUCGUAUUAGCUUGCAGUUUGGACUUCGAAGCUAUGUCUUCAUAUGCUCGUCAAAUACAGCAGCAACACUCUGCACCUAGUCUCUCAGACGAUUCCGGUAUGUAGUGCCAAUUUUGUCACUCUUUAGCUAUGAAUUAAUAGUGCCAAUUUAUUUUAUCCAAGUUGCACUAGUUUCCCCUUGGGCUAAAGAUGAAAAAUAAAUUUACUAAUUUUAUACAUCAUACAUGUUCUUUGCAUUGUUCUGUUUUUUAACAUCUUCCAGAUGAAGUUUUUUCUUUCGUGUUUUGCAGAGACAAGAAGCCAUUAUGAGCUAGAGUCAGGAUUCUUCAUGAAAUCGUUUACUGCAACAAUCUUUGUUGCUUCACUUGUCACCCUUGGGGUUCUACUAGUUACGUUGGUCAUUUCCUUGGUGAUUAUGCUGCAGUCCUGCCAAAGUAAAAGCGCUGGAGUAAUCGAGCUUCUGAAUAUAAAGGACUAUUACAGUUAUUGCAGGUUGUAUUCUCUGCAUGCUGAGCUCAAUAACUUAGAAGGAUACAAUCUUCCCACAACAUGCAGAAACCUGGCUGUUCAAUAUAUCAAAGGAGGUCAAUAUGCCAGAGAGUUGGAUUUGGCUAUGUCUGUGAUUGACGAUUACUUCAAGAAUGUUAAACCUUUAGAGGAUGGAUUGGAUGUGAUUUUGAUGGACAUAGAUUACAUUUUCCCUUGGAAUCACUCUUCCAAUUUGUUUCACAGGUAAUCUCUUCAAAUCAAUGACUCUCAGUACAGGAUGAUAGAGGAUAUAGAUUGCAUCAGAUUAUAGUAUAGUGGUGACAAAGUUUUUAUCAGUGGUUUGUUAAACUUGCACCAGUUCACCAAUUUUUUAUUCAUUGCUUCUCAAAACUCCGUUGAUUAUCAGUUUAAAACCCUUGUAGUUCUUAAAACAUGAUGUUGAUCUUCAUUAUCUGUAAUUGCUUCGAAUAUAAGCUUAACAAGGGUGUCUUUCCGUGUAGGUUUUAUAAUGACAGCACUAGCAACUGUAUUAAAGAGGCAAACAAUGUAAAGCUCAUGUUUGUUUUAAGAUUAUACAUGUACCUGCAAACUGGUGGAUGGUCUAUAAUUUUGUUAUCAAGAGAACCUAGAACAUACCGAAACGUCACCAUUAAUCAUCUUGUCUCUGCGGGAUUUAGAAGCUGGUCUGCCUUGAUAAUGAGGUAAGUGAUAAUGAUCCUUUUAUAUAUCAAAGAUCAAGCCUUGUUACCAAGUCUUGUGAGUCCUCAAUCGGUUAUGCUUUAAAUACAUCAUCUUGUAUUCAGGAUUACCAACAUAUUAAGAGAUCAUUUAAUAUUUCAGAAUUUUAGUUAUCUACCAGGCUACUACUAAAUUUAGUUUUAGGUUUUUCAAACGCAUUAUAAAGGUACAUUUUUACAAACUUAGCUUUACCAAAAGUAUCAAGUGAGAACUAAAUCUUAUGCUGUCAAUUGUUUACUUUUUUUUACAGAGCAGAAGAUUCAGAUCCUACGAAAGGGUAUGAGUACUUUUGUGGCAAAAGGAAUGUGGUAAGGAAGAAAGGCUUCCGAAUAAAAAGCAUCAUAAGCAGCCAUAUGGAUGCCGUGACCGUUCGAGAGACUGGAGAGCGAAAUUUUUUACUUCCAGACCCUCUGUGUGACAAGUUUAUGAGAGAGCAUAGAUACUGAAUGUUAGUUUCAUCAUUCAUCCUUCGGGAAGAGAGUUCCUUUUAUUAUUCUCUGAAUCUAAGUUUGUUCUUGCCACUCAUUUAGCACCAAUCCUACUAUCUAAUCUUUCCUCGAGGCUAAAAUAGCUCUCCAACUUAGAGGUUUGUUUGUUAUGUGGUUGUAGAUCCUUGCAUACUCAUGUCUGAGACAUUACGAGUAUGUUUGAAAACCAAUUAAUCAAAUGCAGGAAAAUUUCGUUUUACUGAUGUCGAUAAGGCAUUUAAAUGUAUCCAAACAUGUAUAUAAUAUUAUUACAUAUAUUUUUUUAAGGAGUUCUUAUAUUUUUGACAAUUAAUUGAUUUCAUACAAUACUGUACAACCACGAUAAAUUCUAAAAAGUUUUUUUCCACUGAAAUGCUUAUUUAUUCUCUUAAAUAUAGUAUUUAUUAUUAAAAUAAAGUUAGUAAAUGGUUGUCGACAGUAAACAGUGUUACACAUAAAGAUUUUAGUGCUUGGAAACAAUUAGCGUGUUGCAGGAAUUUCAGGCUCAUAAUCACGUUCCUUUGGAAUCUUUGAUAACAAGCUUAGAUUGCGGAAAUAAAUCUGGAUGACGAGAAUCAUGUAAUUUCUUUGCAGUAUUUUGAGCUUCAAUUUCCAUUUCAAGAACAAGGUUCUGCAACUUCAAAUAAUUAAUGAUACUUCAAAGGUAACUAAACCCAUAAUUGCCAAACGAAAUUCCUUAUUUAACCUGUUUCACCAUUUUGCUUUUUUCUUUCCGAGCAACUGGUGUCAAAUCAGUAUUCUCUAAUUAAAGAAUUCAAAAUAGAAAGAUUGGGAUAACAUCUGCACAGGGGUAGCAAACAUCUGACUGAUUUAAAACCAACUGUAAAUGGAUAUUCACAUUAAAAUAACACUAAAAUAAUAUGAAUAAACUAAAGAACUAUUUAUCAGUUACUACUUAUUGCGUCUAUCGGUCAUUGAUAUACAGUUUUAAACUUCCAAGUAUAGUCUCGUUUAGGAAACCCCUUGAAAAUUUAUGCCAUCGCCAUAUUGCAAGGAACGGACCACUUUGCCUGGCCACCACGUUCUAUGAGGUACUAUAAAAAAAUAUAUACCGAAAGCAUGACAAUGGCCUAGACCGGAGGCGGACCGCUAGACUGAAGCCGCUGCAACCACGAGAUCCUCAGAUUAGGCGUUUUCAAUUGCAGAAAAAUUUCCCUAUAUUCCUGCUUAAGGAAUACAUCUAAAGCAAACAUGUAGAGCUCACUUCCUUGUUCUAUUUCUUCCAUUCUAUCAAGGCAUUCAAUGCACUCACCGAUGCUAUAAUUGCAUUUGCCUUCAGUGGAUGAAACUGCACUAGCAUUCUUUUGAAUACUUACACCAUUUCUUGAUACAACCGCAUCACAAUAACAUUCGGUUUUCUCGUUAAAGUUGACAGUAUCAAGUUCUUUUGUGUGAAAAGGGAAAGUAAUAACACUAUCAUCACUUUUCCUUUGUUGAGCCGUGGGUUCAGUCUCUCCAGUAACAGUAGUUCCAUUAAAGAUGGCUUCCAACAUGUCAGUGAAUUGUAGCUCCUUUAAGCGAAAUUGUGAAGCUUCUGGAUUUUCCUGUACCAAAAAAGUGGAAAUCAUGAACUUCCGUUAAGAUUUAGAAACUUCCAUGGGCUACAAAUUAGCUGCACUCAGAAACUUACCAUACCUGUAAAUAGUUGUUCCAAUCUUCUUCACUAGCCUCAAACCUCAGGUUAGAUGGGUCCCAUUUCAUGUAAUUGGUGCCAAUAAGCUUACACCAAAUUUUCCAUUGUUCCUUGGUAGAAUCCCAGUGAUUCUUAAGUUGUAAUCUACCAUAAUUUAAACCAGUUUUUGCAUAAAAUGUUUCCAUAAUGUUUUUCCAACCUUCCUUUGUAAAAUGUGUCCCGGGCUUAUUCCCUUGUAACGUCUCCUGCAGACAUAGAUCAACAAAGAUCUUGUGCACUGUAGGAGUCCAUGCAGCUUUGACCUUGGGAUGUGAUGAACUGGACAUGCUCUGCUCACUUGGAACUGUACUGAUUGGGAUGGCAUUAACCAUAAUGGCACUCUUUAAUCCACUAUCCCGACCAACAUUCCUACGUUUCUUCUCCCGCUCUUUUCCACGCAAUGUAGCUGAGGCAUCAUUUUGCCUCUUAAUCAUUGCUACCAUUUCCUCAGUUGGCAUAGCUCCAUCAAAGACGACACGUAAUUUGUCAGAAAACUGGAGCUCCUUAAACCGAAAUUGUGCAGCUUCUGGGAAUGCCUGUGACAAAAUGACUUCAUUACUUUUAAAACAAUGAAAAAGAUCACUUAUAAUAUUGAAUGAAUAUCAGUAAUUACGAUGAAUACUUUUAUACAAUUGUGCCAGUCUUCCUCAGAAGCACCAAACGUAUUGGUAUGAGGGUCCCAUUUCAUCUUAUCAUCACCAAUCAACUUAGCCCAGAUUUUCCAUAGUUUCCUAGUUGAAUCAUAAUGAUUCUUAAUUUGUUUUUUAUCGUAUCUCAUACCAGUCUUUGCAUUAAAGGAUCCGACAAUAUUCCUCCAGCCCUCCUUAGUAAAAUGUGUAGCAUUCUUGUUCCCCUUCAACGUCUCUUCGAUGCACAAGUCAACAAAGAUUUUAUGGUAUGCAGGUGUCCAAGAAGCUUUUGGUGUUGGCGAACAGCCAACCAUAAUGGUACUAUCUGAUUCAUAAUCCCUACUAACAUGCUUGCGUUUCUUCUCUCGCUCUUUUCCACGCAAAGGAGAUGUAGCUGAAGCAUCAUUCUGCCACUUGAGACUGGCCCACCUUUUCAUUUCCUCGACUCGAUUUCCUCCGUCAAAGAUGAUAUCGAGUUUGUCUGUAAACUGGAUUUCCUUAGACUGAAACUGCGCAGCUUCUGGGGUUGCCUGUGAAAACUUGGCUUCAUUAUUAUUACUCUGGAACCAAAAGGGCAUCUUACAAUCUUGGAUUUGCAUAAAUUAUAAAUUAAUAGUCACUAUUCAUACCUUUAUAUAAUUUUGCCAGUCUUCCUCAGAAGCACCAAACGUCCGUGUUUCUGGAUCCCACUUCAUGUUGCUAUCAUCAGUCAACUUGACCCAGACUUUCCAUAGUUUUCUAGUAGAAUCAUAGUGAUUCUUAAAUUGCUUUUUUUCAUAUCUCACACCAGUCUUCGCAUAAAAGGAUCCAACAAUGUUCCUCCAACCCACCUUAGUAAUUCUCGUCGACCCGGGUUCAUUCUUCAACAUUUCUCCAAGGCACAAAUCAACAAAUAUACCAUGGAACCCAGGUGUCCAUGUGGCUUUAGAAGUCGGACUGGACAUUCUUGUAUAACGAAAAUGUUCUGAUAAUUUUACACGCAAUUAACGAGUGACAAUCAAACCAACCAACUUCAAUUUCAUAAAAUACAACAAGCUCCUAUUCUAAUUGUCAACUCUCCCAUCUGAACCCCUACCAAUCACACCGCAAAGAAUAAUAAAUUCAUCUUGCCAAGACUAGCAUAUAAGGAAAUAACUAUUAACAAAUGAAAAAAAAAAAACAUUAAACUAAAAUAACUCUUGAGUGGGUACAAUUGCACAGACCUUUGCUCCUAAGAUGAAUAAUAACACAGAUUUCACAAAUCAAGAUAUUUUUACAACCUCAAAUGGAGAGACUCUGAGCCGUGAUAUCUAUAAUUCACCUUCACCAACAUGCACGUGCAUGCUUCGAUCAUAGAAGGGAUCAAGGAUGGGGAAAGGGGGGUUUCAGUGAUAAUGGGACUAAAAUUGAAAGGAAAAAACGAAAGAUUAAUCAAAGACGAUGAAUUGGUACUAUCUUUGCAUGCGCGACAAGGUAUAAGAGCCGAAAAACAUUUGGGGGAAAAACGGGUAACAGUGAGUGAGAGCGAAGAGGCGAAGUGUUAUACCUGAACAUCAUCGACAAUGCCGCAUUUGUAACAAACGCUAAUUUGAUCGUCGAAAGUGCUUCGGAAACUCAAGACUCGAGAUACGUAUGUUCUUUUUCUCUGGGAUUAUUAGCUCCUAACCUUCUGUCAUUGUUUCUUUUAUUUUUUUUUUCUUUACGAUCACAAACGAAGCCCAUCAGUAAAUGGGCAAAAAGCUAACUCUAUUUAGGACCUAAGUUGAGAGAGCCCAAUAUCUAUUUUCAACUUUAUACUGAAAAAAUAAACAAAACAAUAUCUUCUUUAAGUAGACACGUAUGUGUUUAUCUAUGUUUCAAAAUUGGACUUAAUAUCACAACAAAGAUUCAGUUUAGCAUGUGUAAGAGUCAUUGCAUUAAACAAUUCGAAGACGUAUGUGAAUUUGGUUACUCGUGUUUCGUCAUUCUUUUCCUUUUAAAGAAUGAUUUGAUAGAGAUAGAUUAGAUGGAUUUGAAGCUCAAGUUUAUAGUAUAUUUUUCUUUUAAUUUAGAAGUGUGGUGGAGUAGAUUUGUGAGAAAUUUGAUUGAUAGAUUAAAAAGUAAGAUUAUCAAAUUUACCUAUAUGUUAAAAGUAAUAUAAUAUUAUAUUUAAAUAACUCACAAUUAUUUUAUAAUUUUUUUAAUGAAUGAAUUUUUUAAAAAAAGUAUUAAUUAAAAUAAAUAAAGAUAUAAAACAUAACUUAUUUUCACACUCUUGAAAUCAGUUCCAUCCACAACAGAACAAGUUUCAUUUUUUUCUUUAAACACAAUGAAAUCGGUUUCAACUUUGACACAUUCAGUUUCCCGUUAGUCUCCAUGAAUGUAAUUUCAACUGUGACAGGAAGGAUCUUAAUGUAAAAGCAUGGGUCUCACACUUAAAUCUUAACUUUGAAGCUAUAUGACACAUUAACAUAGUUUAUCUCUCAAAUCAUCACUUCCCGUUUUCUUGGAAUAAUAAUUUCAUGUAAAACAACACAACCUUAAGAUACUUGCAAAGAUUUACAAGUAAAACUUAUGACAGAUAACAAAUGAAUACUAGUAAUAAUUGAUAUAGAUAUUUAAUUAUUUGUUUGUUGAUAAAACGAGUAUAAGUAUUAUACUAUCUAAUCCAUAAAUAUUCAUUACUAAAUAAUAAUUAUUAAUAAAUUUUGUUUCAUUUUUUUUAAAAUUCAAAUAACCAAAAUAAAAUUAUUGAUAAAAAAAUAUUGAUAAUAGAAUAAUUAUUUAAAAUUUAACUUUAAAUAUUUCUAUUUCUUUAUUUAGAUCUAUAAAAUUGUGGUUAUUUUGUAAAAGGUUAAUUUUUAGAGUUUAUGUUUUAGUGUAAAUAAUUUAAAUUUGUUUUUGGUAGAAUUUUUAAUUGUAUUUAUUUAUUAUGUGUAAAAUCUUAUUAACUACAAUAAUAAUAUUUGUAUGCGUAUUUUAAUACUGACAUUAUUUACAUAUAUUUAUUAUAUGAGAAAAGAGAGAAUAGAUAAAAUAAAAUAUUAUAUAAUUAUUUUAGUAAAAAUGUUUAUUGUAUUUACUAAUUCUCUCAAGUAUAACGGUGAAAGACAGGUAAUAUGUAUAACUUGAGGGAGUUCCACGGUAAUUCCUCUUUCCUUGUAAGUUUUUUUUUUUUUUCUUUUUUAACAUGUAAUUAAUCGGAAGUUUAUAAAAGAGCACUGAAAUUUGAGCAGUUCUAAUUGCUAGCAAAUGAUUUACAUUUAUCCGAAGGCAUUUUUUCUCUAUCACACCAGUUCCUGCUUCUCCUCUCUUGUGAAAACCACACAAGAGUUACCAACAGAUGCAAGUCUAAACCAUUGAAAUUCACUAACCUCCAUUGUUAUAGUUUUUCACUUUGUUAGUGUCAUCUGCAUUUGCUUUAGGAGUUGCUUCACCAAAAGGAAACACCUUCUUGCUUUUCAUUUCCUGAUUGUAAAAAAUCUCUCUUGUCUAAUUUGGGACUUCACUGUUCCCUUUCUUCAUCAACUUGCUGUUGGAUUUGUUAUUUAUUUCUGCUAUCAUUUCAUUAAUUCUACUAUGAUCUCAAUUCCCCUCGAUUCUAAAGGAUAAAAGUUCAACUCUUGUAGAUUCUUUAGUUUAUGCUCUCACCGAAAGUAGAGUCUUGACUACACUUGAAGGAUUGUUAAUAUCUUGCCCCUUCAAUCAUUGUUGCGUUAGUUCUUUGUUGUUGCUGUCGUUCAUUUUUUUUUCCAGUUUCUCGUUCAUCUCGAGUGUAGGGGAAUUUUGUUGUAAGGUAUGGAAUUCGAGACCCCAUAUCCAACUUGUUUUAUGUCAAAUUCAAAUUGGUUUGUUCAAGAGGGUCACUACACAGAAUGGAGUAGAGAAGAGAAUAAGCAGUUUGAACAUGCCCUUGCCAUAUAUGACAAGGAUACCCCAGACAGAUGGCUGAGGGUUGCGGCCAUGCUCCCGGGAAGAAGUGUCUAUGAUGUGAUAAAACAGUACAGGGAAUUGGAAGAAGAUGUUAGUGAAAUAGAAGCAGGAAGGAUUCCAAUUCCUGGAUAUGUUACCUCUUCUUUCUCAUUGGAGAUGGUUGACAACCAUUGUUAUGAUGCCUGCAGAAAGAAGCCUGCAACUGUCAGGAGUUCUGAUCAGGAGAAGAAGAAAGGGGUCCCUUGGACAGAAGAGGAACACAGGUCACUUGCAUCAUCUUCAUUUCUCUUUCUUUUUAAUGUUUUACACUGGUUGGGGAAACUGCAUCAAAAUGUAGUCUGUUUAACUUUUAUACACCCAAUUUCAAACGUAUUUAUCCAAAAAACUGCCGACAUGUCAAAACAUAUUUUUUAGUUAAACUGGGUACUUCUUAUGCAGUUUUAAUCUCUAUGAUUUUUGGGUGUUGAAUUUCAGACGUUUUUUGAUGGGACUUUUAAAGUAUGGUAAAGGAGACUGGAGAAAUAUUUCUCGCAAAUUUGUGAUCACAAAGACUCCCACUCAAGUGGCAAGCCAUGCUCAAAAGUAUUACAUAAGGCAAAAGCUUUCUGGAGGGAAAUACAACAAGAGGAGGCCUAGUAUCCAUGACAUCACCAUUGUUAAUCUUACAACAGACCAAGGGAAGUUUAAUGAAUCUCACGUGCCCUCUGAGAAACUGAAGCUGAAUAGCAUGCCAAAAGUACAACUUGAAUGGAUAAAUCGCCACAACAAUAUUGGUUCACUUAUGGAUUUCAAUCCAAAUUAUAUGUUGAUGUCACCUUCAUCUGGCAUCGUAUCUCCCAAGACCCUCAAAUUGCAAGGUCUGGAUUUCUAUGAAUGUGCUUUUCAUAAGACUUAUGCCAAGCUUAAAAAUCCGGAUUUCAACAAGGAAGCUAUAUUUGGUAUUCAAGCACUGUCAUGCCCGCUCUGAUCAUGUGAUGAACCACACACCAGUUCUGUUACAUAGAUAAUAUAUAGCCCUGCAUGAAUACAAGUAUAUGAUCUAAGGGUACUUGUUUUAUAUUAUGAACAUAAAAAUAAUGUUUCAUUCCUUGAACUGUUUUGGAGUGAACCUUUUCAAUGUUUCUUGUCUAUCUCAGUCAGACAAUUAAGGUGUCUAUUUGUUUGUAUAGACUCAAUCUGCAUCAAUGUUUAUUGAAUUCCAUUAGAUCACAAGUGUGUAAAAGAUGAAGGUUUUAAAAUGUAAUUUAUUUUGGAAGCUUUUCAUUCCUGUCCAAUAAGCUAUAAAUUAAAGCACAUAAUGGUAUUAAUGUUCUGUCCUCAAAACCCGAGACCAAUAUGUUGCUGUUGGUUUUCCACUCAGACCUCAGUGUUCCAUUUCCCAAAAUAUAAAAACUUAUUUAUAUAAAAUGUACCUUCAUAAGCAUAGGUUGGCCAAUUCACUUGCUGAUUUGGCUGACUCGCUUGAGCACUUGGAUUGAAACUUUGGGUGUAGAUUCUGAUGAUAUGGUAAGCUUUAUGUCUUUUGACACUUUCCACCAUCUCUAAUCAUAUGCUUUCUGAGAGUAAGUUGACCAGAUUUGAUCAUCAGCAUCACGUUGGUAGUAGAAUCUGAGUUUGCAUUCCACUUAACUAGAAUCCCAUGCUCAUUGGAUCAGAAUACAGGCACGUUCACGUACAAAUGCCAAUGUGGCUCACACUAUCAUACUCAUCUUUUGUUAAUUUCAAUUUUCAGCAAAUCUACCUUUUUGUGGUGACAAUACUGUUGUGCCAGCAUUUUUUCUUCCUUUACUGGUCACUGGAACAAUCAUGCUUUAUUUUGAUUCUUUGUAUUACUUGCGAACCCAAUAAUAUAUACUAUAGCCUCCUGCAUUAUGCGGAUUUUUCUUUUCUCGAAAACUAUUAGUAAUAGUAACAAAAGGUAGAAGCAGACUUUAGAUACGUGCUGUGCAUUUUUAAAUAUGUGACCUAUGAAUAUGAGUAUUUGAUUAUAAUUAAAUUGGUAUUAUAAUUAAAGCUAUUUACGUUCAAGGAAUCAAAAUUUGAAUAUUAAAUAAAAUAAUUAAUAUAAUAAAAUGUUAAGAUUGUUUGAAUGAAACGUGAUUUAGUAAUAAUACAACAUUCACUUAUCAUUGAACAAUCAAAUGUUGUAUUACGUAAUUGUUGAGUUAAUUUUUUAAAAUUAUGUUGUACUUAAACGUUUUUGUGAAAUUGAUGAAUUCUAAACUUAGCAAUGUGCAUGUUUAUUUUAUUUUGUAUAUCAAGUGUGAUAAAAAUAGAGUUUCACUUUAUUCCAUACAAUCACUUAUAUAGUUCAUGAUUAAACUCAAUCUAUUAGGACAAAUGCUUUUCAAGUAUAUUAAAGACAUAAUCAAUAAAUUUGUUAUAAUUAGAAUAAUCAGAUUAAGAUAGUUUUAUUUCCACCAGUGUUUUUCUUUUUCUUUUCCCUUUUUUAUAUUAAUAAUUUAUGAUGCAGUGUUUUUUCUUUUCUUUACCCAUUUUAUUGUUAAGGAUAUACUAAAGUUUUUUCUUUUAUUUGUAUCUUUUAUCAACUGCAUAAUUUCUUUUAUAAUAUAACUUUUACUGAAUCAUUAAACUUAAAGUUCUUUUGUGGGUUCUAGAAAGAACAUAUACUUCUAAGUAACUAGAUGGCAUACAGAGUUAGUUAAUUCCAGGAAUCAUUUCCCACAGUAUCACUUAGGGAAAAUGAAGUCACAAAAAGAAAUGACAAUGACAUUAUUCCUUGUUAAUUUGCAGAUAAAAAUAAAAAUGUUUUCAAAUGGAAAGAAAAAAUAAAUUGUUUUAAUUAAUAAAAACAAUUCAAGUUGAGAGCAUAAGACGAAAGGAAGAAUUGGAUGUUGGACUAACUUUAGCUCCCUACAAUGGCCACAACAUUAUAGUACGACCGUAGUGCCCUGCUUCAGCCGUUGCGUCGCAUUGUGCCUUUUGCGCCUUUUAUGGGCCACAAUAUCAUCCCACAACAUUUACAUCUUACUCAUCACCAAAAAAUCUUUUAUAACAACUCUUCUCAUCAAACAAUCUUAUUUCCUCUUAACACCUAAUUACUGGAACAAAUUUAGACAGAUCAUACACCCUAAUUCAAGUAAUUUUACCUUAAAAGUUAAGAUCAUAACUAAUAAAAUCCGAAUAAUAGUUAAUAAAAAAACAUAAAUUAUGACACGUGAUAAAAUCUUUUAACAAUUAUAAAUGAAGCCCUUCAAAACCAAACUUCAAUGUUGCAAAGGAUCACCGUAUCUUUUGGUUAGAAAAAUAAAGAUAAAACUCAAUUUUAGAGAGAGAAAAAUGUGAUUUACAUAAACUUGGAUAAGGAAAAACUUCAGAAAAAAAAAAUUCUAUCCCUUUCGCACUACAACAAAGUGAAAUAGAUAAAAUGAGUGAAUAAGAUUGGCAACUGCACCUCAGAGUUUCUUGGUGAACUCCAGUCUAGAGGAUCAUACACACGUUAACAAGGACGGUUUCUUAAUAAGAUUAUCAUUUCAUGCCAUUUUUAUAAUUGACGUGCACUUUGGAUAAGAAUGAACGAGCAUCGUUCUAUGAGGAGACUACCUUCGACAAAAUGACAAAUGUGGCAAUUGUAAAUGCCAAAUUGGUGGUGAUGAGAUGUGAUUGCAGAUAUUUUUAUUAUAUCCUAAUGUGACACCAGCCAAGAAAGACUUCUUAACUAAGUAGUUUUGGGAAGAAAGGAUUGAUUUUCCUUUUAAGUUUCCACAUACAGUUUUCUUUGUGGUCCAUAUCAAUGUUAAACUUUUUGUGUGCGUUUUAUUUCUCUCUCAAGGGUUAAAGUUGAUGUACCAAAUCAAGGUCAUGAUAGUGAACUAAAGAAUGCAGAGAUACCAUUUAGUUUGAUGGGAAAACACGAAUGAAAGGAAAAAAGAAAAAAGAAAACUACUCUGGCUUUUUUCACAAAAUUGAGAAUUUCAGUUUUAAAGGGAACCAAUUGUGUUAGGGGAAGCGUUUCUGAAUGAAAACAGGCUUAUUACAGGAGUAAUGGUCUCAAAUGCACUAGAAAUAGAGCAGGAACAUAGAUAGAAGCCAAAUAUGAAAGUAGAGAAGAUGAAAAAGAAAAGAAAAAAGGGUAUAUACAGAACUCUAGGCGUCAACAAGACGCGUGGCAGUUUCCAAAGGCACAACAGUAUCUGGAAAAUCUGAUCUCUGCCCUGCAAGAGAAUAAUAGGCAAGAAUAUGAGCUGGAUGCUCAACAACUACAGUCUCAUCCUGAUGGUUAGGCACCUUUCUAGAAGGAAUCAACUCAAUGUUCCAAAAGGGGCGAGCCAUUGCCAAAAGGUCAUGCCCAGAUGGAGAUGCGCCAUACCCUUGAACCCACAAGUACCUUAGAGAAGUUAAUCGCGUUGCAGCCACAGCAAGUGCUCGCUCACUGAAAAAAGAACACCCUCUCAUUUCAAGUUUCUGAAGACUAGGACACCCCUUUGAGAAUUCCAAAAGCCCUGCAUCAGACUCCCCCACAUACCCGAGCAGCAUCCAUCGAACAUUUGAACUGUACUGUCCUAUGUAACCAAGACCUACAUCAGUCAAACCCCCCCGCCUCAGAUAUAGAGCAAAUCUUCUCAGCUUCUCACAGCCACUUAGAAGAGCCCUCACUCCGUUGUCAAGUGGCAAAUCAGUUAUUUUCUUUUCAUGAUCAAGUAACACUAGGCGAAAAUCGCAUAGCUUUUUUAAGUGAUUUCCAAUAUGUUCCAGAGAUGCAUUUGUAAUAUCGGACACGUAAACAGCCAUGUAUUCAAGCUCUGAACAGCCCUGUGACAAGGCUAUUAGCCCUCUAUGAGACACAGUACCUUCUUCAUCCUCCAUUCCUUGAUCAUCAUCACCCCUUUCAAUCCUAAGCCUUUUUAGCCUCCUACAACAACGACCAAGAACUUCUAACCCUCUAUCGCCAAUUACAUUCCUCGUCUGUCCAUAAAGAAAGAUAUCAACCAUAAACGUUUCAAAUGUAGUUCUGCUAAAUUCAAAAUUACUGACAUAUAUAUACUCCUCCUUACUCAAAUAUAUAUAAAACAAAAAUAUUAAUACCACUGUAUUAAGAAAAGUAAGUUCAUAUCAUUUAAUUUUUAGUAAUUUCAAUUUAAAAGCAAAGUUUUUUCAUAUAUUAUCAUUCCUAGGAAUUUAGUACUAUGAAUGAAAAAAAGGGGUCUUCAGAAACAAAAUCACAAUUAAAGGAAAGGUAUUUUGGGGCUGGUAUCAUUAUAUAAAGUGAAAUUAAUAAUGAUUACAUAUUUGGACAAUUGCUUGAGUGUGUGUAUAUAUAUAUCUAUAUUUUCAUGCAUGAGUGUUUAACAAAUUCAAUGUUAUAACUGGUUAACAUAGUUUCCUUCAAAAGACAAAUGAAAGUAUAUUAUCAAACCCUUACAUAAAACCUUAGAUACACACACGAGGUUUUAAAUAUGUUCUAGUUUUUAUAAAAUGAGUGUAUUUUAAUUUUAGUUGUAGUCUCUCUAAAAUUUAAAAUCAUUCCUUAAUUUAUCUGGCACCCAUAUAUACGUUUGUUUUGAACCAUGUCAAUUGAUUAUUUCAUGUAAUGACUAUUGGUUUGUGACAUAAUUUCAUCAUAGAAUGUCUUCAAGAAAAUUUUUAAAAUUAUGAAAUAUAUAGUAUCUCUCUAUUCUAAAAUAAAUGGUAAACACUAAUAAUUUUGAAUAGGAGGGAAAAUAAGAAAGAAAAGAAAAUUUUACAAAAAGACGAAAAUAUAUAUAUAUAUAUAUAUAUAUAUAUAUAUAUAUAUAUAUAUAUAUAUAUAAGAAACAAAAUAAAAAGCCGCUUGUAUAGGAGUAAAAACGUAUUGAGUAAAGAGGUAGAGCGGUUAAUUUGAAAUCCUUACAUGUACAAGUUGGGGAACUUACCUCAAGGACUUCCAGAUUUGGACACUUUCGGAUUAAGGUACAAUGAUCUUCUGUGUCCAGCAUUGCAUAGAGGAGAUCCAAUUUUUUUAGUACGCCUGCAAAUAAGAACACUAUGGGCAACUCAUUCUUUCCAAUAUACGUUAAACCCAAUCGACAUAACUUUGCUGGCAAUGAUAUAGCAGAGUAAUUUUCUGGUUCCGCGUUGUAGGUGCCUCCACAAAACUCUUCCAGAGCAGACGCAUGCUUAAAGAAGUUCACAAGAUCAAGUAUUUCACAAUCAGUAAGUUUCACAGACACUAGGUUGGGGCAAUUUCUAGCCAGGAGUUCAAGGUCCUGAUUCCUUAUACAAGCAAUGUCUGUCAAGUAAAAGUUCAGAUCCUCAAGAACCGUAUUAUUCAAAGCAAGUUCGUGUAGCCAUUCUCCGUCCUUCUCAACAAUAGAACUUUCCUCCAGAAACAGCACUCUCAAAUUCCUGCCAAAGAAAAAUUUACAGUCAGAGCCACAAAAAUUUAAUUAGCUGCAAGCAAGUUUUAGCUUCCAAUAAACAAGGUACAUCGUACCAAUGUAUUUCUAAAUUCUAAUAUGCCUAGAAUUUAUUCCCUAAAACCAAGAUGUCUGUUAUCAUGUAAUUUUUAUUCUAAGAAAAUAAAAUGAAAACAGAAAAAGGUAUAAGAUUCUUUCUCCCUUAAAUGAAGCAUAAAGUAUAAGAAUGGCAAUACUUCAGUUUAAAAAAAGAACGCAUAUACUAUGAGAAGAAGACUUGUAUCUUCAUCCUACAAGUUACAGAAACUGAUCGCCAUCCUUAUAACUUACUCCAUAAAUGACUAAUCACCAGAAAAAAUACACUCAAUUCGAAGAUUCCAAACUUCUGGAAAACGAAAUUCAAACCAUUUAAUCAUUUGAAGAACUGUUAGAAAAAAUAAAAAACUAGUAACCGACAUUGGAACAAAAACGAAAUUAAACCAGCUACCUCUUCCCCAGGAUACACCAAUAAAUAAUGAAUUUAUAGCUAAUACAUAUUCCUACGUUUUCUUCCAUCUUAUCUUUCAUUCAAUUUCUUUCCUAAAUAUUUUUCUUCACAUCGUAUCAUUUUCCCUAAAAUCCUUCAUUUUUUUUUCUUUUUCUUUUUACCUCUCCACUUUUUCCGCUCAUAUACUCAUAUGGGUAUGUUGCUCAUAAAUUUAGGAAUCCUCAACAGUUAACAGUAACUUACAGUAACUGAUAUUGUGACACAACAAUUUAUUACCCAAUGCCAUUAAAACAAAGCUUCCUUUGCCAGACAACUGGAAUGGAUACGUAGCAAUAAAAGCUUGGAGGAUUAGCGAAACAAGUAAUAACACUUGGCGUUACUGGUUAGCCAUUCAGGGCUCUGUGAAUAGUAAAUAAACAGCCAUCAUCACGCAAAUCGAGUAAAUAAAAAGCACCAACUACACACGAAUCUUAGGUCAAAGAAUCCAACUCCUCAACGAAGAAUAACACACAACUGAACAUAUUCAAAGAAAAGGAACUCAAACUGCUAAACCACUUCAACAAAACAUCAGUAUCGGAACAUUAUAUAUGCAAAUUUCAAGUUAAUGAAACUUAAUUACUCAAUUUUUCAUCACUGUGUUUGGUAUUAAUCCAAUGAAUUUGACAGAACCUGCCAAAGCAAUGCUAUUUUUCGGUGCAUGGAGAGAGAAAAAAGGGAUAGUUAACUUUGAAAAAAAAUUAAAUUAUUUUAAACACAACAAUAGUUAGGGCAACUUAGCUAGUCACUGUUAAACCCCUUCAUCGAUACAUAACUUUUCAAAAAUCCGUCAUAAAUUAUCCCCUUUCGAGCAAACAAAUCAAUUAGUUACUAAAACUAAAGUUGUGAAACAAUUCACAGAGAAAUUUAAAAAGUUCUGUCCCCAAAGUUCAGUAACUCCAUGAUGAACAAGAGAAAAUCAUAUUUUGGUCAUUAAUUUUUAUAACAGGAUGCUUAAUUUGGAAAGAAAGCAAACUAACAGAAGUAACAGUAGUAACAAUAAAAGGAAUUAAGGUAAUUUACUUGCAAAGGCGACCAAUAUGGAGAAGUCCAUCGGUGGAGAAACCGGAGCACUUGUCAAGCUUGAGAGCCUGCAGCACAUGACCUCGGGAGCGAGCGAGGAGCUGAAGAUCGGAAUCGGUGACAAUCAUGCGGCGGAAGUGGAGGCUCUUCAGGCAAUCGAAGUACUGAGAGAUUUCCUCAACCCAGGGGGUGACGUGGCCUCCCCAAUCCUCGGGAAUCAGGUUGAACAUUGCGGCGCGGGGCUUCCCCUUCAAUUUAAGCGACUCCAGGUGCGGAAAGCGACGACGGAGCCGCGCCGGCGUGGUGGUGUAGCAGAGGGCGAUGGUGACGUGCUUCCGGGUAAGCGAGUCGAGCUCGUACCAACGUCGACACACCUGGGAAACGGCAUCCCGGUCCUUAGGGUCGUCGAUGUAGGGUAUGACGCAGUCGAGAACCACGUCGACCACACGUGUUUUUCGCACGUUCCGCUCCUCCGACAUGGGUUGCUAUUGGAUCGGAACCUGAGGAGUGAAGAGCAGAAAAGAAAGAUGCAGGGCCGAAAGAGAGAUGACGGAGAGUGUGUGUGUAAGAGAAAGAGAGAAAAUGGUAGGACCAAUAGGAAUCGAAUGGGUGAAAGGAGAAAACUUGUUGUGAGCUUAUUACCUAUAUUUACGUGAUGUGAUGUAACACGUCACUACUCGAAGGCCUUUCUGUUAUAACAAUGUUUGAUAUUUUCAUCCCAGGACGAGGAACACAGUUUCCGGUAACCGUGAGUUGCCUGUAUGUGACGUGCGUUGUCUUGGAGCGAGAGAUGUAAUAAAUGUUGCGCAUAUAAACAAAUAAAUAUAUAAAAAAUAAUAAUAAAAUAGAAAGAAGGAGCUCCAAGCUAAUAACGUUGUACAAUCAAUAUUUUAAGAAAGAAAAAAAAUGAAAAAUGAUAACCUUUAAAAAUGUAUUUGCAAGUAUCUGGCUAAAAAUUAAAACCGAACAGAUAAAGACUGAAAAUAUGCAAGUAUUUUUAUAAAAUCAAUUUAACCUUAUAAAUAAAUAAAUAUAUAUAUAUAUAUAAAAGUUCUUACUAAUUUAAUAUGUAAAGGAUGUUGUUUAUUUUCUAAAACAAUUAAAAAAUAUAAGUGUGUGAAUAAAAUAACAGCAAAUAUACGUGUAAUCUUACUAAACUCUAUCUGUUGCUAAUAAUUUGUUUCUAUCAAAACAAAUAAAAGGGUGAAUCUCUCUUUGAUUUGUUUUAAUAUGACUUUAUUAAUAAUCAAAGAUGGUCAUAUUUUGCAGAGUAAAAUGUAUUAUAGAAAAAGCUAUAAACAUGAAAAGAAAUGUUUCGCUGGAAUAAUAUAAUCAAUUUUAAAAUAUUUAUUAGUUAAAGUAUCAAACAAAGUUAAGUUGUGAAAAAUAAAAAAGAGACAAAUGUUGGUUGCGAUAUGAAAAGUUUUAAUUUAUAUAAAAUUAUGGUUUUUUUAUAUUGAAAAUCAUUUUAUUAACUUGAAAUUAAUUUGUAAAGCUAGGGUGAAAUGUCCGGUAAUAUAAAAUCCCAUACGUAGAAAUAUUUAUUCGGGACAUAAUACCAACACAAAAUAUUUAUAAAUCAUUUCACAUUAAGUGUUUUAUAAAUAUAAAUAAAUAAACUCUUUUAAUGCAAGAGUCUACAUGUACAAAUUGGAUAUUAUUUUGUUCUUUAGUAAACAUCAUUUAAUUCAUCAGCAUUGAAGAAUGUAUGCUGCUUAAGACACCAUAUUAUACACCAAACUUACACUUUUUCACCCAAAGAUCCAAAACCUUAUAAUUAACUAUUAUAGUCAAUAAAUCAAAUAUAUAUAUAUAUAUAUAUAUAUAUAUAUAUAUAUAUAUAUAUAUAUAUAUUUCAUCUUCACAUGUUUUCAAUGUUAUCUCAAAAAUAAUAUGCUUUUGUACAAAUUAUUGCAUCAAUUAUAUAUAGUUAUCACAUUCUUACAUUAGAGAAUAAAUACAAUAACAAAUUACUGUUAAGUUAGUUAAGUUCACAAAUCAUCAUUAAGUGCAUCUCAAUAUUUAAGCCUUUAUAUCUUUUAGAACUUGUGUUAAAGAUAUUUCAAUAAAUAUUAACAUGUGACGUAUUAAUAAUAUUAUUAACAAAAGUCAGCCUUAAUUAUGUCCAGAUAGUUACUUACCUAUGCUAAAAAAAACAUAUAAAUUAAGCUUUUAAUAAUAUGUAAACUAAACACUUAAGCUUUGUAAGGAUUUUCUUUUUGCUAUUGUCAUAAAAUUGUACCAUAAGAAAUUAUAAACUUUUUAUCAUCAAUUAAUUUCACAUGACUUUGUAUUGUAAAGUAAACAGUAAAAACAUGUUUGAGAAAAAAAAUUAUAAAAAAAUGUAUUUCUACUAUUUAAAUUUUGUCAGGUUCAAAAUAAGUCAGAUGUAACACCAAAACAUAUAAGUAUAAAAAAAAAUACAACCCCACUACAAUAAUUGAAAUCUUUUUGUUAGGUUGACAAAUACAAACAGGUCAAAUCCGAUAAAUAUUAAACUUUUUAUUUGAUCAUGAAAGUAUAUAUUUUAUUGUAUUUAAUACCUCUAGAGUAAGAAAUUUACAAAUGAAAUAAGACUUGUCUAAAUAAUUUUUUACUUAUAAAAUAAUAAUGAAAUUAUAUAAAUAAUAUGGGUAGUGGUAGAUAUUAGUUAGGAAAUUACAAAUAAAGAUAAAGAUUAACUUUUUUGCAGAGUACAGUUUUAAGAGUUUGUAAUUAAUCAGUUACUUGUGGUCACUCUGCUGAAUUUAUCUUAUCUUUUCCAAUUGCAGCUAUGAUUGAGCAUCCACAUGUCAUAUUUAUAGUACUCUAUGCCCUAAGUAUCAAGCCAAAUUACUUUUCAGGCCUUUUUUUUUUUCUUAGCUGUCAUUAAAUGAUUGCACAAGAAAUAUUGUUUAAAUAGCUCGAUAAUACUUUUUAUUAAUUAAAUUAAAAAUAAUUAAUAUAGAUAAUAUGUCAAAAACACAAAAAAACACGUGUUAAAUUUAAGGAGUGAAACUCGCUAAUUAAAUUGUUAAAGAAAUAACUAGUUUCAAGUAAAACAUACACUUUUCUUUAAAAAUAAAAAAUAAAAUAAAAAAGUAAAAACUCGUCAAAUACAUACAUGCUCAUAUGUUUUUCAAAUUUAAGAUUUAAAAAAAAGUUAAUUCUAUUAUGAAAUAAUUUAGUAAUUAUUUUAUUUAAAUUUACGGAAAAAAAUAUCCAUGUUUUCUUACAAUGAAAAGAAUCAUUUUAAAAAACGGUAUUUAAUUCCAUGAAGUUGUUUUUAUAUAUUUUUUUAUUGAACUAUUUUUUUCUUUAUAUUAUUUUAAAAAACUAUAAUAAACAUAUAACCGAGGAUAAAAGUUAUUGUUUUUUAAAAUAAAGUUAUUCUUAAUCUAUAAAAGUUUUUUUUUUCAGUCUACAUAAUUUUUUUCUAAAAUUAAAACUACCCUUAACUUCUGCAUAUAAGACUUUAAAACUGUUACUCAUUUUGUAAAUCCUCUAUUCAACUUUUAUUUUUCAAUUUCUCUUAAAAAUAAUAAAGAGAAAAAAUAACAAAAAGUAAAUUUUAAAAUGCAAAUACACAUGUGUAACUAUGCUUCUGCUAGUAAUAUCUAUUACCCCAAAAAUACAACUCUUUCCAAAAUUAUCCAUAAUUUGUUUAUGUAAUAAUUGUUAAUUUUCUUGCAACCACUUUUUUUAAUUCUUGUUUCUUAAUAUCUUUUACACAUAAUAAACGAAUAACAUAAGCAACAAUUAAUAUAUUUUUUAAAAUUUACUUUUUAUAAUUUUUUAAUUACAAUAACUUAGGUAGGUUAUUUUAAAAAUUUUCAAAAAUACAAAUAUACAACAUUAAAAUGUUUCAGUUUGUAGUAGUAAAAUGAAGAAUCCUUAAACAAACAAAUAGGGUGGUUUUUAAAUAUUUACAAUUUUGAUUAUAUGUUUUUUCUAAUAAAUAUGUAUUGUUUUGGAUGACAUUGCUCCCAUAGAGGAUUAUCACUUAAACUAUAUUUAAGUGGUAUUAUAAUAUACAUUGAUAUAGAUAUUCAAAAUGUAAAAUACUUUAUUCAUGUGAUGGAUUAACACUUAAAUAGACAAAGACAAUUAUUUAUCUUUUAGGAUGAAUAUUAGCUGAGUCACUCUUCUGAAGUGGUUGUGAUCAUGUAAUUCUAAAAUAUGUGGAAUCAAGAAACUUUUGUGUUAGCGUUUAAGUAAUAAUAUAAUCAUUUAAGCAUUAUUGAAAAUUGAGAUUAACGAUGUUGGAACUUAUUGAAAAAUACAACAAGUAGAAUUUGUCCAGUGUUGUAGAAUGAUACUUAAUUGACAAUCACUCAAACUUUAUAUAAGUAUUUAAGUCAAUGAGAGGUAAAAUCAAUUUUAUUUAAAGUUGUAUUACUAAAGUUAUGUUGUUCAAACAACAAAGUUUUCCUUGGUUUAAAGAAGUACGAUCAUUUAAGUUGGAUGAAUUCUUCAAACGAUUUUUAUCUAAUGAUAAGGGUGAUAGUAAUGAUGAAUAUGUGAUGUUAUAUAUGUUUAUAUAUGAAAAUUUGAUAUUACUGAUAGUCAAAGUAUGUCAGUAAUGCAUGAAAUUUGUCAAAAAAUUUAAAUUAUAGAUAGUUUUUCAGCAAUAAAAAAUUUGUCAAUAAAAAUAUUGUCGGUAAAUAUUAUUGAUGAAAUUUUUUCAUUUGAUAGUAAAUUUGUCGAUAAUUACUGAUAAAAAAAUCCAUCGAUCAUUACCAACAAAAAAUUCGUUGGUAAAUUCAUAUUGUAUUUAUAGUAUUGAGAGAACGAUGAACAAUUAUAUAUAUAUAUAUAUAUAUAUAUAUAUAUAUAUAUAUAUAUAUUUUGUUGACAGUAUUAGUAACCAAUUAAUGUGAAUUAGAGAGAUCAUUUAAAAUUUUCUUAGUAAUAGUGAAAUAUCUAUGAUUGUGUUUAUUUCAAUUAUUUAUAAUACACGAUACGUACCGUACUUUCUUAAUGUACGUUAUACAGUAUUAAGUAUAGAUAGAUUAAAUUAAAUUUAAAUUGUAAAUAUGAAAUUCGUGAUGGAAUAUAUGGGAGAAAAAUUAAAAGAAAGAAAAGAAAAUAAAGUGGGAAAUUUGCAUGGCGUGUGAAUUAGAGGAAAGUGUAAAAAGAGGAAUUUUUGAGGCAGCAUGAGAAUGUGUAAAAAGCAAUGAUAAUAAUCAUCAUCUAGAAGCUGACACUGUUAUUUGAAAAGCACGUUAAGUUUACUUCAACUUUAAGAAGAUGGAGAUUACGAGCAGUGCCACCGUGUUUGGCAAUAAUGCAACUUAACCCGCCGCACCUAAUUAAACCAUUAUUUUACGAAACCAUUGAAUUUUGCUCCAAAGGAUCUAUCAUCACAACUAGAUCAUACUUUAUAUAAAUAAACUAUAAAUAUUUCCAUGGCAAUCAAUAAUGGAGAAUAUAUUUCUUGUCCAUGAACCAUUUCUAACUCAUCUUUUGACAUUUUAAAUCUACUUUACAUAAACUAUUUUUUCUUUUCGAAUCUAAUAUUUAAAGUAUAAUCUUUAGUUGCAUCUCAGGGUCCACUAUACAACACGACUCACCGGAUUCUCAGCUAGAUCCUCUAUACCCUAAGUUUUUUCGAUUAUUACUUUAUAAAAAAUAAUUAUGCACUAUCAUUAUAAUAUAAUAUAUAUUUUUCUUAAUUAUAAAUCACUAUAUGCAUAAGUUAUACUUUUUAUAAUAGUUACUUUAAGAAAAUACACAAUAGUUAGCUGUAAAAAGUAUUUUACUUGUAUCAUCGUUAAACUAUCGUUUUGAUAAUUGUUGCCACUCCAAAUUUGUUUAAUUAUUUUUUUGGGCCGAAAGAUAUUUAUAAUUUAAAUAAGGGCAAGUUGUUGUUUGACAGAUCAUUAGAAAAGCUCCAGCUUAUUAAAUAGAUUUGUUACUGUCAUGUAGCUCUUGGUUUUUUUCUUGGUGGUUGGCUUCUAUUUUGCAAGUACACAAGGGAAGAAACGUAGGGAGUUUCAACAUAUACAAAUUAAUUUCCACACGUCCGUUUUAGGUUAGGUUUUUAGGGAUUUAUUUUUGAUAUCAGUAUAAAAGAUCUCUUAUCCAUAAAAAUAUUUUAUAUAUAUAUAUAUAUAUAUAUAUAUAAAUUCAUAUUUAUCUCUUAUUUUUUAUGUAAAAUUUUGUCUGUACUAAAAAACCCUAGUCAAAUAAGAUAUUAUUUUCACAUUCUGUGCAUGUCUUUAUAUGAUAAUGGCACAUACAAGUUCAGAUUUCCUUAGGUGAUUACAUAUUUUGUGUUAACUUGUAUAUUAUUCUAGUUUUUCGAUUUAUUCUUAUUUCUAUAAAAAUAUUUAGAGGUUUGGAGCAUCUAUCGAUUUUUAUAAAAGUUUUAAGAAGUGAGAUCGACAACAUUCUAUUUUUGUUACUGGAAGCUUAUAAUGGAACUUGAUAUAAGAUAGUUUUCUAUACUUUAAAAAAAUAAUAAUAAGACUUGACAAAAUAGUAAGAGCUGAAAUUAUUGGUUUUAGGAUGCCAUUUUAUGAUUUUUAAAUUUUAAGUGAAAUUUGAUAUUUUGGUAUUAUGUUUUAAUUAAAAUGAAUUUAUUAAAUUCACUUUUAAAAUAAACGAAUUAGAAAAUUAGGAUUCUUUAAAUUUAAAAUUAUUAAUUUGGGAAAAAAUUUCCAUUUUAAAUAUAGAAUACUUAACUGGUUAAAAAGAACUUCGUAGAUAAAAUCGUAAAAUGUGAAGUCAAAAUAUAAUUAAUCCCAAUUUUAACUCAUGCAUCGCGAGCUAACUAAAAAAUACACUCUUAAGUCUAAAGUUAAAAUUUAUUUUUAUCUUACAUUUUAAUAUAAUUUAGUUGUUAAAUUUUAAAAAUAAAUAAAUAUAAUUUUUAUAAUUUAACAAUGUUAAAUGUUUUUAAUAUAUCAAACAAUGUUUUAAAUUAAUAUUUAAAUUAUUUAUAUCAUUAAAUACAUUUAAAUGUCAAUCUAAAAUGUUAUUUAAUAUGUAAAGAAAAUAUUGUUGAGUUAAAAAAGUUAUAUUAUUAUUUUUAAAAGUUUAAAAAUUAAAAUAUUUUAUAUUUUAAUAAUUAUAAACUUUAAUUAAUGUUAAAUUCGUAUAAUCAACAUGAUAUUAUUUUGUUAAAUAUACGAGUUUAACAUUAAUUUAACAUUAAUAAAAGUUAUAAGCACGAAAUAUAAUUAUUUUUAUUAAUUUAAUCCAUAAAAUGCAAUGUUGUAUAUGAUUCCUUCAGCAUGCAAACUCAUGAAGAAAAAAGAGAAGAUGCGGAUUUGUUUAGAGAAGGUUCAUUUGAAUAAAUUUAGUUAAAAAAAUCCUAACAUAGUUUUGGUAGAGUUUUCACUGUUUUAUAAUUUGGAAAAACAUGUUAAUGUGUUUUAAAAAAUAAUAUAUUUAACUACAACAGCAAAAGGUUGAACAUAUUUUAAUGAAAACAUUUCAAAGAAAUAUAAUCAAACUGUCUUGAAACGAUUUAUUAAAGAGUCUAUUUUAAUAUUUUGUCAAUGUAAAUUUGUCCGAAUCAUUAACUAAUUAGAUAACAUAUUAUUUUUAACUUUUAAAGUGAUUAUUUAGCAAGCCAACCAUAUUUAUAAAUGCAAUAUAGUCCAAAAUUAAUUAUAGGGACUUUUUUUGUUAGGUGAAAAACCUGCCAACUGUUUAUACGGACCAAAAGAAGACAGUUCCUUGAUCCAUCUUUGUCAACGGAGUUACAACUAUCUCACUUAAUUUUCUAAAUAUUAGAUACUUAAUCAAUUUCAAUAGUUCACAACUAUUUAUAUCACACACAAUAGUUUAAUAUUAUUCAGGAUCUAAAAUAUAAUUUAAAUAUAUUUUUCUCUUGAAAUAUCAACAACAGUAAAAUAUGAAAGAAUAAUGCGUGUAACAUAUCAUUGCAAUUCUUUAACAAUUUUAUUUUUUAAACCUUAAUUUAUUCAAAUUCGAUGGUAUGUUUUUCUAAAGUAGAGUUAGAGAUUAAAAUUGAGAAUAACUCAUUCUUUUUAUAUAUAGUCUCGUCAUCACAAAUUCAAAAAUAAUAAAUUAAGUUUUAUCUUUAAACAAUAUAAUAACUGUUUCAUAAUCUCAUACAAUUAAAAAGAUAAAAAUAAUGACUUAAUAGACUAUUUUAUAUUCUUUAAAAAAAAACUUAUAAUAUUUAUUCUAUAAUUAAAUAUUAACACUUUCGAAAACAAAAUUGUGAUAUAAUUUUAAAACAGAUAAUAUUUUAAAUAUAUAUGAUUGACUUUAAGAAAUUAUCGAUACCUGGACCUUACAUUGAUAAACACAACUUAAAUACUUAUUUUUUUUUACUGAUUUUAUCAUAUUCAAAUAAUACAUUUUUCAGAAAAAAAAAAUAAAGCAUACAGAGCGUGUUGGAAAACGAAGAUGAUAAAAGUGGUGACAGUUUGAAAGUGGAAGACAUGUGUUGAGUGGAUGACGAGGUUGUUGGAUGGAUGAGGGGAAGUUAAUUUUGUUCCAGUGGGUUUUGAUCCAUGGGAACAAUUGGACAAAGACUUCAGUAGUGCAUCGGUGGUCCUCCACACUUUUUAUAUAUAACUAUAUGUUUUUAUAACAAUUAUUACCUUUACCUUUUUAACCCAUUAAGGACGUGUUUGGACACUGAUUAGAUUAACCCAAAGAGAACAAAGAAUAAUCACUUUCGUAUGGAGCGUGAGUUCGGGGCCAUAUAAAGUAAACGCAUUAAUUACAGCACAUCGGAACUUGUCUCAUAUUUUAUUCAGGUUUCUUAUAAAUUAUGUCAUUGUAUUUUAAAUGACCUUCGAGAGAUAGAUUUCAGGAAAGAGAUGGGUGAAAUUGAAGUUUACCAAGGUAAUUUAGUGAUAUGAUAUGUUUGUGUGUUUUAAUAAAUUAAAUUAGUCGAUUAAUUAAUUAUAAUUUAUCAUAUCUUUUAGUUUUUUUAAUAUUUUUUUAAUUUUUUCUCUUUUGGUUUUCUUUUUCUUUGUACCAUAUUAAUUACAAAAAAAAUAAUCAAUUACAGACAAUCAAUUAUUUGAACAAGACUCAUCUUCACUAUAGCACUAAAAACAUCAAACAGGAUUCUCAAACAACCAACCACCAUUGUUAUCUUCCUCAUCCCAUUUCUGUCAUGGUUAUCUUAUCAUGUAAUUUUUUUUUGUUUUUCUUUAUUCCAAAUUCAUUCUCAAAAACUAUUUUAGGAUCUUAAGAUUCAUCAUUAUCACACAUUAACACAUAUAAACUAUACUAGAAAACUUUGAUCCAUUAUUAUUCCUAAAGACUUAAGUUUUGCUAUGGUGGUGAAGGUACUCAUCAAUGUUUUAACAAUGAACUUUUCAGUAGUUUGAGAGUACUAUUCCACAAAUUUCAUAAAUUAUUUCACAUUGUCAUUUGUUGGAAGAAUAUACUUAAUGUUGCUUGCUAUGUUUAUUUGCAUAAACAUCAAGCUAAAUUCUUUUAACCUUUUCUAAACUUUGAAAUUAUUCUUCUCUUAAUGGCUACUAGCAUUAAUGACAACAGUCCACUUUUCAACUUGAAAAACCAAAACAAGAUUCAAUAUACUUAAUAAUAAUUGAAUUUGCUCACUUUGAUUAAGAAAAUUUAAUCAAUUGAAAACUAAACUAGAUGUAACAAGUAAAUGUAAAUAUACUAUAAACUACAAUAAUAUUUAUGAUUAUUAUUAUUGAUUGUAAAGUAAUUUUUGACCACUCACAAAUUAACACGUAAUCAAUGUUCAAAUAUUGUCAAAAAAAUAUUGUCUAAAUAUCAUUAUUUUUUUCCGAUUCCAAGCCUUUUAAUCUAUAAUCAUAUAAUAAAGUUAAAACAUUAAUUGCAAUUUAAUAUGCGUCCACAUUACAGUUCACGUUUACAGGGGAAACCAUCAAUUCAAUUCAUUUUAUUCCCAUGGAAUUGACAUUCACAUAUCAGAUCAUAAAGAUCUGCGUAACAGUGGAUCAAUCAAUUUGCAAUCAACGAUUAAAAUUGAAGCACAGCGCAAUUCAACUUUUUUAAUUCAAGGAAAGGCGCAGUGGUAUAAUCAUAAUUUCAUAGUUAAUUUAUUUUUUAUCGAUGUGUUAUAUAUCAUAGUCGAUGGAGAUUUUUAACACACUCACUUUUAAAAGAAAACUUUGAUAUUAUAUUAAAAUUUUGAUUUUAAGUUUUCAAUUAUAUAAAAUUUGUUUAUAAGAUGAAUUUAUACAUUUUUAUAUUAUAAAUUUAUUAUACUUAUAAUCACUGUAAUUUUAAGUAUGUGACUGUGUUUAUAAAUGCUCUAAUGACGGAUAAUAUUAUAAAUACAAUAGUUAGAAUAAGAUAAGAUUUACGUUAAGUUAUAUAUUAUAAAUUUCAUGUCUGUAUCAUUAUACCUGCUACUAUUUUAUUUUAGAAUAAAAACCAUAAUAUAACUUUUGAAAGCAGUAAACAUAAUAUAUAUUUGCAUUUUCUACACGGGAUGAUUGAAUUCGAUCAUAGGUUUUGCACAUUAAAUAUCUAAAUUACAUAGGAUUUCAUUUCACCAUUAACUUUUCAUUCACUUAAACUAUUCCUAUACUAACAUGAAUAGAGUCAAAUGAUAUGAUUACGUACUAUUGUUGAUUUUGAAGAAAAGGGUUUAUUUAGUUUGAUUAUUCCUCUUGGAUAUAGUCAAAUCUUAAUUUUAGAAUGAAACAGUUUUUGUCUCAAUAAUAUCUGCCUCAACACUACAAAACAACCAAAUUUAAUCCACAAUUACACUCAAGUUCCCAACAUUAUUAAUUCUCGAAAUGACCUAAUUCUUAGAGGCGAUAGUUGUGUCAAUCUGACCUAUUGUAAUUGAUAUGUUAUUAGUAAACCCAUUUUUAAGUUCGAUUAUGUUGAUCAAUCAUGAUGAAUAGAAUACAAUAGAUUGUUAUUUUAUUUCAAUAGAAUAUAAUACAAAUAUAAAACAGAGUCCAUAUAUAAACUUGAAAAUGAACGUUAAUAAAGUUUAAAAUAUUAGAUUUAUAUUUUAUGAUUUUACUAAUGGUAUGAACAAACAAAUAAGCACAAAGGAACAACAUAAUUUGAGCUAAUAAUAAUUAAAGUCAAACUAUAAUUUGAAACCUAAUGAUACCAUUUUAAGUGUAAACUAAAGUGAACCAUUUUGCGGAAUAAGUAUUUACAAUUUGAGCUAAUUGUUUGAAGUUUUCAAUAUAUUAAUUAUUUAUUCAUUUGGUUCCAGCAACGAAUAAUUAAUAUCUAUAUCAUUAUCUGAGACAUUGAAUUGGUGCGGAAACAGUUAUUAAUUUAUGACCAACAACUUCAACUUCCAUGGUCGUGAUUCACCCUUGAACUGUGUAUAAAACACACCAAUUAUGAAUAGUUAUAGUCAGCCACCAUGAAAGAAACGUAACCAUCAAUCAUUAUUACACCAACUCCUCGUAGCCUCCAGCCAAGAAAAUCCAUGAGCUUCUUACAUUGUAUUGUCAUAAAGACCUUAACUUACUGAAUUUUGGCAUGUUUCUUGGGCUUUAUGGCUGUUCCUUACUGCUUAGUAUAGUUAAGCUUCUCAAACAUAAAAUUAUAUUCAAGAGGAAUACAAAAUGUAUCCAAUCAAAGAUUAUAGAAUGGUCAGAUGUUUCAUGUAAAAUAUGUUACAUGAAUGAAAUAUUUAGAAAAUUUUCAUGGUUAAAUAUUAAUAUGUUAGGAUUUUAUUUUACAUCCCCAAGUUAAAAUUGAAGUAUUUAACAUUAUUAGAAUCAAUCAUCUUAGAUCUAAAAUAUUAUUUGUUUUAAAACGUAAAAUUCCAUCAUGAUUUUGCUUUUAAAAAACGUCUUUGAAAGUGAAAAACAGAAAAAGAGUUUUUAAACUGUGUUAGAUCUCGAUUUUUAAACUUUGAUUCCUAAAUUAUAUGAGAUUACUUGAUGUGAUAAGAAAAAAAAGAUUAAACUUGCUGAAUCUUAAAAGAGGAUAUGAUUAAUAAGCUCAAAAUAAGUUUUAAAGAGGCAGAAAUAAAAUUGCACUUCAACAUAUAUUUUUCAUCCAUAGUGUUAUCUGAUAAUAAACGGGAAUAGUAAUUUUGGUUUCAGUUGAAUUGAAUUUUGAAAAAAGAAACUCAACUACCGAGGAAAUCAGCAAACGAUGAUACUCAUUAGUAAAAGCCACAAGCCUGCUUUGUUCAUAAAAUGAACCAAUGCUUUGUGAUAAAAAUAAUGAAGAUGCAGCAGCCAUAUUUUAACAUAUUAUUGUUUGAAUCACUUUAGUUCUCCAACUACCAUUUUAAAACUAAUUUGCUAACUGAAGAUGGUAAACGAAAUAUUGAAGAGGCCAGCGACCUCGAAUCAAUCAGACAGGCUUUAGCUUUACAGUUUUGGCAGCUUGCUUGGCAAGCAAGAAGUGAACCCCCCUAACCAGUUCUUCUUUCAUGGUGAAUAUAACAGCAGCAGCAAGCACACUUUGUACAAUUUUUGUGCCCAUACCUUUGUAAAACCCAUUCAACCCUUCAUAGCGGAUCAUUUUAAUAAUAGCAUCCUUGGUACCUGAAUUCAAACAAAAUUAUGCAACUUUAUAGAGGAAGGACCAAGACUAAAAUUUCUAAAACUUCAAACUUAGUUUCUAUUAGCUUGUAUCACAACAUAAUGGAUGUUUUCUUUGUGUUCACGGAUAAAAUACACAAUAAAUACUAAAUGUGGAUACACAUUCUUGAUAAACAAGGUAAAAAUAUCAUCACAACUUAUACCUUUGUAAUGGUGCCUCCUGUCUCCUGUUUUAUCCUGCCUAGCCUGGAGCCUCGCCUGGGGGAACAAAAUAUCAAGUAAGAAGUUGAGAAAGGCGUUUCUCACAGAUAAUAUUCAGUCCCCCCAUUCACUACAUCUAGUGAAUAAUACAAGUCAUUGUGACAGAUCAACAACAUGCUAACACAAUUUUAAAAAUAAGGCAUUCAGUAUUUGUAACAAAUCUUCUGCCAUACUUGAAACAAGUUAUCUGAAUUAAAUUUAAAAAUAACGUGACAGAUUAUUACAAUGCCAAACAGAUUAAAUGAUCUAAAUUUCAUAACCACUAAAAUAAUCAUACGAAUGGCAAAAACAACCUCUAACAGCAAAAACUUGCAGAUAAAACCAUUGGAUAGUUAAACAGAUAUCCAUUGGAUAGUGAGGUGUGCAUACCCACGUAUAAUCACACCUUAUAAUUACUUAAAUGUCAUUAAUCAUAUAAAGUAAAGGCCUAAACAUACUUUCCGUCCCUAAUAAAUUACUGAAUUUGUUUUCAGUUCAUAAAGGCUUAAGAAAGCUAAUAUAAACCUGUCAGGUAUCCGUUUGCAACAAUGCAAAUUAAACUAUAUGAUAUCUUUUUCAUUCACGUUGAAAGCAAGUUUGGAUCAUUUCAGCUUAUAAUCAAUCACACCAUAGGAUAAUACUUUUCACAAUCACAACCAAGAGAGAAAACGCUAGUAUGGUAUACCUUUACAACAAGGAGUGGAUAAGUUACAACAGUAGCUCCGAGCUUAGCCAAAGCCCCAAGAAAAAAUAUCUAGCAUCAUAGGGAAGUUUUAAUAACAAUAUAGCAACAAGGCAAUAUAAGAGAAUAUAUAUGGAAAAGAGAUUUUAAGUAGAGUGGCAAAAUGACAUAAUACCUCUAAAGCAGUUACCCUGUUGCUGUUACGUCUUUUUCUUAACUUUGAUAACAUGGCUUCAUACAGCAUGAACUGUAUGGAAGGAUUGCUUACCUGAGUUAAAGAACAACUGAUUAGUAAUACUCCCUCAGCAUGAAAGAUAUUCACUUUCAACAUACCAUGAUUAGUGAUGGUAAUACACCUUUCCAGAAACCCCGAAUACCUGCUUCAUCAAAGAUUUCUUGAAUCUGCAAAAUUGUAUUUAAAAAUUACACAUAAAGGAAACAAGAGGGUUUGAAUCAACUAAUUUGUGUGAAUAUUUUCAGACAAACUAUUCUAACUGGAAUAUGAAAACCCGGAAUAUGAAGCAAGACUGUAAGAUGAGUUUUUCAAAGAUAUCACAUUCGAAUAGCCAAGCUGGCAUAACUUCUCUAAAUUACCUAAGAUUCCAAUAUAGACUUUACUUACCACACGGCUAGUUCCGUAAGGAAGAGGCUCAACUGCAGAAAUGGUUUCUUGCUCAGUGGCAACCAACAAACCUUGAUCAGGUGCAUAGUUCGACUCUUUUCUAUGUGCCUGAACAGUAAAAAAGGUUUUUGACAUAAAAUAGCAAAGUCAGAAUCCAAGACUUACAAGCUAAAGUUGGGCAGGAGAAAAUCAAAGGAGAGACAGGCAGCUUUUGUUUAUCAUUUAUUAUUCUAAAUUACAAGAGAACACAAUUUUGAUUACUGUGAGAAAUAAAAAAUAGUAAAACGAAAUCAGUGACAAACUAUGUAUUAUAUAUUAUACAUUGAAAGAAUUUAAAGCAACAAAAUAAUCUUUUGUGCAUGAUACAAAUUCCCAAAUAGUUCCCAAAUCCAUGAAAGCUCUAAACUAUGUGAAAUCGAGACCAGCAUUCAAAGGUAUCUUUGACAACUGCUCUUCGAAGUUUAUCUCCUUAAAAAUUUGAUUACUUUUGAAAAUGUUUUAGCUUACUAGAAAGGAAAUAAAAUCCUCAGUAAUAGUCUUCAUAAUUUAAUUACAUUCUAAUAACCAUAUGCAAAAAAAAAAAAAAAAAAAAAAAAAAAAAACAGAGAAAAGGAAGUUCUCCCAGGAGUUAAUCAGUAUUAACUAUUUCAUUAUAAGCAACAAGAGAAAGGAAAGCAUAAAAAACAGAGAACAAUAAAUGAAUAACAAAAAGCAAAUUACCUGCAUACGGGUAACAACAACCCAUAUGGGAUUUGUCAAGAGCACGUUAACACACCUACACAAAGAUUUAUCUAGCAAUUAAGGUAAUACCACUAAACAUGAGUACGGAGACAGUGAGAUAAUUCAUAAUCAUUUCUACCAACAUAAUCGGCAUUUAUAGAGGAGUGUCAGUUCAGCAGUUCUUUUAGAAAGUCAAAUUUGAGAAAGGUCGAAAUAGAGCCUUCAGAACUAAACGAUGAUGUUAAUAUGGAAAAUUAACUGCCGUAGCUGAAAGAAAAGCUUAACGAGAACUUAUAUUUGCUGGGUUAAUAGCAGAGUAGAACCAAAUGGGUUUGUACACUAAGACAAAGUAAACUACCCGGAAGAAGCAGCAGUGAGAAGCGAGGAGAGCAUCCCAACUGAUCCAUCACUGACACCCAGUUCCUUUUUCUGUAGCGCAGCUGCUUCAGCCAUGUUCCUGAAUAUUUGAUAGAAAUAAUAGUAAACACCCUGUACAAUAAAAUUGUGAGAUAUUAAAACAUUGAAACCUAAGUCAGAACAUUGCACAAGCAAGUUACCAGAGAGUAUAUCACGCAGGAAUCGAGGAUAGUUGGAAAACUUCCAUCCUUUUUAAAAGAGAUAACAAGCUACUCUACAGACCAUCAACAUCAAACAAUAGGAUUUUGGUUUACAGCAAUAAUCAAUUUCCCAUGCAGUGGCAUAUGCUUAAAUGUAGAAUUCGUUGCUGAGAUUAAUUUGGACGCACGUUUCAAUCAUAUCCAACGGAUUAAAAUUAAUGCUAUCAAAAUCAAUUGCACCAUAGAUCUGAAACAAAUGGGUGUGAAUUCUAUUAGUCAAUUAGUCAAUAACUAUACGAGAGAGUUGAUGGUUGAAGAAGUAACUAGUUUUUACUUGCCUAUACUCUCAAGCCUCCAAACAAUCAAACUGAGUGUUUGACAACUCUAUAGAGAGAAAGUCAGAAGAAUAAGAACUAAAAAAGUAUGAAUCCUCUGAAUCUAUGACUGACUCCCCUGUUGGCUUCCCAUUACAUGAUUACAUCAGAGUUUGGAACACAAUUAAACCGCUAUCAAUUUUAUUUGUUUGGCAUUAACCAUCAAGGUUUCAAAUUUUUAUCACAGUCACAAUUUUGAUCAUGAUCCUUGACAUUGCACAAAAUGCAGUCACAAGGUCGCAAAGAGCUCAAAAACAUAAAAGUUGCAGCAAAUAUCAAAGUCAAAUAGAGAUGUUCAAGACCUUGUUAAUCUUGCUGUCAUCUUGGUUGUAAACACAUGUGUUGACGAUAACAUCCUCAAAAUAAAUCGACUUCAAUCAUUCAUAAUUUUAAUUUACUCACUCGGAUUCAACAAUCAAAUCCAGAACCAGAAAAAAAAAAAAAAAGCAAUAUUUCAAACACAAACUAAAAUGAGCUCACCUGAGAUGCAGCGGUACCCACUAGAGAUGGCAUCAAGCCUCCAUACAACCGUUCCCACCCUUCUUCUUUUACAACCUAUACAUAAACACCAUCACAAUCACCUUCUCUCUUUCCAUCACGACAGCAAAGAAAAAACAAAAUUAAAUUUAGUUAAAAAAUCGUGUGAUACUUGCUAACCUUGCACAUUCGAUCGAGGGCACCUUGGCUACUUGUCUCUCUCUUCGGAUCACGCUCGGUUUGUUGACGAGUGUUUACCUACAGAUCACGUCAGACAAAUUAAAUCUUGGGAUCCUUACACGACGACCCUGACGAAAUUUUUUCAACGAAAAGGUAAAAAAAUCCGAUUUUUGACACCGUAUUCGUACAGUUGAAAGUGGGUACGUGAUGAGCUGAGCAAUGAUCCCGCCUCCAGCUCCGGCCAACCCAUUGAUCAAAGCGUCCGACAUGUUUUUCUUCCUCUCUUCUUUCUUCUUCUUUUUUUUUCUGUUUUCCCCACUGGGGGAAAACGAAAAUCUGGGUUUUAGCGUCAAGGGGUUUACACUUUAACUGCGGUCUCUGGGAAGAAGAAGGAAAUGCACCCACUCCCUCCUCCUGUUUGCUACUUCUUGUCUGUGUUGUAGUAAUGGCGAUCUCGCCGUUGGCACAUGAAAAAUGGUGUUGGAUUGGUACCAAUCAAUGAAAAUGAAUGUGAUGUCCCCCACGACACGAUUCGACUCAACUACAAAGUUUCACUUCGGUUGUUGCGUCUGGGAAAGAAAAUGUCAAAAUUGUGAAAUAUGCACAGACCAUUCUACCCUUCACUCAUUUAAACCUAUUUAUUAUUACCGGUAUAUCCACUCCAUCAUUACUAGUCUCUUUCGCGCAUUUUUUUUUCUUAUAGUUUAUUUAGUUAACAAAAUUACAACUUUUAUUAUAUAUAUAGAGAGAGUAAUUUAUAUAUUAUUUCAAAAACUGUUAAAUUACCAUAAAUUAAAUUUAAUAAUUACUUUUUUGAUAGUGUAAAAAGCCACGAGUAUCAUGUGCUUCGUCAUAAUAUCGCUUGGUCAUAUUUAAAAUGAUAAAAAAUUAUGAAUAAUUGAAUUGGAAAUUAAAUUAAAAAUUAAAAUCAUAAAUUUUUAAAAAAUAAAACACUUAAAUUUAUAUGAAUAGAUUAAAAACUAAAAUUACACAUUCUAUAAAAUUAUAAGAAAAAUCAUUUUGAUCUCAUGUUCAUUGAAAUAACAUUCACAAUCUAAUUAAAUUAAAAUCAUUCCUAAAGUUUGGAAUAACAUUCGCAAUUAAUUAAAUUAAAAUCAUUCCUAAAGUUUGGUAUACGAAUAUCCAGAGGCUACUUAUGCAGAUUUAUUAAAACUCAAAAACAUCUACUUAAAUGUUAAAUCAAAAAUCAUGUAGCAUAUUCCAUGGAUUCAAGUCAUAUGAUGUUUAUUAACACCUCAAAUUAAAGUUAUUUGAUGACUACUUGAAAUACAUUAAACCAAAGUUAUUUCAUUAAUACUUAAAAUACAUUAAAUUAAAGUUAUUUAACGUGUUUCAUUAAUCAAAUAAAAGCAUUCUAAGUUAAACAUGCAGGAAUCAUUUUAAAAUAAAUGGUAUCUCGGGUGAAAAUAAUUCUUAAUACUUACUUUGACAAUACAAUUAAUUAUCCUGUUGAUACUUAAUGCUUAAUAAAACUUGUUCAUUCAUCAAUUCCAUUUACGUCUACUUUUUAUGGAUUUUGAACUUUUAAACUUAUAUUUAGAAUAUUUAUAGAUAUAUUUAUAAUAUAAUAUAUCUAACAAAUUAUUUAUCAACUAACUUUAAUAUAAGGGUCAAAUAAACCUGCAAAUAUAUAUUCUUAUGUUAGUAAAGGUAAAAAUCAAAUCAGCUAGAGCAUUUAAAGUUAUGAUCCUAGAUCUCUUUAGUUUUUCCACUCCUUUAAACAUGGUCUAGCUAAAGGGUAAAAGUCUUAUUAGCUAAAGCAUUCAAAGUUGUAAUUCCUUUCCCUAUGCAUAUGUCGUUUUAAAUGCAUAGAGUAAGCGAAGGUGCACCAGAACAGGUAAUUUGGCAACAUUGCUUGCGUAGUUUUAUAUUAACAAUUGGUCUUGUGUAUUCUCAUUGUGAUGUGAUCUGUACAUGAUAUCUAGAUCCUGAAUCUUGCACACAAUAAGCAAAGAUUGAACGUAGAGUUGAUUCAGUGAUAGACAAGUUUGCAGAGCGUGGUUUACGAUCACUUGUUGUAGUGUGGUUUACGAUGACACCAGUCGAAAUAUCAAACGAAGACGGCGAUGGAGACGAAGGCGUUGUUAGACUCGAUCUAAGGAGAAGGCGAGUUCCGAGACGGUGUAUUUAAAGUGUUGCCACUGUCGCCACCGCUAUUAAGUGAUAUGGUGCAGACCCCGGUGAGGGAGGAGAACUAGCGUUGGAGUGGUGACGACGGGGAUGAAGUCGAAAGAGUAAAUAGUGGAGGAGCAGAUGGAGUCGACGAAGGUCACGAAGAAUGUGUUGUCGGUGGAGGGGAGGAGGAGGAGCGGAGGGAGUCAUUGGGGUGAAGAUGAAGAAGGUGAAGGUAGAAGUGGUGAUGGAGUCACGAGAGGAUAAAAAGAAAAAAAAAAAAAAACAACGUGACACACAAUUACGAGUUACGAGAAAAAGUUCGCAUCAUAUCUAGUUUGCCAUUAGCCAAAAUCUAUCGUCGUUCAAUUUUAAAGGCUAAAUAUAAGAAUUUCAAAACUAAGAAGACUAAAAGUCAUCAAAUUUAAAAUAAAAACUAAACCUAAAAUCGUGUGAUACUAAAGGAAAGACAUAUUUAACUUUUAAAAAUAUUCCUCUCAAAAGUUAACAAUAUAAUCAAAAUUAUAAUACUCAUUCUUUGUUCUAAUUUUUUUUUUCAGGGUUACAUGCCUCUUAAAUUUUCUCUCUAAAGUUUUAUGUAUUAUUAUUUUUUAUUUCCAAUAUCUUAUCUUUGUCAUUUGACCAUUUAACUUAUUCAAUAAUCACCUUAUCAAUUAUAAAAGUGAAAUUUAUACAUUCUCUUUGUAAACAAUAGGACAUAUUAAAAAAUACUCAUCUAAAUUCUUUUUAUCAUUCAAUGUAAUACUAUCUACUAAUGAAAGUUGAAAAAUCUUCUACAAAAUCAUUCAUUGAUUUAUCUCAACAAUGCUCUAACAUCAUGAAAAGACAAUUCAACUAUCGAAAGUCUUCUGUUUCAUUUCAAAAAUAUUUUUUCUUAAUCUUAGAAAAACAAAAAUAAUAAAUUAAAAAUAACACGUGAAAACAUUGUUAACAAAAUCAUGAAGAUGAAAUUUUGAUGAUACCCAAAUCAAGUAAAGAUUUAUCAAGAUUUAUGAAGAUCCUUUCAAGACUUAUUUUUGUUAUGAAAAGCUUUUGUAAUAAUUGUAGUUUAAUUUUUUAGGACUCAGAUUUGUAGUAGGUUUUGAUUCUUGUACCUUUAUAUUUUGUAUUUGUUGUUUAGAAUAAAAACUUCCCGGUUUUAAUCGAUUAAAAUCGCUACAGAAGCAAAAACCCAAUCAGUUUUGGAAUAAUCGAUUAAAGCAAGUUUUAAUCGAUUAAUCCUGAGAAUAAUCGAUUAAUUAAUCGAUUAAUCCUGAGAAUAAUCGAUUAAUUAAUCGAUUAAUCCUGAGAAUAAUCGAUUAAUACUAGCCGUUGGAGGUUUCUGAUUUGAAAAACUAGUCGUUGUACUUAUUUUAAUCGAUUAACACUAAUAUUAAUCGAUUAAAUGCGUUAAAUGGUCAGUUUCGUAGAAUGGAAGAGUUUUUGCUUGAGUCUAUUUAUAGGCUCUCUUUAUCCAACAGCAACUCUUCCCUUGCCCUAAAACACUCAGAACUCUUUGAGAAGUGUGUGUUCUUGUUCGGCUUGUGAAACUCUUGUCUGUGGAGCUGGUGAAGUGCUACUGCGGUGAUAGAGGAAAUAGCCAGUUUAUCCUUGGUGCGUCUAAGGAGGUGUGUGGAAGAGGAUCAUCCUUCGUGAAGUAUUCGGAGGAGGUGUUUCAUCCUUCAUGAAGUAUUCGGAAGAUGUGUCUCAUCCUUUGUGAAGAUUCAAAGGAGGUGCAGGUUCAUCUCUUGUGGUCUCAAGAGAGGUGGUUUCUAAACUUUUACAAAUUAUUUUUCUUUGUGAUUAUUAUUUGUAAUUGUUUUGUGAUAGUGGACUGUUUAUCUUGAUUUGAGAUAAGCGACUCGACCUAGGAUUGGUAAGAUCCGAACAAAAUUAAAAGACACGUUUAAAUUAAAAACCCUCUUAAUUUGUUAUUCCAUCUUAACAAUUCCACUGCAACCGAUUCUAACAAGUAUUUUUUUUUUUUUACUUUCUGCAUAUUAAGAAACGAGGUGAUUUUUAUACUUUACUCAACGACAUAAAAUAAUCCUUUAAUUUUCAAUUUUUUUAUUAAUUCGUCAAUGGACCGUUUUAUUUCUAAACAUUUUUUUUAUGUUGAGCAAGCAGCAAGUGGAUAAGGAAGGAUGGAUUAAAAGUUAAAAGGAAAAUUAUAUAAACAAGGAAAAUGUUACUUUAACAACAGAUAUUUGACAACGAUUUGCCAACGACACGUGUUGGUGUCUCAUUUGUUGUUUUUAAUGAAUUUUUUAAAUAGUUUAAUUUUGUUAUGGAGGGCAUAUUUGGAAACAAAAAUGCUGAAAAUGGAUUGGCGNCUUUCAGAAAGUGAAAUUGUUUUCACUUCGAACCUUCGAAACUCUUUCACUAGUUUUUCGUUCUCCAAAACCUGUCAUUCCACCAUCCAAGUGUUGCUUUGGUCUCGUGUGUGACGGUCCGCCAUUGAAGAGUUGGAGGAAGAGGGACUUUGUGAUUUAUGUGCCCGUGUAAUCGAUUACAGACAGGUUGUAAUCGAUUACCAGUGCCUGUGUACCAAAAGUCCAACGCUNNNNNNNNNNNNNNNNNNNNNNNNNNNNNNNNNNNNNNNNNNNNNNNNNNNNNNNNNNNNNNNNNNNNNNNNNNNNNNNNNNNNNNNNNNNNNNNNNNNNNNNNNNNNNNNNNNNNNNNNNNNNNNNNNNNNNNNNNNNNNNNNNNNNNNNNNNNNNNNNNNNNNNNNNNNNNNNNNNNNNNNNNNNNNNNNNNNNNNNNNNNNNNNNNNNNNNNNNNNNNNNNNNNNNNNNNNNNNNNNNNNNNNNNNNNNNNNNNNNNNNNNNNNNNNNNNNNNNNNNNNNNNNNNNNNNNNNNNNNNNNNNNNNNNNNNNNNNNNNNNNNNNNNNNNNNNNNNNNNNNNNNNNNNNNNNNNNNNNNNNNNNNNNNNNNNNNNNNNNNNNNNNNNNNNNNNNNNNNNNNNNNNNNNNNNNNNNNNNNNNNNNNNNNNNNNNNNNNNNNNNNNNNNNNNNNNNNNNNNNNNNNNNNNNNNNNNNNNNNNNNNNNNNNNNNNNNNNNNNNNNNNNNNNNNNNNNNNNNNNNNNNNNNNNNNNNNNNNNNNNNNNNNNNNNNNNNNNNNNNNNNNNNNNNNNNNNNNNNNNNNNNNNNNNNNNNNNNNNNNNNNNNNNNNNNNNNNNNNNNNNNNNNNNNNNNNNNNNNNNNNNNNNNNNNNNNNNNNNNNNNNNNNNNNNNNNNNNNNNNNNNNNNNNNNNNNNNNNNNNNNNNNNNNNNNNNNNUGUACCAAAAGUCUAACGCUGCUCCCUGGCUCUGGUAGAGGGAGCUCCCCAGUGUGUUGUGUGUACUGACUUUGUUAAAAUUUAAGUUAAAAUUUAAGCAAAACCUAAAAUGGAGAGAGAUACGUGCUUUGAAGGAGAAAGUUUAAUUAAAAUGAUUGAGAGUGUUUUCGGAAUAACAUAAAGUCACCUUUUUCACAUCAGUUUUUUAAUUAAAAAAUAAAUUAAAGUGAGCCAAUAGAAUGCCGACAUAUGGCGUUGGCAAAUUGUUGUCAAAAAUUGGUUGUCGACCUAUCGCGAUCCUAUAAACAAUAUCAUAUUUCACAAAAAUUAUGUUCUGGUUCUUUUCCGAGUACUGAAAGUUGUAGCUAUUGAGAAGCGCACAGAGAAGAAAGAAAGAUGGCGUCAUCGCGUCCACCACCGUCGAAAUCAGUGGAUCUAGACCUCACCAUCGUGGCGGCGAAGCACCUCAAGAACGUCAACUGGAAGAACGGUGAUCUGAAGCCCUACGUCGUUUUCUGGGUGGACCCCGAGCGGCGUCUGGCCACCAAAUCCGACGACUCCGGCAACACCUCCCCGGUCUGGAACGAGCGCUUCGCCCUACCCCUCUCUCUCCCCCUCCACGACUCCUUCCUCACCCUGGAGAUCUUCCACUCCAAACCCUCUGACACCCUCAAACCCCUCGUCGCCACUCUCCGCCUCCCUCUCAAGGACCUUCACGACCUCCAGGACUCCACGCGCCUCCGCAAGUUCCCCCUUUCCCGCCCCUCCGGCCGCCCCCACGGCAAGAUCCACCUAAAGCUUGGCCUCCUUGGCCGCCCCCAAUUCCAAUCCCUCGACUAUCUCAACCCUAACCCUAACCCCACCCCCAAUCCCAGCCCCAACCAUAACCCUAAUUUCGUCUUCUACAGGGGAUAUUCCCAUUCCCAUUCCCCUUCUCCACCACCAUCUCCAUACCCCUCGUACCCCUCUUACCCCGAUUCUUAUAGUUCUUCUUACUACCCUGGUUACUAUUCUGGUGCUCUUCCUCCUCCUCCUCCGAGACCCUUCAUCGACCGUUACGCUGGGCCCAGCGGUCCUUCUGCUCCGCUUGAUUAUUCCACCUCCUACGAUCCCAAGCCCAGGCCUUCCAAAAUGGGUCUAGGCGCUGGCCUCGCUGUCGGCGCUGUUGCUGGAGCUCUCGGUGGGCUUGCUCUCGAGGAGGGGCUUAAAUACGAGGAAGACAAAAUCGCGGAUAGGGUCGAGAACGACGUCGCUGCUAGUAUUGCGCGCGACGAUUACAGCGAUUAUCGAGUGGAUUACUGAACCAAACAACUCCUACUGGCUUGUGUUAUCGUAAGGUUUCAAAAUUCAUAAGCUAUCUCCGUUUGGACUCGCUCUAAUGCUAUUCCAGUAUAUAUAAUAGAUAUAUAUAACUAUUACAUCUCUAUGUAUAUAGUUUGACUGGGUGUUGGAUUGAUGAAUGCAUCGGUGAUGUUUUACUUGCUGUUUGUCGUGAUUUGCUAAUGUUCUUGCGGCUUUUUAUAUUUGAAGUGAAAUAAAGCUGAUUUCGUCUGAUGAUAGCAACGGGUUUCUUUCGUUUUCAUUCAGAUAUUCGGCGUAGUUCUGUGUUAAUUACGAAUUUUGCGUUGUGGGUAGCGGAUAGGCUUGGAAAGUACUAAUAUGUUUAUUUUUGUCACUGAAUUGGUGAAUUUGUAAUUUUCUUAUGUCUCUGUGGUUAUCUGGAUUCGAAUAGGUGUGUAGGAUUAUGUUGCUUUGUUUGUUAUAUAUUUGUUGUUUUAUGUUUUGAUCGUAUCUUCUAUUACAACUUGCAAGCAUUGUCAUCGGGGAAGUAAAACAACAUGCUCUUUUUUGAGGUUUGUACUAAGUUGAAUGGUAUAUAGAGUAAUACGUGAUGGUUUUUAACCCUGUAAUGUCUCAUUUCACCAACUCAGUUAGUUGCUUCCUUCUGGCCUUCUUUGGAUUGAAUUUACAAGAUAAUGAAAUUUAGUUUAUGAGAAGGAUUUACUUUUUUUUCUCCUUUUUAUUUCUGUAAGUGCGUGUAGAAACUACUUAUCCAAACGUGGCCUUACUCAUCAUAAACCUAGAAGUGGAUUAUCUGGGGUUGAUGAGCAAAUUGUCCCACUACAGAAUAUCUUUGUUUAGUGCUAUUGGAUCAAUCAUUAGGACCGUGUAAGGGUUGUCAGGAUGUACUUAUGUUCACCUUAUCAUUUUUUAAGAAAAUUAAUAACCUUUUACGAGAAUACUUAUGUUCACCUUAGAAACCAGGCUAGAGACUCGUAGAGGGGAAAGAAAAAAUACAAGAGAAACUGUAGAGAGGGGAAAGAAAAAACUAGAAAGAAAUGUGUGCUCGUCAGAAAAAUAACACGGAGUGAAAGUUGUGCCCUUUUUUAUGUAUAUAAUAUUUUAUAUUACUAUAGAUGACUAAAAAUAUAUAAAACAUCACACACUUCUAUUCAGCAGGAAAUCGUAGCUGUUGUGAUUGAUAGUGAUGAAGAUAGUAUUCAAGGAAUGUUGUUAAUUGUUCACUAAUUUUUAGUUAUAAAAUAUUUCCUCCAUUUUGUUUUAAUUAUUUGUAAGUUUUUUCCCCACGAGAAAAAAGUUGUUUCUAGACAAGUGGAAAGGGAAGAAGAUGAUUCUGGAACAGGGUUUUUCUUUUUGUGGAAAGUGAAAAUAAUGGACAAUAGUCCCUCAACAUAUACAAAUGCUACCCUGAUUUCAGAGUUCACAUAUGAAAAACGGUUAGCUUGACACUCCUUUAAAAAAAAAUCAUUUGACACUCUUUUUAAUAAUAUAUAUAUAAUUUUAAGUUAAAAAAAUAAUAUAAUUAUAAUUAAAACAUUAAUAUUUGAUAGUGUCAAAUGGAUGAAAUUUGUCCUUUUGCAAUUUUAAACUAUCACUGCUCAUGAAUGUGUGAAUAACCCAACAGCUUUUAUCGUAAGUCAUGUCCUCCAUGUCGCAAAACUAAAUAAUUUUGGACUUAAUAAUUACUAGUUCAAUCUAGAUAUGUGGCUUACCAUGGGCUGUCAUAACUUUCAACGACAUGGGUCAGGGUUAGCUCACAUUACUAGUAGCUAGCCUGGUUGAACCGACCACAGGAAUGAGGUAAGGUUCCUUAACCUUAACCUUGUAUACCCAUGCCUCAUUUUUUAUGAUUCAUAGGUAAUUUGGUAACCACCAAAAAGGAACUCAAAAUGAAUGGUAAAGGUGAGAAUUGAUUGAAUUUUAAAGCAUUCAAAUCCGCUUAUAGAUUAAUUGGAUUUAAUAUCUAAAUUCAUAUUUUUUUUAGUUUAAAGGUUGAAUAUCUAAACUGUGUAGGGACAAUCAUGUAAUAAUAUGUAAAGGGCAAGUUGUCAACCAAAUUUAAAAAAUCAUGUUUUCUAAAGUUUAAUGCUAGUAAAGGAACUGUUAAAGCUAAGAUGUUCUUUUAAAUUUUGUACUAGUUUUAUUAUAAUCUAUAAUUACCCAAAUCAUGAAGUAUAGUAAUUUGUUCUCAUAAAAUGGGUUAUUCUUUAUAAUCAUGGUGAUAAUUUAAUAUCACUAUUACUUCAUGAACAUGAUUACAACUGAAUGAGAAUUUGGAUAGUUUUAUUAGAGGAUAGGUUCUGUUACUUCAAAAUCGUCUUCAUUGAUCUGCAUCUUUCCAAAACCUGUAAAAGGAUCACACUUUUAUUUCCUUAGCCUAAUUAUACUAAAAAAAGGAAAUAAUAUAAGUGAAAGAGAGUUUAGUAUGUAAAAAGUCGUGUUUCUAAUAUUUUUUUUCUUAUUUGUUUGUUUAGGAACGUUAAUGUUAUGUGUAUAAGAUAUUUUAACUGUAGGAUUUGAUUAAAACAUAAAAAAAGUAAAAAGAAGAGCACCGACUUGGAGGUGGUGGAGGCUCAUGCUUAGGAUUGGGCCCUGUGCCUGGAUAAUCGACUACUUCGUAGUGGCUACUUAGGUCCACUGUUAAAAUUCACAUAAAAUAUGCAAAUAAUAACAAUUAUGUUAGUCAAAUAUAUAAUAUAAAUAAAAAAUUUAAAUAUAAAAUAAAACAAGUCAAAAUAUAUUUAUACAUAUAAUUCAACAUAUCUCAUUCUAUCCUUUUUUUUAAUCAACAAUACCAUUUUUCCUAAAUUGAUCUAUUACCUGGAUCAACAUGUGCUAUCUAAUCAAUAUAUAAUCAUUAAAGAAAUACACUCAUAUAUAGUAUUAAUGAAAAAGAUUUUAUUGCAUACAAUUUUUUAAAAUAAAAACUAAAUUGAGAAGUAUAUAAAAAAUUGAGUUUUUUCUAUAAAAAAUGAAGAUGAAUCACAUAAUCUAAUCUAAAUUAUUAUAAUUAAAAAAUAAUAAUUUUAUACUAAUAUUUAGUUUAACUUACAAUGGCAUCAAAACAUCAUAAAUAGUGGUAUUUAAUUUGGAAUAGAUAGGUGAAUUCGACCGAUAUUCACUUACAAUACACAACAUUAGUGAUUCAAAUCGAUACACGAUCCUAACAAAAAAAAAAAAAACGUUGUUAGGAUUGUUGAAUAAAAUAGUAAAAUUGAUGUUACACCCUUGAAAACAUUUUUUAUUAAAUCGACUCUUGUAUAUGGGAGAAAAAAAUAUUAAAAAAUUAUCUUUAAAAAAUAAAAUUUGAUAUAUAUAUAUAUAUAUAUAUAUAUAUAUAUAUAUAUAUAUAUAUAUAUAAUACUUUUGUGAAAAGUAAUUAUCUAUAAUCUGUAUUACGAUUCUACGAUUCACUAUUUUAUGAGUUAUUCACUACACUAACUAUAAUUUCGAUAUUUUAAUUACUUUUACGAUUGUGUUUUUAUUAGUUCAAAAACAAAAAAAACAGUAUAUUUUCAUUGCAAAAAUAAAAUAAAAGUACUUUAAAAAAAAGUGUUAUGUUUUCACUCAUUUAUGCAAAGAACUACAUAAAAAAAAAUUACCUUUGGGGUUGUGGAAUGCAGAAGACAUGACUGCAGAUGUGAGCAAAAGGAAAAGCAAGCACACGCGUGUCCCGAAAGCCAUCAUUCUCAAACUAUAAAAACUCAAUUUUUUGUUGUGUUACUGAAUGAACUACUAAACUAUUGUACAUAUAUAGACCAUAAAAUCACUUACUGCAUUUAUUACUUUCUUUUGUGCCAUCAAUGCUCUAAUCACUUUUCAGCAAUUUAUUAAUGAAGCUUUGACCUUUUCAUUUGUAACCGUUCUCAGCACAUUGUUUUUACAUUUGGUACACAAAACAAGAACAAAAAUCUUGCUAUUCAGGUUAAGGAAUUAAUCUUUUAUUAAAAUCGUACUGGAAUGUUUUAAAAAAUCAUCUUUAAAAAAUGUUAAAAUUAACAAAAAAAAUGCAAAAUUUUUUGUUAUCCCGUAAGAAAAACUUUGUAUUCCAACUUGUUCACCUGUUCCAGCCCAGCCACAUUUAUGAUUUUUGAAAGUUUUUAAAAGCUACUAAAUUAUUUUCUAUUUUAAAUUUAUUGAAUAUAUAUUAAUGCUAUAAACAAUUUUUUUAUCAUUUAAACUGAUAUAUAGUUUUUAAAAUAACAAUUGUAAAAAUUAAUUUCUCAUAACCCAAAGAAUCAAGGAAUUAAGAACUAAAUCUUCUAAUUUUGUAAAAUCAAAUAAUUUUAAAAAAUGUUACGAUGAAAUUAACUAAAAUAGGGAUGAGAAUAGUACGGAGCCCGUUGGGCCGAAGAAAGAUGGAAUUUUUUGCUAAGGAAAUGUUGAAACCAAAAAUCAGAAGGGUGUUUCAUCCUACACUUCCAAAGGUUUCAUCCUGCACUUUCAACUUUUUCAAAAAUUUACUUUUAACUUUAAUAAAUAUCUUUUUUACUUUUCACUUUCUAUUUAAAGUAAGGUGUUUCAUCCUCCUGCACCUCCAACACCUAAUCUUGCAUUUCUAACUUUUUCAAAACUUUAUUUUUUAACUUUAAUAAAUAUAUUUUUUACUUUUAUUCUUUCUAUUUAGAAUAAUCCUACAUUUUUUAACUCUGUAUCCUUUUUAAAAAAUUUCAAAACUGUCUUUUAUUUAUAUUUUAAUAACUCUUUANNNNNNNNNNNNNNNNNNNNNNNNNNNNNNNNNNNNNNNNNNNNNNNNNNNNNNNNNNNNNNNNNNNNNNNNNNNNNNNNNNNNNNNNNNNNNNNNNNNNNNNNNNNNNNNNNNNNNNNNNNNNNNNNNNNNNNNNNNNNNNNNNNNNNNNNNNNNNNNNNNNNNNNNNNNNNNNNNNNNNNNNNNNNNNNNNNNNNNNNNNNNNNNNNNNNNNNNNNNNNNNNNNNNNNNNNNNNNNNNNNNNNNNNNNNNNNNNNNNNNNNNNNNNNNNNNNNNNNNNNNNNNNNNNNNNNNNNNNNNNNNNNNNNNNNNNNNNNNNNNNNNNNNNNNNNNNNNNNNNNNNNNNNNNNNNNNNNNNNNNNNNNNNNNNNNNNNNNNNNNNNNNNNNNNNNNNNNNNNNNNNNNNNNNNNNNNNNNNNNNNNNNNNNNNNNNNNNNNNNNNNNNNNNNNNNNNNNNNNNNNNNNNNNNNNNNNNNNNNNNNNNNNNNNNNNNNNNNNNNNNNNNNNNNNNNNNNNNNNNNNNNNNNNNNNNNNNNNNNNNNNNNNNNNNNNNNNNNNNNNNNNNNNNNNNNNNNNNNNNNNNNNNNNNNNNNNNNNNNNNNNNNNNNNNNNNNNNNNNNNNNNNNNNNNNNNNNNNNNNNNNNNNNNNNNNNNNNNNNNNNNNNNNNNNNNNNNNNNNNNNNNNNNNNNNNNNNNNNNNNNNNNNNNNNNNNNNNNNNNNNNNNNNNNNNNNNNNNNNNNNNNNNNNNNNNNNNNNNNNNNNNNNNNNNNNNNNNNNNNNNNNNNNNNNNNNNNNNNNNNNNNNNNNNNNNNNNNNNNNNNNNNNNNNNNNNNNNNNNNNNNNNNNNNNNNNNNNNNNNNNNNNNNNNNNNNNNNNNNNNNNNNNNNNNNNNNNNNNNNNNNNNNNNNNNNNNNNNNNNNNNNNNNNNNNNNNNNNNNNNNNNNNNNNNNNNNNNNNNNNNNNNNNNNNNNNNNNNNNNNNNNNNNNNNNNNNNNNNNNNNNNNNNNNNNNNNNNNNNNNNNNNNNNNNNNNNNNNNNNNNNNNNNNNNNNNNNNNNNNNNNNNNNNNNNNNNNNNNNNNNNNNNNNNNNNNNNNNNNNNNNNNNNNNNNNNNNNNNNNNNNNNNNNNNNNNNNNNNNNNNNNNAAUAAUAAUUUAAUUUAAAGGAAAAAAAAUUAUAUUUUAUUAAUUAUUAAAAUACAAAAAAAUAAUAAAUAAUAUUUGGUUUUUAAAUUAAAUUAAAUAAUUAUAAAGUUAUAAAUAAAANAUAAAGUUAUAAAAAUUUUGUUAAAAAGAUGCAAAAGUAAAAAUGUAAGAUUACUUUAAAUAGAAAGUGAAAAGUAAAAUAGAUAUUUACUAAGGUUAAAAAUAAAUUUUUUGAAAAAAUUGGAGGUGCAGGAUGAAGUCUUGGAGGUGUAGGAUGAAACACCCAAAUCAGAAUUCAUUUGAGGGAAGAGUCACAUAUUUAUGCUAUACAUACCUUAUCUAAUCUCUCUUCACAAUUUCUAUAAUAUCUGAAAAUAUGUUAUGGACCAUAUUAUUUCAUAUAUUUCACUCAAAAUUAGAUAUCUGAAAACUUUAUUUCCCACCCUUCCUCUUAAACUGGAAAAUAGAAUUUUUUUUAAUUCCAGUUCUUAAGUAUUUCAUUCAAAUGUACGAGAUAUUUGAAUUCCCCUUCAGCUGCUAUUAUCAUAUGCUUCAAAUGCUAGGCACCCAUUGACGAGCUCACGAGAACCACAAUGAACCUUCUUUCGCGCCAUUUUCGAAUCCUAGGCAUUUUCAAACCCUUUGUGACUCUUUUCAGUCGCUCGACCAAAACAAUGUUUCUUGCGGUUUCAGUGGGCUGCAAUGUCAAGAUCGAGUGCUAGCCUGGUUUUUUGCGGUUUUAGUAGGCUGUCGUUUGGUUUCAUGAUGGGCGUCAUUUGUUUUGGUCGAACGGGUUCGACGUCAACAUUUUUUCAAGAUGCUCCUUCUUCUCUAAUGCGAACCACAACCGCUCCUUGUAGCGCGGCUUUUCUCCUAUCGGCUAAUCUCUGUCACCCGGUGAGGGUGGACUGAUAUAGGAAGUCUAGGAAUAGAAAUUAUUCGAAGAACUUCAAGAAUUAGGGAUUCAAACCUAAUUACUUUUGUUGCAUUUCUGUUAGAAGGUAGUAGAAUUUGUUAUGCCUUUUGGGGUUUCAAAUAAAUACUCUUCAAAGAGGGAGAAGACACACCACAGAAAACAACCUUCUUCUUCUCAAAAGUAAUUAGGUUUGAAUCCCUAAUUCUUGAAGUUCUUCGAAUAAUUUCUAUUUCUAAACUUCCUAUAUCAUGGAUCUGCAGAAAACAUGAAACAUUCUGACGCUCAAGUCAGAUAUGUGUUUUAAGGCCUCAAUGUGAUUCUGGAUUGGGAUGAUCUUACCUGAUCAUUCACCUUGUGUUUAUAGGCUUUGCAAUUGUCCAGCCCAUUAAAUGUCGUUUAAUGCAAUAUAUUUUAUGUCCUAUGAUUUGCUAAUUACAUUAUAUCCAAUGUAAUUUGACUGAUAUUCCUCAUCAAUUAACUAUAUAUGUAAUACAUAUGAUACAAUAAUUACCAUCCUUAAUUGUCCAUCAAUGUUAUUGAAUGCUUAUCAGUCCGUGUCCUCUCGCAGACCUGGUUGGUCGUCCCUCCAUGUAGUACACUAUCAAAAUACUUUUAAAAUGUUAAUGGUAUCGAUAAAAAAAUAUAUGAUUAUCUCUCUUUUUCUUAUAAUUAUAGAAAACGAAGAGAAACUUAGAAUUAUUUAAAAGUGUUUAAAAUAAAUGAAACGAGAAAAUAUUAUACUUAAUAAAUAUAUACCUAUCAAAUAUUAAUACUUUUAAAUUGUCUACUUUAUUUAUAUAGUAAGAAAACAGGUUAGGUGAUGAUAAUGAUAAUUUAAAGGCAUUUUUUGAGAUUGAAUCCAUAAAUUAAAAUAUUAAAAAAAUGUCUUUUUGUUAUUUAGAAGUUACAUUUUUUAAUUUUUUUUGUACUUUGAAAUUGAUAUAUAUAUAUAUAUAUAUAUAUAUAUAUAUAUAUAUAUAUAUAUAUAUAUAUAUAUAUAUAUAUUCAUACACAUUAAAGUUUCCCAUUUAUUAUUUUGUUAUAUGCCUAGAAAAUGUCAUGACUACUCUGGUGCACUCUAUAAAGACAAAAGCGAUUUGAGAAUCUCAAAAAGAAUAAUGCUAGCUAGCACAUAUCAUCCUUCAAAGUAGUAGAUAAUAUUUUUGUUUUCCCUUUAUUUAUCUAGAUAAGUUUAAGUUAAACAAGUAGAUACUUGCGAGAAUAAGCCAGGAGUUUAGGGGUUGGAUCGAAUUUUAGAUAAGCAUUAUAUAUAAUAUAAUAGUCCAUAAAUAUAUUAUACAUAUGAUAGUUUAUAAAUAAAAGACAGUAUAAAAACUAUUUAUAUAGAUAUAUAUUCUUGAAUAAUGUUAGUAGUUUUAUGAAGUAAAAUCUGCAUGCAUGGUGCACCAGUGGAAGUGAAGAACAACGUGGAAUUCCACAGGGUGGUUGUGGUAUAGGAGCUAGUCUUAAAAGGUUACCGUACAUAUGAUGGUGUAAUCUUUCUUCGAUACGACCAUGUUCUGGCAACAUCGGUGGUGGAGAUCACAUGAAAUAUUAUUAAUGGUCCACACCAACAUUUCAUUAUUCCCACCACAAAUACACUUUCCACGUUUUGGAGAUAUUCUCACUUGAUGAAACAUUUUUCACAUGGAAACAAAAUACGAGAAACAAUAUACUAUGAUCGAAACGGGGUGUCGGUCUCUUUUGAAUACAAAAUGAAAUUAGAUAAUAAUUAAUAUUUUUAACAUUCUAUUAUUUGUUAAUUUCGUUAUUGAUUCUGCAGCUCCACAACACUGAAAUAACGUGCGAUGUCUGUUUGGUGCAGUUUCCUGUAGGAGAGCAUUUUGGUGUUUUAAAGAGAGUGAAAUGCAUGCAUCUUGACAUUUUUUCCUUAAAUUUACUGUUAUGUUUUUGUCCUAUUAUUUGUCGAAUCGCUUGUAUGGCAUCUUAUCAGAAGAAUCGCAAUAGUAAGAAACAUAGUUACAGAGUUGCAGUUUCAGCUUCGCACUUAUGCUUGACUAGGAGAAGUAGUUAAGCAAUUCUCACCAACUUCACAUGCUUUGCUCCUAGACCACUAGAUAACACCAGGGAUCAUUAUCAUGCAUGUAAAUUCUAUUCUCACACAUUUUAUACCUUUUUUAUUGUCUAUUAUACACUUGGGAGUCACUGUAUUUAUAAAGGAUUAUUCUAUAUAUACGUCACACUCCGAUAAUCAUGGAUUCUUUCAUCAACAAAUCAUCAUUCUAUUUUCCUUAAAUUUCUUAUAUUUUUAAAUUUUUUAUUUUUCUAUUAAAGAACAACACAAAUGCAUUGAAGUUUUGUUCUUAUAUUUUAGUAUUAGAAUAAUGUAGCAUAUUUUAUUUUUUUUUGGUUAUGGAUAAUUUUUUAUAGUAUCACGUAUGAUAUAUCACAAAUUUAGCUGCAUAUAAUCAAACGAAAUAAGCGCAAAACAUCAUUCGUAUUCUAAUUCUUCUAAUAUCAAUAUCAAGUUUAAUUGAGUAAAUUCAGAAUGUGUCUGAGCAAAUAUUCAACUAUCACUUUCGAGCUAUACUAUAAAAUUUACAGUAUUUUUUAUUGUUGUAUUUAGAGCUAAUUAAAGGAAGUCUGUAAGAUUAAAGGAAAAAGAGAACGUAAGAAUGAAAAAUAUACUAAUAUGUUUUUAUAUUUCUUUUCUAUACAAAAUACACUAAAUUUUACGUUUACUUCUGUAUUUUUAUUUAUUUUAAUCCUGAUAAAUAUGUCAUCAUGACAUCAUAUCAACAUUUGUGUAAGAAAAAAGUAACAAUAGAAACUAAAACAAUUUUUUUUAAUUACAAUUACAAAUAUAAAAAUAAAAACAUGAAAAAGUUAUAUAAAAUUCCAAAUAUAUAUAUUGAACUAUCAAUUACUAGGACAUGUAUGAAAUAAUUUAGAGAAAUGACUUUGAAGGUAAAUAAAAUAAAAGUUAAGAAUGACAGACGUCUAUCUUCGGGAACAUUAGGGUAAGAUAUUAAUUUUUUUUAAGAGAAUAAAUUCUAUUGAUUUGAUACAAAAGAGAUCUUUUUCUCUUGAAUUCUGUUACUGUAUUUUGAGAAAAUCUUAGAUUUUCAAAAGGAAUGCGCUAGGGGUAUAAUUUUAAAAAAGUUGGAAAGGAAUAAUAUAAAUAGUUGGAGUAAUAAUAGUGUAGAAAGAGAUAAUUUCUUUUAAUUAUAUAUAUGAAAUAAUCAAUUAUAACUGGGUAUAUGUUGAUGAGAAGUUGUCCUUAUAACUAGCAAUAACAAAAUACAACAUGCAGACUAAAAUAUUUUACCUCGCUAAUAUGAAUGUGAACGGAACAAAUAUCAGUUUAAAUAGGUAUAUUUCUCCAUCAUUGUACGGUUUCUUUUCGCCAUAUUAGUAUGUUUGCAUUAGCUUAUAGGGUAAAAAUACUACACUUAUAUUAUUAUUAUUAUUAUUAUUAUUAUUAUUAUUAUUAUUAUUAUUAUUAUUAUUAUUAUUAUUAUAACUAUUGCAUAAAAUAAAUGUAAACGUCCAAUAACUAUUAUUAUGCAAGCCACUUAGGUGAAUUAAAUUAUCUGAAAAACACAAUAAAUUUUUAAUUAAAUUAGCUAACUCACCCUAAUGAGUUUAAUGAUAAGGUGAUUUAUUAAAAAAAUUAUACCAACAUUUUUAAUAUUAAUAAUUUAAAAAUCAUACAAUGGCCUAUAUAUGUAUUUGUUUAUAUAUUAAUAAUCAAAACAUAUACGCUUAUACGUAUACGUAUGUGGUAAGAAGAUCAAGUAUGAAAAAGUUAUAAAAUUACAUAACCAACGUCAGAAGUAAAAUUCCUAAUUAUAGAACCGACACGCGCACAUAAGAUUUUAGGAAUAAAUAACUAAACAUGAAUCCACCAAAAAUAAAACCUUAAAAGUUAAAAGUGUGUCGGUCUUUAGGAUUAUUGGUCACUCAAAACAAAUGAGUGUGAUGGCCUAACAUGUCAUGAUUUGGAGUUCAAAGUCUUCAAUCCUCUCAUGAGAGAAUGGACAAUCCAUCAAUCUUUUAAAUUUCUAUAAUUUAAUUUAUAAAAGCACACUUAAUAAUUUAAAUAUUUAAUUGAUAAAUUAAAAAGUUAGUAUUUUAUGUAUAUUAAAUUUCUAUAUUAUAAUUAAUAAUUUAUAAGUAUUAAUAAUUCAAAAUAAUAUAAUAAGAAAAUAUAAUUUUUUACCUUUUAUUUUAAUUUUUAAUUAAAAAAUAAAAUGGCAUAACAGGUCAACUUGUGUCACUUUAUCUAUAAAAAUUAGAUUGGUGCCAAAACUAGAUUAGUUAGAAGGAUCUAACAAAUAAAAAAUAUCAAUUCAUCUCAUCAAAUUAAUAAUGGGUUAAGAAAUUCAGUUUUUUCACCACUAAACGUGCGUUUGUUUUUGCUAAUUUACUGUAUAAGCAGACAUAUAUAUAAAUAAGUAAGGUAUUUGUUUUAAUAGUUUUGAAGGGAAAUAAGGAGUGAAUAUGUUGGAUAAGUUCAUUUUUGCAUCUCGUGUAUAACUGAAAUAAGCACUAAUUUACUAUAUUAAUUUCACAUGGCUCAUGAAGAUUGUUGAUUCCGAGUAUAAAUUUGUCAUUUAUAUAUAUUUAUCAUAUGUAUUAUUUUUUUUUUGUCAUUUAAGGUUUAUGAAUUAUCAAUCUGACAAUACAAAACAAAAUAAAUUGUAAAUUUACUUGGGAUGGAAACUAUCUGUUCAAAGCAAUUAACUCAACUUGGCCGAAUGUUGAUUAAAAAAAUAAAAUAAAUCAGUCAUAAAUUAUUAAGUAUACUAGAAAAUGGACGACUUUCAUAAUUGAAAGCUCAAAGUUGGAAGGUUGUGAAUCGACCUAGUAGUUUGAAGUUCGGCUGAAUACUAAAAAUUAUAUAUUAAACAUCUAAAAAUUGACCUACAUUAUGAUUUCAUGAAUUGAACCUAAAUCCGAUUUGUCUUUAGUUUAAAUUUAAUUUGUAUAUUUAUAUCGAAGAUUUGAUAAGUGAUUAUUAUUUUUAUAAUAUUUAUUUUGGUUUUAUUUUAAAAAAAUAUUAUUAUUAUAAUUUUUAUUUUGAUAAUUCUUCCGUUUCUAAAAAUAAAAACGAUUUAUAACUAUUUUUUCUAUAAAUAAAUCCAUGCUAACUCCUAUAAUCAAGACAAAUCCUAUUUUGACCUAAAAGUAGUGGAAUCAAGAAAAGUUCUAAUAUUUUUUUGUGAUAGUCAGUUUUUUACCGAAAUAAUAAUAUAAUAUUAUACGUAGACUAAUCGUAUUAAAGAAAUAAAGAAAAUAAAUACUAUUUAUCUAUAAUUUAUAACUGUCUUGUAAUGAUAAAUUUAAGGAAAAAAAUUACGAAUAAUAAAUUUAAAAAAUACUUCGAAGAAACCCGAAAAUAAAGUCUAAUAUAUUUAUAAAAUAACUUUUUGCGGUAUUUAUAUCCGUAUAAAAUAUUUCUUAAAAGAAGAUACGCAGUAAGGAGACAAACAGUAUCGAUCCUUGCAUUAUAUCAACAAUCAAUCAAGUCAGGUUAAAGACGAGGGCCCAAAAAGGAUACUUCUCUCUUAUUCAAUUUCCCAAAACAAAAAGCAAAUAAAAUCUCAUAAAGCUUCUUACCAAUCUCAUCACUGCUAUAUGCAUAUCAACAGUCCCAUGAUCAUACUCUACCAUAAGAAUUUAUGUUUAUAUUAUUAAUUAUAAUUAUAAUGAUUUUUAGGAUCAUAUUAUAAAAACAAUAAAUUAUGAUUAAACAGUGUAAAACGUACUUAUCCCUGUUCACAUACAAUUUAGUUUAAUUUAAUUUACCUAAAAUAUCCCGACAAAAGAAGUGCUCCCAAAUUAUUUUAUUACAAAACACAGGGGUCAUGUAAUUUUGCCGAAAUAUUUUACAAAACGCAAGUUGUUGAAAUUUUUAUUCAUUUUUUAAUGUACAAUAUUAUCAAUAGAUUUUUUUUAAACGAGACUCGUAUAUAUAUAUAUAUAUAUAUAUAUAUAUAUAACAUGUCUCAAACAAAAUAACACUUAUUUUAGGUCAAUAUAUUUUAUACAUUUCUUAAUCCAAAUUUUAUAUAUGAUUUUUUUUUUAAUUUUUCAUUACCCAAUAUUAAUCUAUGUCAUCAAGUCAUCAAUAAAGUUAAAGUUAAUUAGAUAAAAUUAUUAAUACCUUAUCACACAAAUUGUUACUAUCCUAGGUAUCCACACAACAUAUCAUAUAAUAUCAUAUAGAUGUCACGAUAUCUAUAAAUCUCAUACAUAUAUUUCAAAUUAUCUUACUUUAUCAAACUCAUCGUAUACAAAUCUCAUCGUAUACAUAUCACAUAUGAUUAAUAAAUUAAUGUAUACUUUUCAAUCAUUAUUCACUCAUUGUAACAAAUGCAAAAACAUCUUGUAUAUACAUUUUCAUAGUAAAACAUAAGGAUGAUAAUGUAGAACGAGUCAUGUGGAAUUCACAAAACCGUAGCGAAAAGCACAAGAUAAGUUGGAAUUUUGAACCUUCUAACGUACAUAACUUGUAGCCUGUGUGAGCCUGUGAUGAGAACGGACUUACCCGCAAACAAUUCAAAACUUUAAGUUUUUUUCUCCCAAAACACACAUCACUCACUUAUUCUCUACUUUGCGUUUCUUGUUCCUCUUUCACGUUCUUCUUUCUCUUUAUGAAGCAUAACACAAAGUAUUUCAUUCAUCAUCUCUACUAAUCUCACAACAACACACUCAUAUAGCAAUUAUAAUCACUUCAUACAUGACUAUUAAGAUUGAUAAGAAAAUAAUAAUGUAAAGUUUUAAACACUUCAUUUUAUUAAAAUUGAUGAAAUAAUUAUGAAAAUUGCAGAAACUAUCCAAUCACUACAUAUAGGCGAAAAAAAGAAUUUAGUAAAAUAUGAAAUUUAUCAUUAAUUGAAAAAAAAAAUCAAGUCAAGCAUACGAGGAGGCUAGCUUGACCUACAUAUUGUGGUCCAAGCUGACCCACAUUGUCACUCCUAACAAAAUGUCAGUUGAGCAAGUUUGUCUUGAAUACCUCUUUUAAAUGGUUUGGGUUAAAGGAAGGUUACUUAACUUUGAGGGAAAAACAGCUAAUCUGCUUAGCAAAGUGACUCAGAUAAGCAACCAUCGAAAGAUUUGGUUCCUUUAUUCCAUUUGUUUUAGAGACAUGUAACGGAAACUAAUUAGAAGGAAGAUAUUGAAAAGAAGGAAGCCUGAAUAAAAAGUAGAGAAGAUAGAAGCUAGGAAGCACUUGGCAAAUUAUUCGAGUUUAGAUAAUAGCUAUGCGAAAAUAGUAAAUAAUCUUUUCCAUUUUUGCUGGAAUAAAAUGCAUGAAACAAACUUUUAGGUAUUGUGCGUAUAAAUUGAUUUGUGUAAUCUUUCCAUUUUUAUUAUAUUAUUGAUUCUUUUUGUAAUUGAUAGUUUUUAUCCUAUUUUAUGACUUAAAAAAUGAUUAAAAAUAAACAAUGAUAUGUUAACACAUUUUUUUACAAUAUUUUAAUACAGUAUAUAUAUUACUUUUUUUUAUUAAAGUUAGGAUAAGAAAUAAAUAAUAAUUAAUAAAAAAAUAACACGUGAACUUUAUCAAGAUGUUAUUAAAAAAAAUUAUGUUAAAAUAUAUAUUUUUUCUUGAAAAGUAAUCCAUUGAAACAAAUAACAAUCGUUAAAGUUUAUCGUCAGUACUACUCUGGUGAAAUUUGUUCUGUGUAAUACUUUCAUUAAUAAUUCUGGUACAUAUACCAAUUUCGCAAAUAUUUUUGAACUUUAAAAUAUGAAAGUUGUAAGUAUGUUAUCGAACAUUGUAUAUACAGCUAGUGGAUCCUCUUGUAUACAGCUCACAUGAACAAUUUGAUGUAUGUAUCUUAACCAAACCCUAUUUCUAGAGUAUUUUAACGUUCUUAAUUAAUAGAUGUAGACGUACACAUGCUUCAAGAUAGGCCAAACUACCCUUACAAAACUUUCAACCAUUUGAAAUACUGAAAAACACAACACCAUUUUUUCAUUGCCGCUGAGCCGCCAAUCGCCGCCGUAAAAAAUCGAACCAAGAUAACGUUGUCUCAAACAAAACCUAUAUACCCUCUGAAAAAAAUUAACAUAGAUGAAAACCUCUCUGGUAGUUAAUAACCUGCCCGACAAAGUCGACACCUUGACGAUCAUACGUUGUGGACUUUGAGUUAGGUUAACUUACUCCAAAAAAUUAAGUCAAAAGGCAUGACAGCUAAGGCUAAUUGUUAGUCAUGUUAGGGGCGGCAGCUUUUAAAAUUUAUUUCAAACUUUCUUUCAAUCGCCUUUUUGUUUUGUUAUAAUUUCCUCGUUAAAAAAUAUCUUCUUUCAUCACCUUUCUCUUUUAAUCGUGGUUUAAUGUAUAUAAGUAUACAUAUUGAGAGAGAGAAAGAGAGAUUUAGAUUUUAGUGUGUAAUGACAGACAGAAAUAGAAGAUAAAAGGAACAAUUCAAUAACCAUCCAACUUUUUUCAUUUGAAAUUCUUUUAUAGUAUUGAAUUGACUUUGUAGAAAUUGAUUUUCGUUGAAAGUGUCGUCUGUAGACUUAAAAAUAAGUUAACAAUAUACUUAAAGACUUAAAGGGCAUUUGCUGUCUUAAUCUAACAACACAUCCAUUGUCUGAAGAGCUACAUAACUGGCACUUUGGAAAGUACUCGGGACGUCUAAAUGCAUGCAUGCUCCAAACAUUUGAAAUUUUUUCUUAAAUAACCUUUUUAAUAUUAUUCAUUUCAUAUUUUUGGUGACUAAUUUUGUUUUAUCCUUUAUGGUCACUAUCAUUUAAAAUUUUACUCAGUUGAUUUUACACUUGGAAGUUUCAUCUUUAAGUGAUUAAAUCAUAAAUCUAAUGUCCUGUCAUCAAGAUAUAUACAUAACACCAGAUGGCAUGGUCUUUAUACCAUACUGAUAUACAUGUAAAAACAAAAACAAAAGUCCUAAGGGUUAAAAUAUAGUGAAGAUUCAUAUAUUAUUAUAGGAUAAUAAGUAAAUAUGAUGCAAAAGUUAUUUACAUAUUUAGUAUACAAUAUCAUUUAUACAUUACAAAAUAUUUUUAAGAAAUAUAAACCUUCCAAUUUUUUUAUUUUAUAUUUAACUUCUUGACUGUUAAUAAUAGUUAGAUUCAUUUAAUGUUAUAUUUAUUUUGUAAUGCAUAACAUGAAUGAGUUUUUAUGAUUUUUUUAUAGUUACUAACAAAUAUAAAAUCAUAUGUAAAGUAGAGAUGUCAAAACGGGUCAUCCGGACCGAUCCAAUACAGGUUGGUCACUUAGUGAGUCAAUCCAACCCCGCUUAUUUGGUGGGUGAGUUAACUCACUUAAUUACAAUUAUUUUAAAUAAAUAAAAAUUAUAAAUUUUUUAUAAUUUAAAUCUAAACAAAUUUCAUUUCCAAAUUUAAUUAAUUUUGAAAAUAGAAAACUUAAAUAAUUUUUUCAAGUAAAAAAUAAUAAUAAAUAUUUCUUUAUAAAAUUAAAAUUAAAUUUUAAUAAAAUAAAAUUACGUAGGUGGGUUGGUGGACCAACCCAGCCCACCACAGAUUCAACUUACAUUAGUCGAAUUUAAAUGAAUCGAGUUAAAAUAGGUUGAGUUUUCAAAAUAUAUAUAUAUAUAACUAAAUUAAAAAUCAUGUGAAGAAUAAUGUGUUUAACGAAAAAUUUAAAUAUACAAUAUUUAUUUACCUUGAUAUAAAGUCAAGAUAUUAUUGGCAAAGGAGGUUCCGCCUAUAGUACUGGGAUAUCAGUGAUUGAUUUGAUAUAAGAAAAUGAAGAAAAUACGGGACGUAGUUAUUUAAAAGUGUUUAAAAAAUAUUUGGAAUAGUUGUGAGAACAGUGAGGAAUAUGGUUCUUGGUAAGCAUUAUAUGAGAUAUUAUCUUCUUUCCACGUAUAUAAAUAGAAUAAACGAGAGAUAAAGAAAGAAAAGUUGGUAUUAUAUUUCUUAAUGGAGGCUGCAGAACCUGUAUUUGUGGAGCACGAAUGAAGGCACUUGGAGUGGCCUAUAUAAGUAGGACAUAUCCUGUGUGCUCUUUUCAAGAGAAGCAACCAAGUGGUGCAUGGUAUCUGGUAUCUACAACAAUGCCUUCUUCUUCUUCUUCUUCUUCUUCUUUCUCUUCCGAUGAUGCAAUUACUGUCCUCUCAAAAUGCACUGUUGUGCCUCACCAAAAUUCCACACUAGGUGAUCUCAAGCUCUCUAUAUCUGACCUUAACAUGCUUCUCUCUCACUACAUUCAAAAGGGCUGUCUCUUCACCACCCCAUCUCUCCCCUCUCACACUCUCAUCCCUCACCUCAUCAACGCGCUUUCUCACACACUCUCCCUUUUCCCUCCCUUCGCCGGCCGUCUCAAAACUGACCAUCAUGGCUACGUCUACAUCGCAUGCAACGAUGCUGGCGUCGACUUCAUCCACGCCACCGCCGAUCAUAUCUCCGUUACCGACCUCCUGUCUCCCUCCCAUCUUCAUCCAACCCUCAACCACUUCUUUCCUUUUCACCACAAAAUUAGUUACACCGCUCAUUCCUCCCCUAUCAUGGCCUUUCAAGUCACCGAGCUCGUUGACGGCCUUUUCAUCGGUUGUGCUGUCUGCCACGCUGUCACCGACGGAGCCUCCUUCUGGAACUUCUUUAACACCUUCGCUGCACUUUCUAAAGGAGUAACCAUAUGUCCCUCCAGGCUCCCGGAUUUUCGUCGGGAUUCCAUCCUCACCUCCAAUAUUCUGCUUCGGCUGCCAAAAGGUAAUUAUCGCACUAAAGACAAAUUUGUUUCAAAUAUUCUUUUCGUUCUGGAACUACAAAAAUUGACGGCUAACCACCGUUCACAGAUAUUAUUCGCAAGAAAUAGAUUAAACAUUUUUCGCAAAAACUAUAAUAAAAUGUUUUUAACUAUCGUGAUUAAAAGAAUUUACACUCAUUAUAGGAAUUAAAUAGGUAAUUAUUAAACUAAGAAAAAGUAAUAUAUUGUCGACAAAAAUUAAAUCUUGUGUGAAAACAAAAUUUAGUGGUGACAACAUUUAAAAAUUAGAAAAAAUUGUUUAGUUGCUAAUUGUUGUUUAAGUAGAAAUCAAGGUGACCUUCAACGUUGACGCACCCAUUCGCGAGAGAAUCUUCAGCUUCAGCCGUGAGUCAAUUCAGAAGCUGAAAGCCGUAGUGAAUAAUUGUGGGAAAAUUUGUUGGUUGGAGAAUGUUGAGUUGAUGGGGAAGCUGAGCCACGAUACACAAGUGAAAACGACGGAGAUUUCAUCGUUUCAAUCGUUGUGUGCGCUGAUGUGGCGGUCCGUUACAAAGGCGAGGAAUCUGGAAGGGAGUAAAGUGACGACGUUUCGAAUGGCAGUCAAUAUUCGACAUCGCAUGGAGCCAAAGUUGGGAGACCAUUACUUUGGGAACGCGAUUCAGAGCAUUGCCACGUAUGCAGAAGCGGGUGACGUGGUGUCUAGCGAGCUUGGAUGGUGCGCGGAGCAACUGAACAAAAGCGUAAAGGCGUUCGACAGUGCCACAGUGUGCCGCAACGUGGAGAAUUGGGAGCGUGAGCCAAAGUGCUUCGAGUUGGGGAACCACGAUGGCGCCACUUUGCAGAUGGGAAGCUCGCCCAGAUUUCCGAUGUACGACAAUGAUUUUGGAUGGGGGCGGCCCCUCGCUGUGCGGAGCGGAGGAGCCAACAAGUUCGAUGGCAAAAUGUCGGCGUUUCCAGGUAGGAAUGGCGGUGGUAGCGUUGAUUUGGAGGUGGUUUUGGCGCCUCACACCAUGGACAAACUUCUCUCGGAUCCCGAGUUCAUGUCAUAUGUCUCCGGUUAGUCUGGAUUACACCUUUAGAACGUACUAUUAUUGGUUUCGUUUCGUUAAAAUAUAUAAUAAAAAUCCGUUUGUCUUUACAUUACCUAAAGCUCUAAAAAGGAAAAAAGCUACAUUGUUUAAUAUAUUCUGCUUAGAAUUUACUGAAAAAUGAAUAUCUACAAAUUUUAUUUCCCAACAUUAAAUUCUUAUGUCAUCAUUUUACAAAUAUUUGAAUGUAUGAAAUAUUUGAAUUAUUAUUCAGCUGAUAUCACCAUAUAUGCUUGAAUGCUUCAUUCAAGGUUGGACAACUUUUCUUCUUACUACAAAUUACUAGUAUAUGUUUCUUUUAAACAUACUUAUAUUUGUGGAAUUUAUUAAAAGUUAUAAUACACAUAAUUUUUAUUCCUAUAUAGAACUGCUGGAAAACUUUUGCUGAGUUGAGCUGGAGUUUCAUCAAUACCAAUAACCCUUAUAUUAAAAGUCGACAUUAAAUCUAUGGGUUAAAAUAUAAAAAAUAAAUUAGAAUUUUAAUACGAAAUAUUUUUUUUUAAUACGAAAUUGUAUAAAUCAGUUGGAUGUAAUUACUACGAAAGAAGGAAUUGAUCCUUCUAUUUUCGGAAAGGAGGGUACUCUCUUACAUAACACUCUGCAACAAUGAAUCGAUGUGGUUAAAUAAGCUAAAGGAGGAAUGGGAAAUCAGAGUGCCUUUGUACCCAAGUAAAAUAACUCCAAUUAAGGUAACAUAGAAGUAGAAAAACAUUGAUCACCUAACAUGUAUGCGUAAGAAAUGGUUUUAAUUUUCUCAACAGUCAACCUACAACAACAGUAACAAAAGAUCCGAAAGUCACUAGUUCAGAAAAAGAAUUGCAAGUAACAUCUUUUCUUAUCAGAAACCUCAAAAGCAGUACUAGAUGCAACAGCCUGUCGAGUCUGGUGCUAAAUUGGCAAAAGCCAGUGACAGAAAGCUCUGAUGACUAAAUCUUUGGAAAAAAAAAAUGUUUUUUGUCAUACUUUAUCUUGGUCUAUUUGUUAAUUGAUUCUUAAAAGUGUUUCCUCCAACUUUUCACUCUCAUUCUCUGAUUACAACGCCAAUAUUAGCCCCAGAUACAGCACUGCAGAAGAGAUGAUGCUAGAAGCUGUCUACUAAACAUUUCUUAAGCACUGCAGAACAAAAUGCUUCAAAAUUAAGUCCAUAGCAGAUUUAGGGGAUAAAGAGUACCAGAAAAUGCUCUGCGUUCAUGGUGCAGCAGUUGAAAACGCAAUCACCCUGAAGCCUGGUGAAGAAUGGAAAUAUAUCGUAUGUAGAUUGAAAUAAGUUUGAUUCACUUCUCUCGUAAAUUAAAUAAUUUGAAUCGAGUUGAAGAUGUAUGCAUACGUAAAUUAACAACAUUUUUGGGUAUUUUUAUUAUUUUUUAUAAUUUUUUUAUUAAAAUUAUUUAUUAUUUUAAUUGUAUAAAUUCAUUAUUUGACUUUUUUUAAAUACUAAAAUAUUAUUGAAUAAUAUUUGAAUAACUUAUUCUUUUCUCAAGUUAUUUAUUACGAUAUUUUAGUUUUUAAAUACUAUCUAUAAUAAUAUAUGAGGAAUUACAUAAACAUUUUAAUUUCAUUAUUAUAAACAAAAUAAAUAAAACCAAUAAACUAAUAAAAAUAUAAAAAGAAAUUAAAAAUAUAAUAUUAACUGAGAUAAUUCACCGUGAUGAAUUAAGUGGGAUUACCAAAUUUCUUACGUCUUGUUAAUUUGAGUGGAUUUGAGAGAAGGUAAUUGAGUGAAUUUGAGAGGAUUUGAAGAUAAAUUUUUUUGUUGUUUAUUUGAGUGAAUUUAGAGAUAAACGAGGGUGGAUUUAGAAGUAAAGUUUGUGAGAAUUAGUGCAAGAUUUAAUUUAUGUGACAGAUUAAAAAAAUUUAAUACCAAAUUCACUCUCACUUAUCUCCAAAUCUAUUCAAAUAAACAACAAAAAAAUUUAUCUUCAAAUUCUCUCAAUUACACUCUCUAAAUCCACUCAAGUAUACAAGCCUUAAUCAGGAAAUAUUGAUUGAACCGAUUAUGUUUAGAGAGUUUAAUUAUGAAAAAUGAUUUUUUUGACACACUUAAAUUUUUUAUAUUUAUUUGAUGUUUUCUUUAUUUAUUUUUUAUUCUUUUCUUUUUUGAAAACCUACAAAAAGUUAAUAUUUUUUUAUCAUUUUACCCCUUACAUUAUGUAUCAAAUAAAUAUAAUCCUGUGUCAUGGCAUUAUUACUUCUUUAAUUAUCUGAUUCUCAGUCAACAAAUGUUGCCUCAAAACUUGGGGUGGACAUGCAGUGGUGCAGACUCUGCCUCAAUCACCUCUCAUUGCAGAAAUAAAUUUAUCUUUAAUGGUCAUUUAUAUUAGCUGACGUUUCUUUAUGCAUUUAAAAAUAGAAUAAUUUUAUAUCUUCUUAUUGAAGAUAUUUUUUUCUUUUGCAUUUGAAAAUAUUAAAUAUAUUUUCAUUUAUAUUUGAAAAUAUUAAAUAAUUUUAUGUCUCUUACUCUUUCUGUAAAUCUUAAUUAAAUCAUUUUAAUAAUUAAACACUUAAUUAAGUUAGUUAAUAACUUGAAUAUUAACAGGACAUCUUUUUAUUUUCAGAUUGGUUUAGUAAAUGGUAAUAUUUCAAAUACUACAAGUACAUAUUUUCCAAUAAAUCAAUACCAUAUAUGUAAAUUUAUAGGACAAUGAUAUUUUGACAACACUUUUUGACAAUUUUUUUACAACGGGACACAUGUCAUCAUUUUAUUGGCCUAUUUGAAUUUAUGUUUAAAAAAUAUUUAAAACGGACCAAUCACAAGCUGCCACGUAUGCGUUGUAAAAAAAUUGUUAAAAAAGUGUUGUUAAAAGAAGUUUUUCUAAAUUUAUAAGAGCAUGAUAAAGUGAUUAUAUUUCUUCAUUCUUGACCUAUUUAUCUUUUUAUUUAUUACUUUUAUUUUUCCUUCAUCUCUCUCCUCCAUAAUUUAUUUUGCAGGUUUUAAAUGUAUUCUGAAGGGCAUGAACAGCGAGACAUGUAGGUAGUUAAUAUAAAUACGGCGCACCCUUGGUUGUCUUCUCCAUAGAAACAAGAGUUGGUUUCGUUUUGUUGUUUGUUACGUUAAAAAUGUGUUCUCCUUGUGAUUCACUGAGUGUGAUCUCAAAAUGCAAAGUUGUUCCUCAGAAAAACUCUACUAUGGGAGAUCUUAAACUCUCAAUCUCAGACCUUAACAUGCUCUUAUGUCACUACAUCCAAAAGGGGUGUCUCUUCACCACCCCAUCUCUACCGUCACAAGCUCUCAUUCCUCAUCUCACCAAAGCACUAUCUCACACCCUCUCCCUUUUUCCUCCCUUUGCAGGUCGCCUCAAAACUGAUGUUGACGGCUAUGUUUACAUCACAUGCAACGACGCUGGCGUCGAUUUCAUCCACGCUACCGCCAAUAAUAUCUCCCUCGCCGACCUCCUGUCACCCUCCGAUGUUCAUCCAGCUUUUAAGCACCUCUUUCCUUUCCACCAAAAAAUUAGUUACACAGCUCAUUCCUCCCCUAUCAUGGCCUUUCAGGUCACCGAGCUCGCCGACGGUGUUUUCAUAGGUUGUGCUGUCUGUCACGCCGUCACCGACGGUGCCUCCUUUUGGAACUUCUUUAACACUUUUGCAGCAAUUUCUCGAGGAGAAACCGCUUGUCUCUCCAGGCUACCGGAUUUUCGUCGGGAUUCCAUCCUCACCUCCAAGGUCGUGCUUCAACUUCCGAAAGGUGACCACACUUGUUUUCGUUCUUCUAUUAAAUGUACAUUUUUAAUUUCUAAAUAUACCUGCUUUAGAAUUAUAAUUUUUAAGUAAAAGAAAAUUCAGUUUUAUAGUCAACCAGAAAAAAAAAAUCAAUAACAACUUUAAAAUUUAUAUAUAGAGAGUGUUGACUAACUAAUUUUCUUGUUGAAGUAGAAAUAAAGGCCACCUUCAACGUUGAAGCGCCAUUUCGCGAGAGAAUCUUCAGUUUCAGCCAUGAAUCAAUCCAGAAGCUGAAAGCCUUAGUGAACAAACGUCCGAUCAUGUUCACGCCAGAGAACAUUGAUGUCGCGGAUGAGACAAUGGCGAAGCUGAACACUGACACACAACUGAAAACAGCUACAGAAGGCGUAAGGGGUGAAACAACAGAGAUUUCUUCAUUCCAAUCGUUGUGCGCACUGAUGUGGAAGUGCGUGACUAGGGCGAGGAAUAUGGAGAAGACUAAAGUGACGACGUUUCGAACUGCCGCUAAUAUUCGGCAACGCAUGAAGCCCAAGUUGGGGGAUUGUUACUUCGGGAAUGCGCUUCAGAGCAUUACCACGUGUGCAACAGUGGGUGAUGUGGUGUUCAAGGACCUUCAAUGGUGCGCAGAGCAACUGAGUCGGAGCGUGAAGGCGUUUGAUAGCGCCACGGUGCAGCGUAAUGUGGAUAACUGGGAGCGUGAGCCAAAGUGCUACGAGUUAGGCAACCAUGACGGCGCCACUGUGCAGAUGGGAAGCUCGCCAAGAUUUCCGAUGUAUGACAACGAUUUUGGAUGGGGGAGGCCCAUAACGGUGCGGAGCGGCGGAGCAAACAAGUUUGACGGUAAAAUGUCGGCGUUUCCUGGAAGAAAUGGCGAUGGCAGCGUCGAUGUGGAGGUGGUUUUGGCGCCUGAAACAAUGGCGCAACUCGAGUCCGAUCCCGAAUUCAUGCUUUACGUGUCUGCCCAGUGCGUAGAGACACGUGUUUGAAUGUGAAGGAAAUAAUAACUUUCAUCGUCGUGGUUGCUGUUAGAUUAUAUUCAUGUUCAAGUUUAGUUAAGUUUUCUGCCUUGUUGUUUGGGUCAACAUCUUUGCAUGGAUGUCAUGUUUAUUGGUAUUUAUUAUUAUUGAUUUGACUUCUUGAAAAUCUCAUCAUUUUUAUGUUUUUUAUAUAAAAAAACAUUUAAUAAUCCGUUAACUAAUAAUAAAUUAAUUUAUUCUAAUUAGUAACAAUCAGUUUCUUAUAUAUAUAAAAAAAGUAACACCAUCAGUUUGAGUUUAAUUCUACAAGUACCUAUAAAAUUAAAUGAACUAAUUGCAUUUAAUGAUUCUACAAACCCCACCAAGUAUAUUAAAGAAAUAUCAGCUUUUAGUUUCUCAUAUAUCUUUAGUCCUAAUAAUUAUUAGAUUUUAAGAGAGAUUAAAGUGUAAGAAAAGAGCAAAGUUAUUAAAUCUCACGAAAACUAGAAAUAAAUAAAAGACUGAAAGUGAAAAAAAGAAGAAGAGAGUCUAGAGUUAAAACAACAGAGGAGACUACAAUCUUUGUAAACAUUUAAUAAGAUGUUCUUGACUGUUAAACUUUUUCCAAAAUAAUUUAGGAAAUUAGGGAAAAUUAAAUGAAUUUUGUAUACACUAAAUUUUUUUAAGAAGGCAGUUUUUAUAUAAUAGUUAAUUUUAUAAUAAAUUUGAAAUUGAAUUUUAACUUAUAAAUAUUUUAUUUUUGAAUUUUUAUGCUCUUAAGUCAACGAUGCCCUUAAUAUUAAACGUGUGAAUUCGUAUGGCUAAACAUUUCUGGAAUUAAAAUGGGAUAACGAAUGACAUCUUGGUCCAUGCGUGUACAUAUAUAUAUUUAUAGCCUCUGUCCACUUGCAUGGAUUCUCAUGGGCCAAUAAUAGCGGUGCCAUUCCUAUGACCAAUGACCAAAUAAAAGUUGCACUAAUGAUUCAUUAUAUCAGUCCCAUACGUUAAGUGCCAUUCAUUACCUGAAAAAAAUAAAUAAAGAAAAGCACAUGCAAUUCAUCGAAUAAAAAUGGCAAUGGUGCAUGCAUGCAUGAUAAAUUGGCAAUUCGUAAUCCAAUUGGACUGUUGCCAUUCUUGAGAAUGCAGUUUUCAACUCUGAAAAACAAGUUAUUCGAAAGCGUCUCUUAGAUGAAUUUGAGCAAUACAUAUAGGUCAAGUUUAUCUGCCUGCAACACAUGCACGGGUCUUUAUAAUUAAGGGAACAAAGCGUUCCAAAUCAAUUUUAACACUCACAAACUACUUAUCACUACCUUGCAUUUCACCCUUUUUUUAAUUUAAACAUGAUAUUUAUGAAAAAAAACCAUAUAUAUUGCAAUUAGUAAAAAUAAGUGUACAUACAGACCAAAAACGCAAUAAAACACGUAAGUGAAAUAUUUAAUACUUAUUACUUAUAUAUAUAUAUAUAUAUAUAUAUAUAUAUAUAUAUAUAUAUAUAUAUAUAUAUAUAUAUAUAUAUAUAUAUAUAUGUCUAAAUUUGAAUAAUAAAUUUCAAAUUAAUAAACUAAAAGUUUAUAAAUGUAAAAAUUUGAUAUUCACAAUAAUUCUUUAUAAAUUCAUAUACUGACACAAUGCUAAACACAUUAGAUGUAAAAAAUUCUAAGAUAAAUUUAUAUCGAAUAGAUAUAUCCAAUGUUAUUGCUAAACACAUAAAUUUACGUUACUUAAAAAAAUUCUAAUGUAAAUUUAUAUCGAAUAGUUGUACACAUGUAAAAACAUAAUAUUACAUUAGACCAGAUCAGGUUUGACUAAAAAAAACUGAUAACAAUAAAAAAAAACUACAUUAAAAUAAACAUUUUUAAGUUUAAUUUAUCAUAUUGCAUGUCAAAUAAAGGACUUUUAAAAAGUCUAAGAAAAAUUGAAAAAUAGGGAAUCAAAUUUAGAAAAAGUGAUUAGGUUACACUAAAAGAAGAUUGGAAGAGAAUUGAAUAUCCUUAAAUAUAUUCAACUCAAUUUCUUUGAGAAUUCAUUAAGCUCUCUUAGAAUUUGAGUUAUUUAUUCAUCAAUUCUUUUCAAACCUUCAUUAAAAACCAUUCAUUUGAUACGUAUCACGUCAAAAAGAACCAAAUUUAUAAAUAUCUAUUUGAAUAUAGUUUUUUUAUUUGAUAAUAUAAAUAAAUCGAUGUAAAAAUCGAGAUUUGAUUUCAAUUUUAAAUUUUAUAAAAGUAAAAAGAAAAAACAAUAAACUUUUUUCAUAAAUUUAUUUUUAUAAACAUACACUCCAAAUAAAACAAAGGAGUUUUUAUAAUCUUGUAUUCUAUGUGAAGUUAAUAUAUAGUCUGAUAUAAAAUUUAAAAUAUUGAGUUAAAUAGAAAGAUAUUAAUAUAUCUGGAAAGUUCUUUUAAAGUAUUAUUAAAAUAAUUUGCUAUUAAAAUAUACUCUCACAUAAAAUAUUAUUAAAAUAAUAAUAAUUAUUAUAAUAAUAAAAGAUAUUAUUAGGGACCAAACCAUAUUCAUGCACUGGAAACUAACGAACUUUCCUAAGUUAAAUAACUUUAAAGAUAAAAAGUUUAUAGCUAUUAUUAAAAUUAUUAAUACUAAUUCUCUAUCACGUGAUAUCAUAUAAUUUAUAUUUUAUUUUAUUUUUUAACUAAAAAAUCAACUUAUUUAUGCAAUAAUUUUUCCCCAAAAAUAUAAAUUAUGAAUAAGUUAUCCAUCCUUUAACAGUUAAAUAAAUGAAAGUCAGGAAAAAAUUUGAUUUCAAUCAAAAUUUUGGUGAUGGCUCAGUUUUGAAUAUGAUAUGAUGUCUUCUUUAUUAUAUUUUGUUCUUCAAAUUUUAUGAUAUGUUACCAAUAAAUAUUGUAUUGUAGAUAUAUUAAUAUAUGAGAAAAAGUUUUUUUAAUAACACUCUUUUAAUAAUUUUUUUACAACAACUAACAAUUUGUAAUUUAUCUGUUUUAAAUAUAUUUAAAAACAUAAAUUUAAAUAAAUCAAUAAAAUUAUAACAUUUCUAUCGUUAUAAAAAAAAUUAUAAAAAAAUGUUGUUAAAAUAUCAUAAUCGCAAUAAGAGUUGGAAAAUAACAUUUUAACAUCAUUUUUUGACACCAUUUUGACACUGCACACGUGUUGGACGAUUUCAAAUUAAAAAAACAAACUUUAGUUUUUCUCUUCCAAAUAUACUCCUGUCUCAACUUUUUUAAUUUAAAAUUGUUCAAUCUCAUUUUGACACAUCUGUAAUGUCAAAAUAGUGUCAAAAAAUGGUGUUAAAAUAUCAUUUUCCUUUUCUAUGAGAGUUUACCGGAGAGAUAGUUUGUGAGGUAUAUAAAGAGGAGAUCCAAGCUACUUUUCCAUAGAAAUGAGUUCUUCUUAUACUUCUUCUCUGUGUGAAGAAAUGGCUGUGAUAUCAAAAUGCACUGUUGUUCCUCACCAAAACUCCACUCUCGGAGACCUAAAGCUCUCCAUCUCAGAUCUUAACAUGUUUUUGGCUCACUACAUUCAAAAGGGCUGUCUCUUCACCACCCCAUCUCUCCCCUCUCACACUCUCAUCCCUCACCUCAUCAACGCGCUUUCUUGCACGCUCUCAAUUUUUCCUCCUUUAGCUGGCCGAUUCAAAACGAAUGCCGACGGCCACGUCUAUAUCGCAUGCAACGACGCUGGCGUUGACUUCAUCCACGCCACCGCCACCGAUCUCUCUGUCACCGACCUCCUGUCGCCGUCCGAUGUCCACCCGGCCUUUAAGAAAUUCUUCCCUUUCCACCACAAACUCAGUUACACCGCCCAUUCCUCCCCCAUCAUGGCCAUUCAGGUCACUCAACUCGCUGACGGUAUUUUCAUCGGUUGCGCCGUCUGCCAUGCUGUUACCGACGGCUCCUCCUUUUGGAACUUCUUUAACACCUUUUCUGCAGUUUCUCGCGGAGGACUCAUAUGUCCCUCUAGGCUCCCGGAUUUUCACCGGGAAUCAAUCCUCAUGUCGAAAGUCGUUCUUCGAAUGCCCCAAGGUAAUAAUCGCAAUAUCGAUUAAUCUACUUCUUCAUCUGUUUCAUACUAACAAAAAAUAUUCUAUUUUUUUUCCAGCGCUUUUUUUUUCUCUUACAUUCCUCUCUAGUUUUUUAUGGAAAAAAUCAUUUCACUCCAAUAAAUAACAUUUGAUAAUGCAAAAGUAAAAUUGUGAGUAAAAAGAUAGUGAACAUUUAUUUAUAAAAAAUAAAAAGAAUAAAUAUUAUUAAAUGAAUAUAAUUUUUUUUUUUUGCUGUGAGAGCAUUAUUGUCCCGUUUUUAUAUAUAUGUAUACAGUUAGAGAGCAUUAUAUUGAAUACAAAAAUUUUACACUCACUGAAAACUAUAUGAGUAAUUAAAAAAUAUAUAUUAAACCGCAAAAAUCUUGAAGGGAAAUGAAUUUCAGUAUGAACUUGCAUAUUAAAAUGAAUUUUGUGUUUAAGUAGAAAUGAAGGUUACCUUCGAUGUUGACUCGCCCUUUCGAGAGAGAAUCUUCAGUUUCAGCCGUGAAUCGAUUCAGAAGUUGAAAGGCUCGGUGAACAACAGUAGAAAAAUAUUUGGAGGAGAGAAGGAGGGGGUGGAGGUUGAGUUAAUGGCGAAGCUGAGCAAUGACACAGAAUUGAAAAAGGUCGCAGUGGGCCAAACAACAGAGAUUUCUUCGUUUCAGGCCUUGUGCGCGCUCAUGUGGCGUUGCGUGACUAGAGCGAGGAAUUUGGAGAAGGGUAAAACGACGACGCUUCGAAUGGCAGUUAAUGUUCGGCAACGUUCGGAGCCUAAGUUGGGGGAUUGUUACUUCGGGAAUGCGAUUCAAAGCAUCGUGACGCAUGCAGCAGUUGGUGACGUGGUAUCCAUGGACCUUGGCUGGUGUGCGGAACAGGUGCACAAGAGCGUGAUCGCGUUCAGUAGUGAUACGGUGCGUCGUAACGUGGAGAAUUGGGAGCGUGAGCCCAAAUGCUUCGAGUUAGGGAACCAUGACGGUGCCACCGUGCAGAUGGGAAGCUCUCCAAGAUUUCCGAUGUACGACAGCGAUUUCGGGUGGGGACGGCCAUUGGCCGUGCGAAGUGGUGGAGCUAACAAGUUCGAUGGAAAACUGUCGGCGUUUCCCGGGAGAAAUGGCGGUGGCAGCACCGAUUUGGAAGUGGUUUUGGCGCCUGACACGAUGGCGCGUCUGGAGUCUGAUCCUGAGUUCAUGAUUUACGUGUGUGGACAAUAGGACCACAUGUUUGAAUCUUAUUUCUGUUUUUAAAUUUAUGUUUUGAAUUCUGAUUUCGGUCACAUUUCCUCAGCACUGUGACCACCUUUUAUUUUCUCAUAAUACAUAAAAUGUUUGUUUCAUAGUCUUUUUCUUCAUUUUCUUUAAUUUACUUCCACUGUUUUAAAAAAAAUUAAUUUAAUCUUAAAUUUAAUUUAAAUAAGUGAAUUUGGCUUCUUUUGUUUGCGAUAUAAGAUCCCUAUGCUAAGAAUCUGUUUUGUGACGAAGACGACCUCAUCCUCUUUGCAGCAGCAGAAAUGCUUGAAGGUCUUUAGAAUCCUCAUUCCAAAAAUUAGCAUUUCGAAACAAGAUCCGCUCCUUUAGCCAAACCAACUUUAGCAACCUAAAUCCAGUAGGUUUAACCGUAAUAUAGUUUACAAAAUUCAAUAUUUUACUGCCUAAAUUUUUCUGGUGCUAUCAUUUUUAAUCGUGUAAAAUAAUUAUCGGAAUGAUGCACUUUUUUUUUUCUUAAUCUCAUUAUAUCAUGUAUAAAAAAACUUACACAUAUAAUUAAAAAAUAAGGAUGGAAGUUACGUAUAUUUUUUAAAAAUUAAAUAAAUAAAUAAACCAAAAUUUUAAAUUUUAAAAAUUUAGAAACUAAAAUUAUAAUCUAUUUAAUAUUGUGGUCAACUCUGUAUGUAAUAAAUAAAUAAGUUAUGAUCAACUGAUUUAUUCUAAUUAAUAACGCUUUAAUUUUAACUUUAACCUGUCGAUAAAAUUAUAUUUUAUUCUGAAAAUAAUUAAAUAUUUAAUGGCGUUUUUCUAUUUAUUGUUAUUGUAUUUAGUGCGUGAAAUCAAUGUCACUUUUAAUACUUUUAAUGAUUUUAAUGAUAUUAAUGAUACAUGUAGAUACAAAUCUUAUUUUAUUGUAGGAUAGAAUUAGAUUUAAAAUUCAACUUUUAAUAAAGAAAUUUGAGACAAAGAGAAAAAAAAAAAUAGAAAGAAAAUGAGAGAUAAACAUUCAAUUAGAACAAAAAUAUCAGGUUAAAAGUUGAGAAUUUUGAAAGUUAGAAGUUGAAGGAGAAGAGUUCCGAAGAGAGGGAGAGGAAAAUAAGAGAGAGUGAGUCCAUGAGAAGACAAAUAAUAGGGUUUGGGGUUUAAUAAAAUAAGAGAGAUGGUUUUAGAGGAAAAUGGGAAAAUGUUUGAAAAAUUGGACACCAAUAACAUUAGUGGUUUGCCACAUCUUUCUAUACUUAAAUUGGUAAUGAAAAAUUUAUUUUGUUGUGAUUUUAAAAUUGGGUUGUCCAGAUGUGUUUGUGUUCCUGGAAUUGCUCUUCAUGCCUAUUGUAUUGUAUUGUAUUUUUUAUAGAUCAUGGAAAAGUUUAUUUAAUUUUUUUCCCUUAAAUAUUCAUUAGAAACUUUUAUCAAAAAAGACGAAAAUAAAGUUACUAAGAUGCAUUAUGCACUGGACAAAGAAUCUCGAAUUGUCUAAAACAUUAUUUUAUAUGUUAAUCAAUAUAUUAAAUCACUUAUAAAGAAAUAUAGAAAAUAGUGACAUACGUGCAAAUAUGUAUGUCGAUUGGUUUAAAUGUCAUUAGAUGAGUGGUGUGAAUGGAAAUAGCUUUGAAUUUGUUUUAGUGAAGGGUAAAGAGGAAAAAUACAAGGGUUUGAUUGAAAAGGAAUUUAAACUUGUUAUGAAUUAUAAGUGUUGGUCAUCGUUCUGUUUUAUUUCUCAUUCUUUUAUUAUUUUCUUUCUUCUUGUCUAAAACAAACUCAGCAUAUUUUCUCUUUCUUGGUUAAUUUUAGGCUACAAUUAAAUAAAAUAAAAGUUUAUAGCUUCAAUCCUGAGUUUGUUUUGAGUAAACUUUGAUGCUUCUUAUACAAGAUGAUUAUCAUUUAAAUUCAAGCUGGUAUGUUUCGAAAAAUAAAAAUGGUUGAAAAUAGAAAACUAGCAAGUAAUUUACAGUCUAAAUAAUUUACAUUUGCAAUGCAUAUUGUCCAUAAACCAUAGCAUGGCAUCUUAUAUGAUUUCUUCCUAGUCGCAACUAAACACAAUGUACGGGAUUCAGCGGAUUCCGAUCAAUUAAAAUUCAGAAAAAAAUUAAGCAGGGCAAAAGAUAUUUCUGAAAUCUAAAUUUGUUUGUAAUCACGAAUUCUUUAACAGCCGUUUCCAAAACUACCAAACAAAGAAACUGAGCAACGUAAUGAAGGGUAAACAGCAUGGGGCACCUGAACAAGCAUAAAAGGAUCAUUAUGCCACGUUUGGUGUAAGUUAUCUAACCCGACAAAAGAAAAAAAAUUGAAAAAAAAAAGUGUUACAAUCUUAAUCCAAGUAUUCAAUAACAUUGAGAUUUCCGAACAUCACAAUCCAUCAAAACUUAUGCAGCUGCACUCGGCACUGUAACUGACUUUGAGUCUUCUGCCCGUUCAUGUUCUUUAUUAAGCAUCUGAAAUCACAUUACAAUAAAUAAAGACAUGAAACACAGUAAAUCAGUGAUGAUUUAGCAACCUCUUUCACUUCACAAGAUUAACUCAUCAUUUUUUAUAUAGAUAUAAUCCCUGUACCCAGUACGGUGUACACAGAGAAUCAAUGGGUUUGAUUUAGUUUGAAUUCAAUAAUCCAAACUGAUUAGUUUUGAUUUUUAACCUAAUCAAAAUCGAUGUAUUAGCUUGAGAAUUAGAUUUAUGAACUACAAAAACUCAAAAAAAAUUAAUAUUGUAAGUUUUUCAUCUUUAAUUAUUAUGCACAGAAUUUUAUAGUACAAUCGUGUAUUUCUCUUUUAACUUCUACAUCAUUUUAGUUAAUGUAAGCCAAUUACAAUAAGAUGUAAUUUACCCCUUUUAAUGACAUGAUUAUGGGAGUUUUUUUUAACAAAAUGUAUUCGUUCUAUUUCUAAAAUAAAAUUCUGCACAUUUGCAUCUAUGGACUCAAAUUGAUCCAAACCAACCAGUUCUUGAUUGGUUGCGGAUCGUCCAAUGAAAAAUUAACCAAUAAAAAUUAAUUGGUUCAGAUUUCAUUUUCCUCAAAUCCAAUUCUAAGUAAUCCAUGAACAGUCAAGUGCCUAGGUUAUUAAAUACUGAACUUUAAUAUACUCAAAAUUAAUUGGUUCAGAUUUCAUUUUCCCAACCUUGCAACAAUUGCUAUUCUCAUAAUACGGUAACAGAUUACGCAAUCAGCAUACAAAAAUGAUACUUGCGUUAGGGAAUUGUAUCUAACCUUGUUGUUAAUCAAGUUGUGGAGUGCAAUUACACUUCUAAUGAGAGACGAGAGGUAUAUUACCAGCAUCAUAUCAUUGGUUUUCACU